GAAGCAUAGCAACAUAUGCCUAUGAGUGGCAUUCAUGCUAUCAUUUUAGGCUUGUCCAGCUCCUUCCAUCUUAGCAAGCACUUCCAUUUCUACCAUCUUAGCAGCAACUGUCAAAUUGAGAUACGGAAAUCCCAUUAGCGCAUGAGUUAAUUUUGCAGUGGAAAUAGAGUACAAGAUGUCUUCAUGAUGUAAGUAAUAUGCCUGAAGUUGUGAGAUGGGAAGUGAAGUCAACAAAUUACAUUAAUGGAAAUGCAUGGAAGGCCACACAUACGUAUUAGUCCAUGAUAUGCUACAAAGCUUGUAUGUACAUAUAGCAAAUUAAAUGCAUUAAUUGAAUAGAGUGUGUUUAGUGAAUUUACCAGAAUCGUCCAGAAAACAUGGGAAACAGCAAGUGUUCUUGCAGACUGCGUCGGAGGCACCCGCACGAAUACAAAGCUGACAACAUAGUUUUGCCUGGGCGGAUGCGCAGCAGCCGCACUCCGCCGCGGUGGGGUUAACAUUGAGGCUCAAGAUGACCAGGCACAUGAUCACCAUCAAAGUGGUAGUCCUCUUUCCCUCCAUUGCCUCCUCUUAGCUUGCUGCUACCUUCCUUGGUUACCUAGCUAAGUUUAUUGGUUUUGUGUUGAGAGGUGUGAUUCUUGAAUGGACGUUGCCGGCGGCAAUUUAUAGGCAGCUGAGCUAUGUGAUGAUAUGGACUAGGUGCAAAUGGGUGGUUAAUGGCAAGGAAAGGGGCGUCAGACAAAGCCCAAUGGCAACUGCUGACAUGCGAUUAAAUUCAGAUCCACAUCCGGCCAUUCAAUAAUACGGUUGGAGUUGUGGCACAGAUAUAUUAUUGCAUGAUCAUCAAGAUAAGAUCGUACAGUGACUGAGUGAGACAAUAAAUAGCCAAGUAAACUAUUUUAUCCUGCUGCAAGCAGCGCUGCAUUCAUAAGUUUAUUUCACCUUUGAUCACAAUACUCUUCACACACGUACGUCUCAGGGAGAUCUUACUUCCGCUGGACUGCUCACUUCCGCUGUCAUCAGUACUGCCAAAGACACAAGCUCACAUCUGCUAUUGCGGAGCAGGCCAAUUUGCUGCGGAACUUCGGUGACGACCUGAAGGACAUGAAUUCGGUGCUGGAGUCCAUCUCAGUAGCACUCCAGGACGCUGACACUGGUAGAAAAACGACCUUCCAUCGUCAACAAAAAUCCCGGUAGCUUUUUUACUCAGUACUAAAGAGGUUUUAAUCUCGUGCAAACACCUUUAGUCCGGAUUGCUGUUACCUGUUACCACGCAACCCGGACUAAAGCGUACCCCACGAGUUACUAUAUAAGGAUUGCAUCCUUUACUUAGUCAGAUAUAAUGUGUAGGUGAGAUGAUAAGGAAGUUAUGCGUGAGGCUUAAGGUUGUGGGUUCGAAUCCAAGGAGAAGUGGGUGCAGCUGUGGCUUAAGCGGCUGAGGCACGCCGCCAUAGACAUCUCAAAUUUGCUCGAAGACUACCAAGACACUAGUGAACCCUUAACAGUAAAGGUGAGUACUUAUGAAUGUCAGCAUCCAUGUUGUCCAUGCUUCCAAUGUAAUAACAAGAUGGACUACUCUUCCUAGCGGACUCUUCACAACCACUCGUAAAGCUAUAUGUUUCUCAAUGCAAUUUCGUAGAAGCCAAUCGAUCCAACCAAGUGACUAAAUCAUUCAUCCUUUCCAAUGAUGUGCAUCAGGUUUUCUACAUGAAGGGCAUGUCUAGCAAACCCAAGAUUUCAGAAGAAAAAGAAAAAUCAUUGGAACCAAAGAGCCACAUAGUUCUUCCAGGAAAAAAAUCAUGGGAGUCGAGAACAAAUCAAACCAAUCAGAGGAUUAUGGUCAGCUUAAUGGCAUGCCUCCAUUCGAUGUCGAAGUUCACCCAAGCAUCAUGUUAGCCAAACAUCAAAUGUUCGUGCGUUGUUACGGUAAAGAUCAAUUGUGUUUUUUAAACUCAUGGAAUUUUUUUUCUAAGUUUUUAUUACACUUAUUGGAUGUCUACACAUUUGCUAGAAAACCAAAAUAAUUUGGACUUAAUUAUUUCUUUCAACUGAAGUACUCACUAAAUUUCUACCUUUUUAUUUAAGCAAGAGAGUUGCUAAAAAAAAUGGAUACAUAACCAUGUUGUAUCGUACAAAGCAACCACAUUUCACAUAUAGUCCGGCUUACCAAACACCAUUUUUUACUGAACAUAGCGUACAUGAGUUAAGAGACAUGGAUUUAUUUCUAUUGCAAGUAGCAUAGCGUACAACCUGCCUGCACCGAUGCAGCUCAAUAUGCGAUAAUUUUUAUCUUCCCAUGUAAUUUUUCUACUCUAGUACAUAUUGAACUCCACAUUAAUGUCAUGUUCUUUGGCGCCCCAGACGGUUCCUAAAGUUUGGAAACAAAAUAGAUAGCCAGAAAUUUUUUUUAAAAUAUUUAUAUGGAUAUUUGUAUGUUCUUUGCAAACUAACAAUAUUGUUUACCAAUAUCAAAAGGAAUAUGGCUAGGAGCCAUUGCCGCAUAUGGCAGGUGAUGGUAGAUGGCGUAUGGGAUUUCGUUAAUUUAAUGGUAUAAUAAGCUGAAAUACAUUUUCUAUUUGCAAAUGAAUCAUAGCUGAAAGUGGUGAGAUUGUUUUUUCGCCGGUUUAGCAUCCUGUGCACCGGUUCAACUGGAGGGAAGCGGUUCACCGAGACGGAUGGCAAUUUUACGGCAGAAUCAUUACUUGUUUUAUUAUUAGGUGAAGAUUUUAGCUUUUAGGUAUCUCACAUUAACAAUCUGUUUCUAGUGUAUAAUGUAGGAGACCCGUAAAGAGUCUACACACACAUAUAUAUGUUGACUAUGAAUGUAAGUUUGUUGGUUUUAUGUAUGUUCAUUUGGAGUUUAUAUAAAUUUUACAUUUUAUAGUUUUGUGUAUAUGACGAAGAUCCAUGACUUGCAUUAAUUUAACCUUUCUUCCAACAACUCUUAUGCAUGCUGUUUCUAGGGGAGCGCACUGGUUGCAAUUUUGGUCCCCGAUAUAGCAUGAGGACUUAAGGGAGACGUGCACGUCGUAACCUUAGAUAUUUUUGCAAGAAGCAAAUUAUACUUUGCUUUUGAUUUUCUCCAUGCCAUUUGCUGACUCUUAUCCCUUUUAUUUAUCAUUAUAAGAUGAAAAUAUUGUAAAAACUUGGUUACGUGCGGUCGCAGAAGCUAGAGACUAUUUCUUUUUUUAAAAAUACACAAGAGGGAGAAACUUGGUAACAGCUAGACAGUGAAGAUCGCAUUUCAUAAGAAAGAUGGUGCACGUUCUUGUUUGGCUGUUAACGAAAUGACUUCGUUUCACCACACCACCAGAGAGCCCCAUUGCACUUGCAGCAAAAGCGUGGAGCCGCUUUCAACCAGCGUGCAAUAAUGCAGUCCCGCGUGUCUUGGUCUUACAAGAUAUUUGGUUCUUUAGUCCGGACUAAAAUUCAUGUCGCAUAGAAUAUUCAGAUGUUAAAUAGGAGGACUAAACAUGAGCUAAUUAUAAAAAUAAUUACACAAAUGGAGGCUAAUUCCCGAGACAAAUCUAUUAAGUCUAAUUAAUCCAUCAUUAGCACAUGUUUACCGUAGCACCGUAUUGUCAAAUCAUGGACUAAUUAGGCUUAAUAAAUUCGUCUCGCAAGUUAGUCUCCAUCUAUACAAUUUGUUUUAUAAUUAGUCAAUGUUUAAUACUCUAUCUAAACAUUCAAUGUGACUGAAAUUUUAGGAGGUCCUAAAGAACCAAACACCCCUUAGUCUCCGCCUGAACUAUAGCAGGUGCUGGCAGCGGUAGCAGGGUCGUCCAUUAUAUCUAUGGAUGGAAAUGAUCUGAUUCGGAUGGAAUCGAAUUCGAAUAGCACUUUUUACCACAUACUAAUCUGAAUUGGAUGUUCUCGAAUGUGAAUGCAAAACGGAUAGUUCAAAUUUGAAUACUUUGCGGAUUUUUGCAUAAUAUUAAUCGAAGAGAAUUUGUUAAAUUUAGCCGGACAUAAAUUUUUCUAAAUUCAAAUACUUUGCAGAUUUUCGAAUGCAAAUUUUUUCAUACGAUCUCGGUUGAAUACAAACUUUAUAUCAAAGUUGUAUAUUUAGAUUAUAUAUAAAACUUUGUAGUUGACCUCCUUUUCAUUUAAAAUUUUUUAAUAGCUCAAAACAUUAUUCUAAGCUUUCUAAUUUCAAAAUCUUGAAUUUUAAAUUUUUCAAACGACCUCGGAUGCAAACUAGCUCUAUAUCAAAGUGGUAGUGCUUAAUGAGAUAUAAAAUUUUGUAGUUGACAAGUUUUUCAGUUGAAAAUAUUUAGUUAUCACAAACAUACAAGUUCUUCAUUUGAUGUCGAGGAUUGGAAGUGUUGAGUUUGAAGAAUAUAUUCUUUGAUUACAAACUUUUCCAUAUGAUCUUGGAUGAAUACGAACUUUAUUUCAAAGUUGCAAAUUUAGAUUAGACCAAAAACAGUAUAGUUUACAAUUUUUUCAUUCAAAAUUAUUUAGUAGCUCAAAAUGUUAUUCUAAACUCUCUAAUUUUGAAAUCUUGAAUUUUAAAAUUUUCAAAUGACCUCGGAUGCAAACAAGCUCUAUAUCGAAGUGGUAGUUCUUAAUGAGAUAUAAAAUUUUGUAGUUCCAUCUGAGAUCAUUUAACAGUCACAAAUAUACAAGUUUUUCAUAUGAUGCUAAGGAUCAGAAAGAUUAAGUUUGAAGGCUGUAUUUUUUUAAUACAAAUUUUUGCAUACGAUCUCGGAUGAAUACAAAUUUUAUAUCAAAAUUGUAGAGCUCGAUGAGAAUUUAAACUUUGUAGUUGAUAUAUUUUUCAUUCGAGAAUGUUUAGUGGUCCAAACAUGUAUUAUAAGUUCAGAGAAGAAACACACAAUCGGCCACGUCAUCAAUUGACAACUUCCAAAUUGAGCAUUCCUAUUGGUUCACACCUUUCCCUUUCAACUCGUCAAGCUUAUCUCCUCCCACUCCUCCAUCGUUCACUCCCCCUUCCCCUUCCUCUCUCCCUCCCUCCCUCCGCUCCAGCAGUGGCAGCCCGACCUGCCUCCUAGGACGGUGGUGUGCGGGGCUCGGGCAUCCCUGGCCUCUAGUGGCGUGGCAGGGCGGCCUCCAGCAGCGAUGGCGGAACUCGGCCUCCGGUGGCGCACAGGCAGCGCAGCCUACCUGGUCAAAGGCGGCGCAACAGGGCGACCUCCCCAGCCUCCGGUGGCGCGCAGGGCCUCCAUGACCUCCCCGGCCUCCCUUGCCAGAGGUGGUGCGCGGGGCUGCGCCGACCUCCCCAACCAGAGGUGGCAAGGCCCCAGCUUACGGCGGCGCGUGGCUCCCCAGCUAGGGUGUGGUGGGGCGGCGGCAAGUCAGGCGUGGCCACGUGGGGGUGGGGGGAGGGGGUUGGGCUGGGCGGAUUCAGAUAGUAUCCAUUUAACCAUCCGAAAUGUGGAUAUCCGUUUAACAAUCCGUUUAGCAAAACCGAAUUUGGAUACUUCCACUUAAGUAUCCAACUAGGAUUCGAAUGCGGAUGGUCCUACCAUAUUGUUAUUUCAGCGGAUACGAAUAUGGGAUAAUUCGAAUAACGACUUACCCAUCCCUGAUUAUAUCCGUGUAAAUAAAUAAUUGCGGCAGCAGGUUCCCGUCGCCACGCCCCCGUCAAACCAAACAAUUGCUUGCGCGACACCGUGUUACUAGAUCUUGUACAGUACUCCCUCCGUUGCAGUACUCCCUAAUGAAAGUUGAGAAUCGAUCGACAACCACGGCUAGUUGCUAUGCACUCGAUCAGAUGGUCCAGGCGCCCGCUGGUAAUCAGGUCGUGGUUCACGCGCAUCAGGCCAGCUAUGACGUUGCCAGCAGUGCUCAGUACACAAAUCUAGCUAUCAGUCGGAUCCAAUUGGGCAGGCAUUUGCACUGUGGUUGUGUUUGAACCUGGAGAUGUCGUUGUCAUUAUCAGGCACCAUACAUCCUCUCUCAGAGGGUGUUUCACCCCCUAAACUUUAGCCCCUCUCACAUCGAAUGUUUUAGAUACUAAUUAGGAAUAUUAAACAUAGAAUAUUUACUAAACCCAUUACAUGGAUGGAGGGUAAACGACGAGACAAAUCUAUUAAAUCUAAUUAGUCCAUGAUUUGACAAUGUGCUGCUAUAGUAACUAUUUGCUAAUGAUGGAUUAAUUAGACUUAAUAGAUUUUUCUUGCCGUUUAGCCUCCGUCUGUGCAAUUAGUUUUAUAAUUAAUUCAUAUUUAGUCCUCCUAAUUAGUCUCCGAAUAUUUGAUGUGACACCGACUAAACUUUAGAUAGCACACCAGGGACCGACACCAUGCAUGCUGAUUUCAUAUCAUAAUUAAGGAAAGUGAUAUCAUAAUUAAGGAAAGUGGUAGCAUCCAAGAAAUCGAUCAUGUUUCUUCCCCCUUUGGCUUUCCUACUAGGAUUUGGAUAGCGGGCCUUCCUACUAGGAUUUGGAAUCCGCUAUCGCAUGACUAUCUUAAUUAUGUCCCAUAGUCCAAAACUCACAAAACAUCAAAAAUCCACCGAGAAUAAAUUAAGUAAAAAACAUGCGCACACAGAUAAUAAUAAUAAUCAUGUUUCAAUAAAAUUGCUAAGAUUAGAGAUAGUACAUAAACAUAUUAGAUUGUUCGUGACACAUAUCAUGGUGGAUAGUGUCUGUGUCCUUAUUACAAGCAGCGAUAGAUGCUUGUCACCACACACACGCACGCACAGAUGCACGACAUACAUAUAGUUGAGACCAACGGAUGGAUGUCCCAUAGGGUGAAUAAUUUAUUGGAGAUAAAUAUUAACAUAACUUGGCCAUAGCUUGAAGCAUAGCAACAUAUGCUUAUGAAUGGCAUUCAUGCGGGUAGCAAUGCUAUCAUAUGCUUUUAGGCUUGUCCUUAGCUUCUUCCAUCUUAUAGCAAACACUGCCAUUUCUUCCAUUUUAGCAGCAACUGUCAAAUUAAUUGAGAUAUGGAAAUCCCAUUAGCGCAUGAGUUAAUUUUGCAGUGGAAAUAGAGUAGAAGAUGUCUUCAUAAUGUAAGUAAUAUGACUCUGACAUAGGGAGUGAAGUCAACAAAUUACAUUAACGGAAAUGCAUGGAAGGCCACGCAUAUGUAUUAGUCCGAUAUGCUACAAAGCUUGUAUGUACAUAUAAUAAAUUAAAUGCAUUGAAUAGAGUGAUUUUAGUGAAUUUACCUAAAUCGGAUUAAAAAACAUGGGAAACAACAAGUGUUCUUGUAGGGCUUUGUUUAGUUCCCAAAUUGGGAGUAGCAAAGUUUGCAUUUUACCAUAAAUGCGCAACUGUAGCAUGUAGCAUUUCGUUUGUAUUUGUGAAUUAUUAUCCAAACAUUGACUAAUUAGGCUCAAAAGAUUCAUCUCGCAAAGUACAACAAAACUGUGCAAUUAGUUUUUGAUUUCGUCUACAUUUAGUACUCCGUGCAUGUACCGCAAGUUUGAUGUGAUGGGAAAUCUUGCUUUUCAAUAGUGACAAAGUUGGGAUUUCGGGGGGAAGGCCUGUGUCGGAGCCACAUGCAAGAAUGGCUGACAUUGAGGCUCAGACAAAGCCCAAUGGCAACUGCUGACAUGCGAUUAAAUUUAGAUAUCCACAUCCAGCCAUUCACAUUUAUGAGAUAUGGACACGGUGCAAAUGGGUGGGGUCCUGAUAUGGAGGUGCGAAUGGCUGUCUACUUGUAUAGUGUAGCUCCAAUGUACGUAUAUGUAUCUUAUGCAUGUAUACAGUUGCACAAACUCUGAACCAACUCUUCAUAACAGGUCUUUGUUACCAAGUAACUUUACUUUUGCACGUUUCAGCCGAGAGGUAGAAGAGAAUAUUUUUGCAUUUUCCAUGUGCGUCAGUGGUAGAGAACUAGGAAUUAGUUCCGGAUGGUAGGGCACAAAUCUUCCAAACAACUAUCCGAAAUUAAGCAAUCGAGAUAAAGGGUGCCAUCUAUUCUCUCCGAAAAACACAGGUACCAAAAAGAAGAAGAGAAGAGGGAGGGCCUCCCGUUAAGGCCCGCUCGGGGUCUCCAUCCCACCACGCGCCCUCCCAACCCAAAGCCCAUCGUUUUCCCUCCGUCCCUCCCCUCUCCAUUGCCGCCGCUGCUCCCCUCAUCCGAGCUCGAUACGGGUGGUCGGCGGCCCCUCCUCUCCGCUCCCGCCCCCGGCCUCCCUUUGACCGCCGGGCGCCGGCAUCACUGCCGCGGCCAACCCCAGGGCGCAGCGCGUGCCUCUAUUUCUCUCCCCCGUUCAAGGGCCCUUUGAUGGCGACGAGCACCCACCCACCAGGUAUGCCCUCCCCUUCUCUUCCUAACCCUAAUAUAUUCGGAUCUCACCCAGUCACAAUAUAUUACCUAAUAGCUUCGAUUUUGUUUGCAAAAAUCAUCACGUGCGCACCCAUGUCCGCUAGAUUCUUGCGCCUGAUCCUGUGCUGCUAUGGUUUGGGCGGGGUAGACUAGUUGAUUCGUGCACUUUUGGGUGCUUGUAGUGCUAGGUUUUGGAGGGGGAUAGCCCAGUUGAUUCCUCCGUUUUGGGUGCUCAUGGUGAUAGGAUUUGGAUGGGGAUAGCCCCAAUGAUUCGUGCGCCUUUGGGUGCUGGGGAUAGUUUUGGGUGCCUGGAUAGUCCAGUUUCAAUGUCAGUAUAUGCGUAUUUUGGGGAGAAUUUUGUUUUGGGUGGUUCUGGUGCUAGAGUUUCUGAUGCUUAGUAGCCCAGUUUCAAUCAAAUUCCCCCAUGGGUCGUGCACUACGGGAAACAAGAAAAUUGCCGAGUGUAUUUUUUUUGCCGAGUGUUUUUUUUCCGAGCACUCAGCAAACAAGCUUCGCCGAGCGCCAAGUCAAAAACCCUCGGCAAAAAAAAAACACUCGGCAAAUCGGGGCUUUGCCGAGUGUCAAAUAAAAACACUCAGCAAAGAAGGGGGUUUGCCGAGUGUUAAAAAAAACACUCGGCAAACAGGAGGGUUUGCCUAGUGUUUUUUUGACACUCGGCAAAAAAAUAAUUGUUUUUCCUCUUUUCACCUUGAAAUUUUUUCUACUCCCCACAUACAACACGUGGUACUCCAUGUUAAAAUUUGGUAUAUUUUUGGAUUUAUUUGCUAUAUUUAUUUAAUUAAUUGCAUUUCAAGGAAAUUUUUGGUAUAAGUCAAAUUUGAACUGCAAGUGAUUCAAAUUGUGGAACAAAAUGAGUAGAAAAAUGAUAUUCAUGUUAUUUGGCUCAAUUUGAGAUCUGACCCAUGAAAUGAAAAGAAGUUUCGAACAUCUUGUUCAGGAAACACGACAAUGAACAUGUGGCGGUAGUAUUUUUAAAUUGUAAAAAAACAAGCAAAGUCUGAAAAUCAUGAGAUUUGUAGUUAUGUGAUGAUAUAAUACGUGGAAGCUGUGGAAAAAAAUUGGAAAGGUUUUGCACAUUUCAUCAUGUACGAUGAUUACAAACCGAAGCAUAUCAGAAGAAGAAUAGUAACUUUGAGAAGGAUUCGAUAAAAUUUAGAGUCGAAGUGACGGUCGAGUUCGGUUUGACUACAAAACUUUUUGUAUAGUCAGUAGAGAACAUAUCUUAUUUCGUGUGAAAAUUUGGUAUUUUUUGAAACUGUUGGAUAUUUUUAAUUUUUUUUUUAAAAAACUUGCCGAGUGUUUUCUCGGCACUCGGCAAAGACUUUGCCGAGUGCCCGACACAAAACACUCGGCAACUCAGUGUUUGCCGACUGAAAAAUUGCCGUGUGCCGUUUGCCGAGUGUUACACUCGGCAAACGGUUCGCCGAGGGUUUUUUGCCCUUCGCCGAGUGCCCCUAGCACUCGGCAAUUUCACUAUCUCCCGUAGUGGUGGCUGGACUUAUGGGGGGAUCAUUGAUGGGGGACUAGUUGGAUACUUUUUGGCUGUUUUGGGAGUCCUUGGCAGCGGCUUCUCAGGGCGUACGUAGCCCAUUGUAGAUUCCAGCCGAGAAGAUUAAGGAAUUGUGACUGCAACCAUGUUACUUUUCUAGGACUCUGUUUCUGAUAUUGUUCCCGCUGCAUCUUUUCAUCCCCAUGGUGAAUGUUGCUGUUGAUCUGUAGAUUGGAUUUGUUCCUCGGUAGCUUUAUUAGAUUUGUGCUGAAUGAUAAUCUCUGCCUGUGAUAUUUUUCUUCAUUGCGGAUGUGUGCCGAGUAUAUCCCCUUUGUUCAUUCUGUUGGCUUUUUUUAUUGUCUCUGUACUCGGCUGUUCAGCUUGUGCAGCUAAUGAUCUAAUGUAUUUUGUGGUAACUAUGUAUUUUUCGGAUGUGUGCCGAGUAUUAUCCCCUUUGUUUAUUCUGUUGGCUUGCUUUCAUUGAUCUUAAGAUAACUGGUGCUAUAAAUUCACACUAGCUGAUGCACUUGCAAAUAGCUAUGUAAAUAUGAAAAGAAGUAUUUUUUUAUCCUUUUGUUUGUUUGGCAUCAUAUCUGUUUAAAUGGCAUAGCAAUAAGAAUUUUUUGUUUUUGGGGAAUCAUAUCUGCUUAAAUGGUAUAGAAAAUGCUGAGUGCACUGUCAAAUAGAUUUUCCAGCAGUCUGCUUUCAGUUGUUUUUGCAAAUCCUCACAGGCCAGUGAACUGACUUUGUUUUUACCACCCCAUGCCAUCUAAAUGACUAAAUCAGUCAGCCUAAUACUAUAUAUGGUCAUGCUAUGAUCUUAUUUCUUGAAGCUCUAUAGGUCAACCCAUAAGGGUAACUUAGUUUUUCCUAUUCUGGCUGGGGAAGUGGAUACGAUGGCUAUCCUUGGUAGAGUUAAAUACAUUGGCGGCUCUUAGCGCGCCAAUGUGGCACCACAAUAUCGAACAUAUGUAGAAACCCCCUUGUUUUUUCUCAUAUCCCUCUCUCUCAGCGUCCUCUUCUCUUCUUCUCCUCUGUCUCCUCCCCUCCCAUCGCGUGCUUUAUUGCGCCGCCGCCAUCCGCCUCCAUGUAUGAACACGUCGUUUGUCAUGAAGAAGCAGUUGAUGAGGCAAUCAAGCAUGUGGUGCACAAGGUUCUUCUGCUGGCCAAGUCCGAGUCGAACAGCCGCGCAUUCAUUGGGGAAGCACGCGCCAGGCAUCACCAGGCUCCUCGUGCCCCUACUCUGCUCCAAGGACUCGGUGCUUCGACGCGCUGCUUUCCCUGUCCGGCGAGCGGGGAUCGUUGGGAGAUGAUCGAUGGAGGAUGGAGCUGAUCCUCCUGUACACGGUGCCGGUGGGGAGCAGGGAGCUGCGGAGCAGGUCCACGGGCGGCGCCAUUACAGCAGGUGCAGGCUAAGGGUAAUGAGCAGAUCGAGGCGAUGGAGGAGGACCCGCACGAGGUGCAGCUUCUUCGCCUCCUGCGCAAGGUCAGCGCCCAAGCAGCCGCUGAGGGACAGGCCGAGGCUUAGCUCGAUCUCAUCCGACUAAAUGGUGGCUGCACUCCCACAGUCCCACUGGUGCUCCUCCCUUCUGUCCGAACCUGCCGAGGAAAUCCCUCGAUGCCAUGGGUCCCGGCUGGACGACUACUCCUCCCACAGAUUGACUGAGGAAGAAGAGCUUCUCAGUGUCCAAAAAUUCAGUUACACUGGAAACAGCAACCAAUUACGUCCUUCCGGCUCAGCCAAGCCCCAAUCUCCUUGCUUCUGUGCGCCCCUGCUAAAUAUUCCAGAAACCAAUCUGGUUAGUUGUUUUUUCACAUUUUCAGUGCAUGCCGGUGCUGCUGUGUGCGGCAUGCAUGGAGUUGUCGUGGGAGUGCACGGUGGCUUAGCUGGUGCGCCAGUGCGCGGGCACGAACACAACGGUGAAGAUGGCAGGGCCAUCUCAAAGCUCCUGAGCACCUGCACGCGUCGCUGAGCAGGACAUGCUGCGACGGUGGGCGAGCGCUGCUAACGCCCUGGGGAAGAGCAGUGGGUGCAGAGAGAGGGAGCGAGGGAGAGGGGUUCUUGUAUAUGUUUGCUAGCGUGGCACCGUUUACGGUGCCCGCCUAAGUGGCAUUCACGUGUCAUUCAUCCCAAAUGGUGUUGCAAGGUUGAACCUAUUGUGGGAGGCUUUUGGUUUCCCUUGACCAAGUAUCACCAGUGAUAUCACUGCGUUCUGGUUAUGUACGAAACACUUGUCCUUUUAAAACCUUUCUGAAUUUAGAAACGAAUUUGAAACAUUACCCUCAUUUCCAUGUUUUUCUAUCUUUUGUCCCUGUAAAAUCAAACUAAAUUUGAAUUAUUAUGUUCAGAACUACAAGCUGAUUUACUUGUCCCAUUUGCUAAUAACAGGGCCUUGUGAUUUCUAAUGAACAUUGCAGAGCAUGUUAUAAAGCGUAUGCAUGAACACCAAGGGGAUGAAACCAUUGGUAUAUUUCUCAUAACCUUUUGAACUUAUCAUUUAGCAUAUUUGUGUUCUAGUGUGACGUUUCAGCCACGAGACAUGAGAAAUGUUAGCUAUGGAUUUUGGUUAUUCAUCAUGGGUUCACAGAUUUGUUUUUCUCUAAAAGAAUUGGGAAGUAGCUUUCUUUCUGGGUAUAUGUGGGGAAAUGCAUAUGCAAUCUUUUAUUUAUUGAGGUGACUGUAAAAUUCUUGUCUGACUGAAUAUGCGAUUUCAACCUACAUGCUAUACUUAGGGAAAUUUGUGAAUCUCCUAAUGUCUGCUGCAUGGCAUGAAUGCAUAUUUUACUGGUCCAUAAUGUGAAGUUCUGUAUAUAAACUUCUCGUGUUGACCCUUUAGAACAUGCUAACUGGAGAGUUUUCUAGAGUAGUUAAACAAGAGAUUUAGUUAAAUCUGCACACAUAGGUGGGGCCUGGCAUACCCUAAGAAUCGGCCUAGCCGGCCAGCCCAUUAGUAAAAAAAAAAGCACCGCAGUCAGCAGUCCCCACGUUGGUCUUCCUCGAGUCGCGACUCGCGAAGAUCCCAUCCUCCGAGUCCAAGAUGGUGGACUGUGUCGAGCGCGGGGCGGGCGAUUAGUUGCCCGGCCGCCGGCGGGGGAUGGCCGGACGGCCAGAUCGCCGACUCCUCUAGUCCUCCCUCCAGCCUCUGCGCUUCUUUCACAGUGGAGCUAGCGGCGAGGCGCCCGACCGACACCCUUCUUCCCAAAUCCCGGCAGCCCUGCCUCGAUUUGGCCUCCUCCGAUCAUUUGAUAAUCAAUUUGAUGAAAUUAAUAUGGAGUUGCUUUCUUGUAUGGUUGCCUUCAAUCCUGCUAAUUCAUUUGCUUCAUUUGAUGCACAAAAGAUACACAGACUUGCUAUAUUUUUAUCCACAAGACAUCACAAGCACGGAUUUGCUAAAACUUGAAUUCCAGCUCGAUAUUAUAUUGAUGAUGUGAGAUAGGAUGAUAGUUUCAAAGGCCUACAAGAUCUUGUUAACUGAGACUCAGUUAAGCUUGUUGAAACAAACAGGCAUAAUAUUUAUGACUUGGUUUACUUGCUUCUCAAAUUGGUAUUGGUUCUUCCUGUGGCGACAGCUAGUGUUGAAAGGGAUUUUUGUGCAAUGACUUUGAUCAAGAGUAAGCUAAGAAAUAAGAUGGGUGAUAGUCUUUUGGAUGAUUGUCUUAUCACAUUCAUUGAGAAAGAUAUUUUCUUUGAAGUGGAUGAAGAAGAUAUAAUUAAGACUUCAUAUCCAUUAGAAAUCAUAGGCUGGAGAAGAAGUAAUAUUUUAAUUUUCUUUGAACGUUAGGUCUGUAAGCUUCUUUUAAACUAUCUACAUUAUAAUUUAUGGACCUUUUAAUUUAACCGUUGAAUUCAUGAUAUUAUGAGAUUUUUUUAUCUAUGUUAUUAUUGUUUACCGAUUUAUUACCAAAUUAUUAGUUUGAUCUUACAAUAUUGUAUUUUGGAUGAUUGGCUCGGCAUACUCUAAGUUUAAAUCCUAGCUCCGCCACUGUUUGCACAUUAAUGUGGCUUAUAUGUGUGGAGUCACUUAACCUAUGCACUUGGACCUCCACUCCCUUAGGUUUUAUGAACCUAAUUUGACAGCCUGCUCGUCUUUUAUUUUCUACCAAUCAGCUAGGAACGAACAUGGUGAUGUUUGCAUCUCUUGCAUCAAUGGCUUACAUGUCAUUAUGUAUCACAUUAGCAAGUCUUGUUUUGUUAUUGGCUGGGAUGACGGGGACUCUAGCUGGAAUUGAAUCAAAGUGGUAGAUCACAGGGUAUUCAUUGCCAUGUAUUUCUGCAGUUGCAUGGACUUGCAUCAAACGGACCUUCCUACUUAUGUGAUUGUCCUAUAUGAUCUCCUUUGAUUUCAUUUGCACACUGUAAUCACAUUAGCUAGAACACUCGCUUUUUGCUUCAAAUUUGAAAUUCAUAUCAUGAUGGACUAGAACGCUGAAUUUCUUGAUUGCUGAGUUACUAAUCACAUUGUGGCGCUGCCAAAGAAGCUGGACUCUUCAUUGUUGUUGCCUUGUGGGCUGCCGUGUGCAAAGAACAAGAGCGCACGGUAUUAUAAUAGCAGAGCUGAACACAGACAAGCGACAAGGAGCGGAGCAGAGCAGAGCACAGCCAAGCACAAGCAGUAGAGUAGAGCAGAGCAACCGGGAGAGGAGAGGGCACAUAUGCAGAGUAGAGCAGAGCCAAGCGCAAGCAUUCAUGCACUCAAGCAUGCAGCAGAGGUGUAGCAAGGCAAGCACAAGCAGCAGAGCAGAGGGAAGGGAAGGCUGGGAGAUGAAUAGGCGAAUAGUUACCUGGACAGAGCAGAGGGAAUGGAGAUGAUGCAGAUGCUUCCGGAGACUGGAGAUUUGGAGAGGAACAAGGCCACGUUGUGAACAAGGUCUCCUUUCUCUUCUCUAUUUCCCGCGCAAGUACUUGUGCAUAGUGGCUGCCUCAUCCUCCAGGACGCCCACUUCAACCUGAGGCGGGUGCCACAGACAUCCUGGCUAUGCGACGGCUACCCCCAGCACACCCCCAGCGCCUAUGAACCAUGAUCCUAAUACUAUAAAUUGUCAACCUUGUAAUCUUAUUUCAAGCAUGCUUUCUAUGUCAACCUGUAAGGUUAAUUUCGUUUUUCCUUUUCUGGGUAGGGGAGUGGAUAUUGCUGUUAUUUAUAUUAUGUUGAUAUUGGUUUCCACAUGUCAUUCACCCCAAAUGUGUUGCAAGGUUGAACCUAUCAUCGGAGGAAUUUUUUUCCCUUUACCUUUAUAUCACUACGCUCUGGUUAUGUAUGAAACACUUGUCUUCUUAAAAACCUUAAUUUAGAAACAAAUUUGAAACACUAUCUUCAUUUACAUCCUGUAUGUGUUUUCUACCUUUUGUCCUAUAUGAUCUGCUUUGAUUUGAUUUGUGCAUAGUUUUUUCAAUUCAGACCUGGUGAUCUCUGAGGUUCAUGUUGUGCUGAUAAGCAGCCUACUAUUCAGUAACACUUUCAUGUGGCAUGUUCAUGUUAGCUAGCUAGAAACACUGCUUUUAGCUUCAAAAUUCAAAUUCAUGACAUGAUGGACAUUGACAAUGAAUUUCUUGAUUGCCGAGCUAUGUACACUGUAAUUCAGACCUGGUGCUUUUAGUUUUUUUCUUGAUUGCCGAGCUAGAAACACUGUGCUUUUAGUUUUUUCAAUUCAGACCUGGUGAUUUCGGUUUUUUCAAUUCAGACCUGGUGAUUUCUGAGGUUCACGUGUCACACCGAUUUUAAGAACAAAAUCGAGUGCAUUAAAUAUACAUGUACGCUAGGAUCAGGUUACACACAUGUACGACAUAAGCGAAUAUCAAAGACAAUGCCAUAACGAAAUAAAGAGAGUAUUAAUCAUUAUUACAUGACCGAAAGUCUCAAAUAAACCACAAAAUCUAUUUAUUACAUAGCGGAACUCCUAAGAUAGCAACGUCUCCACAGGCAGCUGACUGAAGAACUGUAUGCCUAGAACUCUUCAAAAUCGUGCAGGUACUCCUCCAGAUUAGCUUGGUAUGAACAACGGUUUUGCAAGGGUGAGUACACUUAUGGUUGGUACUUAAUAAGUCGUGGGAAACAAUGUAGUGUAAGGCAAAUCAAGGUAUGGCUAAGGCUUAAACAGCAUCAGCUUUUAAUUUAGUUGGUCAAAUUUUAUUAGCAAUUAAUUAGACGUAAAUUUAUACCACCCGAAAUUAAACAAGAACAUGAAUAAAAUAAUAACAUAACCAUAAAUGAAAUGACAACAAUUUAAAUCCAUCUUUUCAUAGCAUUAUCAUGUGAGGGUCCAGUCCGCUCUUAACCGUGAGCACCGCUGAUCGAUCAGUUUUACACUCUGCAGAGGUUGUACAUCUUUACCCACAAGUCGCGUAAAAGUUCAAAAGAAUUUUGGACCCAACCAUGCGGUGUUUGCAAGGCACCAUACCACACUUCCAAGGUGUGAUUGCAUAUGAACGCUACGAGGCCUUUACAAAGAUUCAUUAGUAAGUGGUAACCCGCUAAAGUUUCGGUAUUUGGCGUGCACAACCUAUCACAGGCCGCUAAUGCAACGACUCAGUCCCCCCUCUUGCCUCAUCACGAGUAAGAUUACCCCAGACUAAGGUUUCUAAUUAUUCAGCCAAGAUCAGAACCAUUUAGUCUUGUGGUAGCACUGUUUUCUUGGGUGGUUCUCCAUGUUCCGAUUAAACAUAAUGGUCUUGUAUUAAUGGAAGGUAUAACAUAAAUAAUACCAAAUUAAUAAUAAUUCAGAUUAAAUCACCAUAACCAUAUUUGAGCACUAAGCAUGAGCUACCCAACAUAAAUUUAACCCGGUUGGUCAAGGCAAGGUAGAUAAAGUCUAGGAAAUUCUUAAUUGGGACCCAUCAAGUUUAAAUUAUACUUUGCAUGGUAUUGUUGCAUAGAACAUGAAAGUAAAUGUGAAUAGGACUGAAAAGGAGUGAUUAGGGACACGACUUGCCUUUUUAACCUUGUUCUUGCUGUUCGUACUCCUCGAAAACUUUGAUCUUCAAAUCCCUCGAACUGCUGACCGUCUACACGCGUCACACGACCACAUACAAGCAAACAAAUAUAAUACAUAAGAAAACAGUACACCAAUCAUAAUUAAAUAGAAGAAACAAAUUUGAAAAGCUAUUCUACGCAUUAAAACGAAAACACGGAUACAAGGAACGUUAAAAACGGAGCUACAGUGCAAAAACUACGCUUAAAACAAGAUGCAGGGGUAUAACUACGAGAAACCAAACUUCCAGGGAUUUAAUUUUAAAUAAUUUUGAACUGCAGAAGGGGCAGCAGGGAAAAACGUAGAAAAUGCAGGGGCUUAAGCGCAAAAGCAUGGCUGCUGACUCAGCUGACUUGAUGUGGAUCGUCGGAUGGCGAUCCGGCGGCCGGCAGCUGCUGCGCUGACGUCAGCGACGGCGAGCGCCGGCGAAAAACGGCAGUUCGCCGGAAUCGCCCGGGAACGCGCGACUGGGUGCAGAUUUGAGCGAGGAUUAGACUAGCAGAUAGAAACGAGCGCAGUGAACUCAUUUGGGAUGCCUACGGCGAGGACUUGGCGACGGCAUCGGCUCCGGCGAGAACUUGCGGCAGGGAAACCAAAUAAAAUAAAAUAACACGGUUCAGAGAAGCGGCGCUGGAGGAACGCGAGCGAUUUUGCGUGCGAGCGGAAGAAAACACUGCGAGGAAGAUGACUGCGGGCCCUGCUUGUCUGCGGCAGGAGGAGAGCUGCGUGCGAGAAGAACCUGGCCACGAUCUGGGCCGUUGCCUUCGAUCUGGGCCGAGGCAAGCUAGCUGGCCCGCUGCUGCGGAAAGGUGCUGGGCCACGGGCGGAGCACAGCGUCGGGCCAGAAAGGAGAUGGCUGCUGCGAGGAAACAAAAGAAAAUGAACUGGGCUGCGACAGAGGAAAACUGGGCGUCGGCCAGAAAGAAGCUGCGUGCAGCUUGCUCUUGUUUCCGAACUAGAAACAGGAACUGACGGAAAGACAGAAAUCAAUUGGAGACUGAAACUGACGCCCCAGACUCUGAACUUCGAAAAAACAGGACAACCAGCCAACUGACAGAAAAAAAAAAAGCUUAACAACCCAAAAGCAGUACACAACCACGAAACCAGGCCACAAGACUGAAAAAGCUUGAUAGGAACAUCUGGCGACUGAACCAAAAAACUACAGAACUGCAACUGAAGAACUAGAGAACAGAUAAAUAACUGAUUGAACUCUGAAACUGAAACACCAAAGAGCAGGAAGCUGACUGACGGAAAAUGCAAAACAGCAACCCAAGGUGAAACACAAAUCCUUCUUCAAGCAUUCAAACAAAGAGAUAUGCAACAGCAUGAAUGCUCAAUAAAAUCCUAUAUUUCAUUAAUUAAUUAGAAAAAAUGCUCAAAUGCCUAGAAAAAUGCAAAAGUGACCUUAUAUACCUUAAACAAGCAAAUUCGUUUCUAGCGAUUUUUGGUAAAAUGCAAAAUUAGAGAUUUUGGGUGUUACAUCAUGUUGUGCUGAUAAGCAGCCUACUAUUCAGUAACACUUUCAUGUGGCAUGUUCAUGUUAGCUAGCUAGAAACACUGUGCUUUUAGCUUCAAAAUUAAAUUCAUGACAUGAUGGACAUUGACAAUGAAUUUCUUGAUUGCCGAGCUAUGUACACUGUAAUCACAUUGUGGGGCUGAUAAAAUAAGCAGCGUUGAGACACAUAACAAUUGAAUCUUAAGCUUCACACAGAAUCUGGACCAGUCAUCCUCAUUCCUGUCAUGCUGGAAAUGUCUUUGAUACAUUUCAAUCACAGGCAAUUGAAUUCGUACUGGGGAGGAUGGCAAUGGUGCGUGAAGAGAGAUCAAUGUGGCAAAUCUCACAUUGUUCAUUACCAGGUAUCUCCGAUUUCUGGUUAUUUUAAAUUUACCUUGACAUGUGACUUAUUGAGGUAUUGUAUUUCAUCUAAUGGUAGUUCUGAAUUUAUGGUAACCUUGGAUGGGGUUUGUCACUUUAUACACGCACGGACUUACAAAGGACAGCAAAUGAGUAUAUUUAGAGGGCUCCUGUCCAACCAUGGACUAUACUUAUGUACCCUUUUUUGACAUGGUAAUUUGAGGUUAAUGGAAAAGUAGCGAUAGUCGCCUCCAGCGAAGCUACCUUCUUCGAAAGCUCCGAGGCUGCUUUCUCGCUCUUAGCAAGCCGAUCCCUCGUAAUCAUCGAAGAGUAAGAGACCUACAGAUUUUAAAAACCAAGUUACCAAAAAUAACGAAGUAAAAGACAACACUCGCAAGACAAACCACCAAACUAUCUCAUAAUUGUACCUUCUUUACGAGGUUCGCCUCCAAGUUAAAGAGCUCUUCCAAGAUCAUUGACUUCACAGCUUGCUGAAAAUCUAUGCGCCAAAGGAUAUAGUCGUAAGCAUAAAAUAAAAAUUGGUAAAAACCAAGGACAGCAAAGCCAUCUACAAGCUGUUCUUACCCUCAUACUUUCGCACCUCAACGGCGAUCGGAACAACCUUCUCUCUAGCCUCGCCCUUAGACGCCACCACAAUCUUCCCGCCACACAAAUCCACAACCUGUCCUUUACCUUUGCCCUCUCCCGAAGUCGUCGUGCCCGCCUUCUCCACCCUUUUUGAACCGCCAACAUCUGCAUAGCGCUCGCAACCUUCACCUUCAGCCCCCCAGACCAAAGACAGGUUGUGAGGAUUAUAAACCCUACCUUCGGCGCAUGUAGCUAGAAUCUCCGUGCGCCCGCUCAAGCCCAGACACUCAUUCAGUCCCUGAAGCCCCGCCGGCAACCUCUCACCUACAUCAUAACAUUCAACUUUUAGCCUCACAUGAUCCUCACAACUAACCUUACCAACGCCCCCCAUAGUUUCUUCCAAGUCCUUCAAAAAUUUUGUUGAGGCCUCACCACAAUCAAAGAACCGUAGCAUCGAUAGAAACACCUCUACAUGCUUACCAGAUCUCACAGCUUCGGCACACCCACCCUUUGGAUCGGAUGAGAACGCAUCCACAAGCUUCGCCUUUUCAGUGGCAAACCCCCUCUCAAGUUUCCCAACAUCAGUCAAGAGAUGUUGCGCGCUCUUAAACUUCGAGCUUAUGGAAGGCACCGUGAUCUUGGUACCAGCUGCCGAAGACGCGUCAACCUUGGCACCCGUAACAGUAACAGGAGCAAAUCGAGGUUUCUUGGCGCCUCUUUUGAUCCGCGCAGCGGGCCCGGUGGAUGAAGGUGCAAGAGCUGGAACCUCCUUAGGAGGGCGCAUAGAGACAGGAACAACAUGUGCCGGAUUGCUCAAGUCGCCAGACGAAGCUGUCGACCACGAUGGCAACAUAGCAGACGAAGCCCCCGCGGUCAUUUCCUUCCUUUUUUGCGCCUCCAAAUUCAAGGUCUUUUGCUUCGCCUUAGCGGUCACUUGCAAUUCAAUAGUGAGCUUCACCACGGGUACGAAGUCAAAUUUUGCCUUUUUCCUCUGCUCAAGACUAGCACCGCGACGGCGCCUCUUGCCCGUAACUUUGGGGUGAGGCAGAACCACAAUAUCAUACAAGUCAAAAAUCUGAGAUGAUGACAUUCCAUUUGUAUCCAUGAUUUAUAUUGUGUUCCUUGAAUAUCCAUUAAAGUCUACUUGAAUUGAUUUGCAAUUAUGUGAAUUGUAUGUGAAACUCUUUCCUUGUAUGGUUAUUCUAAAGUUGUCCCUAGUCGGAGUUCAUGUGAGGACACAUGAAUAUUAGACUAGCACAUGUAUUAGAUGAUGACUAUGUUUCACAAGUCAUGGACAUGAAGAUGUGGAACUAAUAAUGUGGGCACAUGUGGAGACACGUGCUAGGACUGACCCAACACGAGAAGUAGUUCUCUCUUUAUACAACAUAUACGCUUUGUCCUUAGACCUGAGAUUGUCGCAUGUACUCAAGAUGUGGAUUGACUUACUUAGGGGCUAUCAAAUUCUACGCCGUAACAGGGUAGUUAUAAAGGUAGCUUUCGGGUUUGUCAAGAAGCAUGCUAUGAGACAUGGUCAAUCAAGAUGGGAUUUGCCCCUCUCUGAUUGAGAGUGAUAUCUCUGGGCCCCUCGAGUGAUCGGAUCCGAAAAUGCAUGGCCAUGCUACAUACGGUUAAGAGUUAGCCUACAAAGGGAUUCCGAAUCAUAGGAUCGAGAAAGAGCGGUCGGCUUGAAGCUAGACCAAAUAUCGUGAGGCAAAGGGAAUAGCAUGUAUAUAAUGUUGUGAUGGUUCGUCUGAUAUGAUCUUCGUGUGCGUAUAGGAGUUGGCACGUCUUGCUAGAGGUCGCUACCGACUAUUGGGCCGAGUAGGAGUACUCAGGCCAUGUCUAUACGUAUCCGAACCCAUAGGGUCACACACUUAAGGGGCUGGAAGCCCAAUUCGGAUGUGAUCCGAAUUGGAUUAGGUUUAGAAGUACUAAUGGGCCUUGGACCCAGAGGUCCGUUAGGAACCUCUAUAAAUAGAGGGGUGGGGGCGCCCUAGGGUUUACACCUUUUUGGUGAAACACAUCUGCCGCGCCUCCCACGCCCUCGCCUGUUGCAACUCGCGGACCUAGCAGUCCGGCUUGCGACGCUUCCUCCCUGCACGUGUGGAUACCUUGGAAGUGUUGCUCCUGCAGCACUUGGACGAGCCGCCAAUGAGCCACGACGAGCCACGAUGAGCCGACGAUGAGCCGCGGCACGAGGGGGAUCUUGCUGCACGUGGACGAGCUGCUGAGGAGCUGCUGGACGUCGAUGUGUUCGACUACGUACGACUACGCUGAUCGACUUCGCUGCAUCAACGCGAAUCUACAUCUUCCGCAUCAUUGCAUCGAGUGGUAAUCCCGUGAUCCUGAUACGGCAGUUUUCCUAGUUUACGCGGUAGAAAAUUUUAUUUUGCGCUAGUGUAGCCUACCUCAUAUCCCAACAACGUGUGCUAUAGGUCACGCAAGCCUGAAAAUGGCCACACCGGACACCGGGUACGAAAACAUGGGGGAUGGACCGAACAUUUGAAAAUGGCCUCCAUAUGUGUUUUCGGCUAUGAAAACGUGUGUUAUAGGUCACGGAAGCUUGAAAACGGCCGCACCAGCCACUAGGGACGAAAACGUGGGGGAUGGACCGAAGACAUAAAAAAUAGCCUCCAGACGCGUGUUCGGCCAUGAAAACGUGUGGUAUAGGUCCUGGAAGGCCAAAAACAGCUACACCGGCCACCUGGGAUGAAAAAGUUUGUGUAAGACCGAACACUUGAAAAUAGCCUCUGGACGCGUGUUCGGCUAUGAAAAGGUGUGUUAUAGGUCACACGAGCCCCAAAACAACCACAGCGAACACCGGCUACAAAAACAUGGGGGAUGGAUCGAAUAAUUGAAAAUGGCCUCCAGACGUUUGUUCGGCCAUGAAAUCGUGCGUUAUAGGUCGCGGGAGCCCGAAAACGGCCACACCGGCCACCGGGAAUGAAAAUGUGGGGGAUGGACCGAAUAAUUAAAAAUGGCCUCCGGAUGUGUGUUCGGCCAUGAAAACGUAUGUUAUAGGUCACGGGAGCAUGAAAACGGCCGCACUGGCCACUGGGGACGAAACGUGGGGGAUGGACCGAAGACGUGAAAAUGGCCUCCAGACGCAUGUUCGGCCAUGAAAAUGUGUGCUAUAGGUCAUGCAAGGCCAAAAACAGCUGCACCAACAACCGGGGACGAAACCAUGGCUGUCAAACCGAACGCUUGAAAAUCGCCUUCGGACGCGUGUUUGGAUAUGAAAACAUGUGUUGUAGGUCACGCGUGCCCGAAAACGUCCACAACGGACACCGGGUACAAAAACGUGGGGGAUGGAUCGAAUAACUGAAAAUGACCUCCGAACGCGUGUUCGGCCAUGAAAACGUGUGUUAUAGGUUGCGGGAGCCCAAAAAUGGCCACACCGGCCACCGAGGAUCAAAACGUGGGGGAUUGACCGAACAAUUAAAAAUGGCCUCCGAUUGUAUGUUCGGCCAUGAAAACGUGUGUUAUAGGUCAUGGGGGCCCAAAAAUGGCCGCACCAGCCACCAAGGACGAAAAUAUGGGGGAUGGACCAAAGACAUGAAAAUGGCCUCCAGAUGCAUGUUUGGACAAAAGUGUGUGCUAUAUGUCGUGCAAGGCCAAAAACAGCUACACCAGCCACCGGGACGAAAACGUGGGUGUUUGACUAAACAAGUGAAAAUGGCCUCCGGAAGCAUGUACGGCUAUGAAAAUGUGUGCUAUAGGUAAUGGAAGGCUAACAAAAGCUACACCGGCCACCGGGGACAAAAUCAUGGGUGUCAGACUGAACACUUCAAAAUGGCCUCCGGACGCGUGUCCGGCUAUCAAAACGUGUGUUAUAGGUCAUGCGAGCCCGAAAACAACCACACUGAACACCGGGUACAGAAACAUGGGGGAUGGACUGAAUAACUGAAAAUGGCCUCUAGACGCGUGUUCGGUCAUGAAAACAUGUGUUGUAGGAUGCGGGAGCCCGAAAACGGCCACACCGGCCACCAGGGCAUGGACCAAACAAUUGAAAAUGGCCUCCGGAUGUGUGUUCGGCCAUGAAAACGUGUGUUAUAGGUCACGGGAGCCCAAAAAUAGCCGCACCGACCACUGGGGAUGAAAUCGUGGGGGAUGGACCGAAGAUGUGAAAAUGGCCUCUAGAUGCGUGUUCGGCCAUGAAAACGUGCGCUAUAAGUCAUGUAAGGCUAAAAAUUGCUACACCGGGACUAAAGCAUCCCCCAUGAGUUACAAUAAAAGGAUUGUAUCCUCUACUCAGUCGGAUGUACUGUGUAGGUGAGAUGGUAAGGAAGCUAUGCGCGUGGUUUGAGGUUGUGGGUUGAAAUCCUACGCACCGCGCGCACACGCGCAUAUUUUGUGUGAAAAAUCAUGUGACUUGUGAUCGGCCAAGGAGAAGUGGGUGCAGCUGUGGCUUAAGUGGCUGAGGCACGCUGCCAUAGACAUCUCCGAUUUGCUCGAAGACUACCAAGACACUAGCAAUAACAAGAACUACUGCUCUUCCUAGCAGACUCUUCACAACCACUUUAAAGCUGUGCAUUUCUCAAUGCAAUUUCGUAGAAGGCAAUCGAUCCAACCACGCGACUAAAUCAUUUGUUCUUGCUAAUGAUGUACAUCAGGUUUUCUAUAUGAAGGACAUGUCUAGCAAACCUAAGAUUUUAGAAGAAAAAUAAAAAUUAUGGGAGUCAAUAAUAAAUCAGGCCAAUCAGGAGAUUAUAGUAAGCUCGAUGGUAUGCCUCCAUUCGAUGUCGAAGUUGGCCCAAGCAUCAUGUUAGCCAAAGAUCAAAUGUUCGUGCAUUGCUACGGUAAAGAUCAAUUGUGUCUUUUAAACCCAUGGAAUUUUUUAUCUAUGUUUUUAUUACACUUAAUGGAUGUCUACACAUUUGCUAGAAAAUCAAAAUAAUUUUGACUUAAUUAUUUCUUUCAACUCAAAUACUCAUUAAAUUUCUACCUUUUUAUUUAAGCAAGAGAGUUGCUCAAAAAAUGGAUACGUAACCAUGUUGUAUCAUACAAAGCAACCACAUUUCACAUAUAGUCUGGCUUAGCAAACACCAUUGUUGUCUUAACAUAGUGUUCAUGAGUUAGUAGACAUGGAUCUAUUUCUAAUUGCAAGUAGUGCAGCGUACAACCAGCCUGCACCGCCGCAGCUCAAUAUGCGAUAAUUUUUUAUCUUCCCAUGUAAUUUUUCUACUCUAGUACAUAUUGAACUCCACAUAAAUGUCAUGUUCUUUCACGCCACAGACGGUUUCUAAAGUUUGGGAACUAAAUAGAUAGCCAAAAAUUUUAAAAAAAUAUUUAUAUGGAUACAUGUAUGUUCUUUGCAAACUAACAAUAUUGUUUACAAUAUCAAAAGGAAUAUGGCUAUGAUCAUUGCCGCAUAUGGCAGGUGAUGGUAGAUGCCGUAUGGGGUUUCUUUAACUUAAUUGUAUAAUAAGCUGAAAUACAUUUUCUAUUUGCAAAUGAAUCAUAGCUGAAAGUGGUGGGAUUGUAGAACCGCCGUCCAUCGUGUCCUUGUAGGACCGCUGCACGAGCCUGUGAGCCACCAGCCACCAUGCGCCCAAGGGCCAUCACCACGCCACAAGAGGAUGCUGUCUACCCGGUUUCGCGCGCCUGUGCUAGCUGCCUGAACCUGGGCCGCCGCCGGUCGCCUGCCCAGCCGCGCGUUGCGCCAGGGUUUUGCUGGUGACGACCAUGGCCUUCGCGAUCAAAUUAAAAAGUUAUCAACUGCAAAGUAUUAGGCCUCGUUGAGCUCUACAAUUUUGAUAUAAAGUUUCUAUUCAUCUGAGAUCAAAUAAAAAAUUUGAUACUCAAAACAUAAAUCCAUUAAUCUAGUCUUGCUAAUCCUUACCACCAAAUAAAAAACUAGCAUGUGUUGUGUGUUUGUGACCCUAAACGAUCACAAAUGAAUAACUUAUGGACCUUGCUAGCGCCCGGAUGUCCAGGCCGGGGCACUAGCAUCAGACCCACGAGUAGCCGUCCGAUCGGGUUCGACACCACUUCAGGAUCUGGCUUAAAAAGAAGUCCCACCGAAACAUUGUUCCAUGUUGCAUGAAGCAACCCACUACCGUCGCCAGGUCUAGAGCAAGCACCACCUUCAAAUCUGCUGCUCACCCUAGCUAAAUAGGGGCAUUAAAAUAUUUCUCGCAUAUCCUUCUCAAAUUAAACAAAAUCGCAACAUCUGAAAAUUUUUACAGAAAACCAUGAAACAUAUCGAUUAGAUAGAUGUAACAAGAUGGAAUAUGGUAUAUGCAACAUAUAGGUUCCGAAAAGCAGAUGAAAUAUUAUGUAAUGAUUCUUGAAACAGUCGAGAAAAAUAGAUGUAACAUCUAAAAUUAAGAAAAGAAGCUUUAUGCAAAUUGCAAAAAGCUGAAACAAGUGGUUGAAACAUUUCAAAUCACCAAAUGCCACAUUUGAAAUGACCAGAUGAAACAUCACGAAAUCAAUUGCAACAGUUGAAGAUGAAAACAUUCAAAUGCCUUGCCUUUCUCCAAAUUUGACCCUCCAAGCAUGAGUCCAGCCAUUUGCACAUUAGACCCUUGGGAGGAGCUCACCGGAGAACAACAAGACCGUGUUAUCCAACAAUUUUCAGAUCAAAUUGCAACAUAAAGAACAAAGCAUUGCAACAUCUGGCAUCACGAGCUACAACAGCAACCAGUUAGGAUCAGGAGAAAGAGGGCAAACACAAGCCUAACAAUGAGUUAUAUCCGGUUUAAACAAGGAUAAAAAUGAGUGUAUUUUACACUCAUCAUGUUGUCUUUUCGCAGCUGUACCGCCUUUAGCGUGUUGUAUUGUUCCUAACACCAAGUCUCCGAGGCCCGAAAAAAUAAGGAAAGUGGUAGCAGCUCAGAAAUCGACUAAGUUUCUUUCCCCCUUUGGCUUUCCUACUAGGAUUCGGAAUCCUCUUUUGUAUGACAAUCUUAAUGAUCUCCCAUAGUCCAAAACUCACAAAAACAUCAAAAAUCCACCGAGAAUAAAUUAAGUAAAAAAACAUGCACACACAGAUAAUAAUAGUAAUCAUGUUUCAUUAUGAUUGCUAAGGUCAGACACAAUACAUAAACAUAUUAGACUGAGUGACCCACCUCACCUCAGAGUAUGCACCAUGUCUGAGUGACCCACCUCACCUUGCCAGGACACUGGUCCUGCCCUCGUGGUUCACGCGCCCUCGUGGUUCAGCAGUGGUCAGUACACAAAUCUAGCUGCCAGUCGGAUCCAAGGGCAGGCAUUUGCAUUGUGGUUGUGUUUGAACAUGGAGAUGUCAUUAUUAUUGUCAGGCACCAUACAUCCUCUCUCAGUUUCACUCCGCCUCACACACGGAUAGCACACCAGGGACCCGACACCAUGCAUGCCGAUUUCAUAUUAUUAAUAUUUAAUUUUUUUAAUGGUUGUUGAAACUAUAUUGUUGAUAUUUUUAUACAUAAUUUACGACCUAAUUUGGAUAUAUUUUUGAAAUAUUCCGAAAUCUUAAAUUCACACGUCUAGAGAUACAGUUAGUCCAAUCUGAUGUUUCCGAUUAUAAAAAUGAACAUAAAGAGAUAGGAAGCGAGAGACGUGAGGGGGAAAGUGAAAUUAGGGCCUAAGGGGUGAAGUUAGGGUUCCAGGUGAGCUGUCAUCACUACGUGUUUUUAAUCGAAAUUGGAAUGUCAGCAAUCGUCAGAUCUUGAGCCAACAGUUGAGACUGCCUCGGAAUGGUAAUUAGGUCUGCGCGAGCUUGCAUUGUGGCCUUCCUUGAAACCUUGGACAUAGGUGUUAUAUUAUUAUGUUCUUGCCAGCACACAGCAGACGACACAGUUGAGAUGUGCAUCACAUUUUCUAUAUGAAGGAUAUGUUUAGCAAACCUAAGAUUUUAGAAGAAAAAGAAAAAUCAUGGGAACCAAAGCGCCACAUAGUUCUUCCAGGUAAAAAAAAAUCAUCCACUAGACCAACACAUAUAGUAACGAUCCAAAAAGUCCAUAUUAAGAUUUUUUGAUAGCAGAAAAAACAUAAAAUGUCUAAUAUUUGUAGUAUUAAAAGGAAAAAUAAUAUAUUCACUUGACCUUUUUCCCGUAGCAACGCACCCGGUACGUGGUCAGACUUAAUGCACGAUGCCUAAGCAUCCAUUGGGCCUACCCUCGUGUGGAUCACGCGCAACAGGACACGGCUCACAAGCUAUGAUGUGCAGCAGUCGCUCAGAUGGCUGAAAGGUACCCUUAAUUUGAUGGUACCAUAUAUAUAUAUAUAUAUAUAUAUAUAAACAAGACAAACCACCGUUGAUACUACUUUGCACUACUUGAUACAUAUAUCUCCACCAAAAGCGAGGCACGUGGGGAGGAGACGAUAUGUGGUUGAUGGUACGGGUACGUGACGAGCGCACCGUACGAAAAUUUUGCUCGCGUCGGACGACUGAUGUGAAGCAUUACCCAAUCUUAAUUAUCUCGCAUAAUCCAAAACUCACAACAACAUCAAAAAUCCGUCGAGAAUAAAUUAAGUAAACCAUGCACACACAGAUAAUAAAAUUGCUAAUAAGGCCAGAGACAAUACAUAAACAUAUUAAACUGUUCAUGACACAUAUCACGGUGGAUAGUGUCUGUGUCCUUAUUACAAGCAAUGAGAGAUGCUUGUCACCACACACACGCACAGAUGCACGACAUACAUAUAGUUGAGACCAACAGAUGGAUCAACUAGAGGUCACCCCAUAUGGUGAACAAUUUAUUGGAGAUAAACAUUAACAUAACUUGGCCAUAGCUUGAAGCAUAGCAACAUAUGCCUAUGAACGGCGUUCAUGCUAUCAUUUUAGGCUUGUCCGCUUCUUCCAUCUUAGCAAGCACUUCCAUUUCUACCAUCUUAGAAGCAACUGUCAAAUUGAGAUAUGGAAAUCCCAUUAGCGCAUGAGUUAAUUUUACAGUGAAAAUAGAGUACAAGAUGUCUUCAUGAUGUAAGUAACAUGCCUGAAGUUGUGAGAUGGGAAGUGAAGUCAACAAAUUACAUUAACGGAAAUGCAUGGAAGGCCACACAUACGUAUUAGUCCAUGAUAUGCUACAAAGCUUGUAUGUACAUAUAGCAAAUUAAAUGCAUUAAUUGAAUAGAGUGAGUUUAGUGAAUUUACCAGAAUCGUCCAGAAAACAUGGGAAACAGCAAGUGUUCUUGCAGACUGCGUCGGUGCCACCCACAGCAAUACAACCAAAACAACAUGCUUUUGCCCGAGCGGCUGAGCAGCAGCCGCACUCUGCCGCGGUGGCCGAGUUAGCAUUGAGGCUCAAGAUGACCAGGCACAUGAUCACCAUCAAAGCGGUAGUCCUCUUUCCCUCCAUUGCCUCCUCUUGCUGCUACCUUCCUUGGUUACCUAGCUAAGUUUAUUGGUUUUGUGUUGAGAGGUGAUUCUUGCAUUGAAUGGACGUUGCCGCGGCUGCAAUUUAUAGGCAGCUGCGCUAUGUGAUGAUAUGGACAAGGUGCAAAUGGGUGGUCCUGAUAUGGAUAAGGUGCAUGCGAAUGGCUGUCUACUUGUAUAGUGUAGCUCCAAUGUACAUACGUAUGUAUCUUAUGCAUGUAUACAGUUGAUGGAUGUACAUGUUUGUUGCACAAAUUCUGAACCAACUCUUCAUAACAGGUCUUUGUUACCAAGUAAUUUUACUUUUGCACGUUUCAGCCGAGAGGCAGAAGAGAAUAUUUUACAGAGAGGGCAGAGAAGGAGGUUGGCGGAGGCGCCGUGGUAGGGUUCCCCGUGUCGCCAAGAUUUUUGCAUUUUACAUGUGUGCAUUGAUCACUUCGUCGUGCUCGCGGGGCCCAACUCCAGGUUGUACCCCAGCAGACCACGUUCUGUUUCUCUGCCUCCAAUGAGCAUGCAUGCCUCCACAAGGACCACAAGACUUAGUAAAAAAGCUAAACUUUGCAACACGAUGUAUACAGAACGUUUUGAAAUGUACUCUCGUUAGGCAUUCACCUCCUUAACAAUCACUGCGACUGUAAAAUAGGUACAUCGACGCUAGCUAAAUAAACCACUAUAAGAUUUAGCAAGAGAUCAUUUUAUACAAUCCUGUAACGAAACAAUUUGACAAUUAUAGUGUCCAUAUAUUUUGACAAAAAAACGUUUAAAUUAUAUAAGGAGGUGGGCCCGAAAACGGUUGGAUUACAUCGAGAACGUUUUGAAACAGUUGGCGGAGCAGGAUUCUGGCGUGGAGCAUCUACAUUGUCGCGCGCGCGGACUGCCGGAGUAGGCACGCUCGACUUGUCCCAUCGCCAGCUAAAUGAUUUAGUACCGGAUGGUCUCUAGUACCGGUUGGAGCCACCGUCCACCGGGAGCUUUCCUAGUUUGGAACUGGUACUAAUGCUAAUAUUAGUAUCGGGUCAAAAACAAUCGGUACUAAGGCUAGGGAUGACACGUCAUUUUUCUAGUAGUGUGUGCAAUUGGUUUUGUAAUUAGUCUAUAUUUAAUACUUCUAAUUAGUAUCUAAAUAUUUUAUGUGAUAGGGACUGAACUUUAGUCCGUGGAACCAAACACCCCAUAAGUAUGUUUGGUGCUGUAAGGAUUUCCUAAGGUUUUAUUUAAUUUCCUAGGCAUUUAAAUUUCUUUCUAAAAUAAGUUAAUGAAUCAUAGGAUCUCAUUGUUGUAUUCAAGCUGGUGCAUUGAUUUUGCCUAUAAAACCCGCUGUGGUCUUCGCAGCCCCCAUCAAACCCUAGCGCCCUUGCCACAAGCUCAGCACCGCUGCCGCCCGAGCUCGAGCACUAGCACCCACCCAUCGUCGUUGCCUUCCCGUCGAUGGGAUCACCGCCCGGAGCUUCGCAUCGUGGUAAGGAAGCCGCCCGUGAAGAUCCCAUGUGCUCCUAUGCCCUCUACCGUGUCCCCGAGUUCCCGAAGUUGCUAGUCUCCUACUGAGCCGACUCUCCGAGCUUCACGUCACCGGUGCCGCUCCGAAGACCUAGUUCGGUUCGCCGUGCACCUCGCUUCAUCCUGAGCUAAACCCCAUAAUGAAUGGUGGCCGGAUGCUCGCCGCCACGGCGCGUCGUCUUUUUUGUUGCCCGUGCAUUGCCUAUCCCCUUCCAGCCGAUUGCAGCUGUCCAAUCGCAAACCGAUGGCCCUGAUCGGAUACCAAGGUCAAUACCGGUCGAACCGAGCCGUGCACUGCUUUUGCAAGAAGGCUCCUGUUUUUCUCUCUUUUUGCACCUGAGGUCCUACGCAGUUCAAAAGUAAUAAGAUCUAGGUCCUUUUUCUUUUGUUUUAGCCCGUGUUCUUUUAUAAAAUCCCGCCCACUAUUCUGUUUGGUCUUUUGACGCGUUAGACCUUCUGUUUAUAUGUUUAAUUAGGUUUUAGGUCUCGAUUUCUUUAAGUUUAGCCCUUGAAAGUUUAGUUCUCUCGCAGUUAAGCCCCUGAACCUUGUUUAGCUCAUAUCUUAAGCGUUUUAAAUCCGUUUUAACAGAUUCUUGCGCCUAUAAGUUCAUGUUGACGCAUAGAUUAGUUGACUUAUAUGAACCUUGCUGAUUAAGCUCCUUGAUUGUGCCUCAGAUCUCGCUAGGGAAGAAUAAUGGAUGGGCUUUGGUUGAGCUUGUAGAUCGACUUGCAGUUGCAGUGAAUGAGCAGAGGAUUGGCAGUGAAUAAGAGGCCGCUGCCCUGCUUGGUAGGGAAAAUAUCUGCUUGCUACCAAGGCCUGUGACGCAUGGACCCCAUUGAGAGUGCAUUAUUGACAAGGACUUAAAGCCAAGGGCUCCACACCUGUCAUUGAUCAGCUGUCUGCUGGGCGCUGCAAGGAGGUAGUGCAUGUUUGACAUAAAGAAGCAGGUGGCCCAGGAUUUACGAAGAAUAAGGAUCUAUUUGAUACCCUUGCUUAUAUUUAGGGGCUAAAAGUUGCUUAUUUGAAGUUGCUUAUUUUUAAUCCUAGCUGUUUGAUUGCAUGGGCUAAAGAGCAUUGAAUGAGGUGGACAUUGUCAUGUUUGCCUCUAAUGAUUACUUCCCAUCACAUUUCUCCCCCCUCAUUCAACGAGGGAAGGAGGUGUAAAGUGCACCUUUUAGCCUCGAUAAGCAACCCUUGUGUUGUUUACGGGCUGAACAUAAGUAGCUAAAGUUUAGCUCCAAUAAACAAGAGUGUUUGGUAUUUUUGGGGUUAAAAGGGGCUAAACUUUAGCUGCUUAUGCAUAAGCAAGGCCAUCCAAAUAGGCCCUAAGUAUGUUUGGCGUUGUAAGUAGGUUUUAUUUAAUUUCCUAGGCAUUUAAAUUUCUUUCUAAAAUAAGUUAAUGAAUCAUAGGAGUUCAUUGUUGCAUUCACGCUGGUGCAUUGAUUUUGCCUACAAAACCUGCUGCCGUUUCCGCAGCUCCCAUCAAACCCUAGCACCCCCGCCACGAGCUCCAGCGCCGCUGCCGCCCGAGCUUGAGCACUAGCGCACACCCAUCGCCGUCACCUUCCUGUCAAUGGGAUCACCGCCCGGAGCCCGCAUCAUGGUAAAGAAGCCGCCCGUGAAGAUCCCGUCCGCUCUCGUGCCCUCUACCGCGUCCCCGAGUUCACCGGAGUUGCCAGGCCACCACCCAGCCGCCUCUCCGAGCUUCAUGUCGUCGUUGCCACUCUAGCUGCCACUCUGAAGACCUAGAUCGGUUUGCCGUGCACCCCGCUUCAUCCUGAGCUAAACCCCAUCAUGCCACGUCAUAGUAAGGAAGCUGCUCAUGAAGAUCCCGUGCGCUCCCGUGCCCUCUACCGCGUCCCCAAGUUCACUGGAGUUGCUAGUCCGCCACCGAGCUGCCUCUCUGAGCUUCACUUCAUCGUCACUGCUCCAGCCGCCACUCUGAAGACCUAGAUGAGUUCACUGUGCACCCCACUUCAUCCUGAGCUAAACCCCAUGACGAACUGUGGUCGGAUGCUCGUUUUCGAGCGAAUUCCGGCGAGAUGGUCACCCGCCGCCGCCGUCUCCGUCGCCCAUGCACCGCCUGUCCCCUUCCAGCCGAUGUCCGGUUGCAAACCGAUAGCCAAAAUCGGAUCUGGUCACCAGGAUUAAUACCGGUCAAACUGAGCCACGUGCGCCGCUUUUGCAAGAAGGCCCCUAUUUUUCCCUCUUUUUGCACCUGAGGUCCUACGCAGUUCAAAAGUAAUUAGAUCAGGGUCCUUUUUCUUAUGUUUUAGCCCAAUUCUUUUAUAAAAUCCCGGCUGCCAUCCUGUUCGAAAUAGAUACGGUUAUAGAUAUGCAAACAUCUGCAUAUUUCCAACCGUAUCUCUUUUGAAUGGGAGACGCCUAACUAGGUUACGUGACAUACGAACAUCAUACGGAUAGAGAGGGGUAGGAUGCCUCACCUUGCUAUCCUACAAAGUGACGACUCGAGGACGGUAAUGUAGCCUCUCCUGCAAAAAAAGAACAUACUACUAUCAAGUUAAAUUUUCGACAGCACCUCCCCUGCACGUGGAGGUUUCCAUAACCUGCAUCAAAUAAAACGGCACGAUGGCUGACAACCACAUCUACAGCACCAGAAUGGCAUGAUGGCCGACUUCCACAUAAAGUUCUUAUACCUUAGAUUGCCAAGUCAAACAUCCUUUUCUAAUUUCUAAAACAAAAGCCCUACCACCUCUCUAUCUUAUUUCCUAUGGGCUNNNNNNNNNNNNNNNNNNNNNNNNNNNNNNNNNNNNNNNNNNNNNNNNNNNNNNNNNNNNNNNNNNNNNNNNNNNNNNNNNNNNNNNNNNNNNNNNNNNNNNNNNNNNNNNNNNNNNNNNNNNNNNNNNNNNNNNNNNNNNNNNNNNNNNNNNNNNNNNNNNNNNNNNNNNNNNNNNNNNNNNNNNNNNNNNNNNNNNNNNNNNNNNNNNNNNNNNNNNNNNNNNNNNNNNNNNNNNNNNNNNNNNNNNNNNNNNNNNNNNNNNNNNNNNNNNNNNNNNNNNNNNNNNNNNNNNNNNNNNNNNNNNNNNNNNNNNNNNNNNNNNNNNNNNNNNNNNNNNNNNNNNNNNNNNNNNNNNNNNNNNNNNNNNNNNNNNNNNNNNNNNNNNNNNNNNNNNNNNNNNNNNNNNNNNNNNNNNNNNNNNNNNNNNNNNNNNNNNNNNNNNNNNNNNNNNNNNNNNNNNNNNNNNNNNNNNNNNNNNNNNNNNNNNNNNNNNNNNNNNNNNNNNNNNNNNNNNNNNNNNNNNNNNNNNNNNNNNNNNNNNNNNNNNNNNNNNNNNNNNNNNNNNNNNNNNNNNNNNNNNNNNNNNNNNNNNNNNNNNNNNNNNNNNNNNNNNNNNNNNNNNNNNNNNNNNNNNNNNNNNNNNNNNNNNNNNNNNNNNNNNNNNNNNNNNNNNNNNNNNNNNNNNNNNNNNNNNNNNNNNNNNNNNNNNNNNNNNNNNNNNNNNNNNNNNNNNNNNNNNNNNNNNNNNNNNNNNNNNNNNNNNNNNNNNNNNNNNNNNNNNNNNNNNNNNNNNNNNNNNNNNNNNNNNNNNNNNNNNNNNNNNNNNNNNNNNNNNNNNNNNNNNNNNNNNNNNNNNNNNNNNNNNNNNNNNNNNNNNNNNNNNNNNNNNNNNNNNNNNNNNNNNNNNNNNNNNNNNNNNNNNNNNNNNNNNNNNNNNNNNNNNNNNNNNNNNNNNNNNNNNNNNNGACAUUCCCAGGCCCGUCAAGUCCAUCACCGCACGCAGUCGAAUCCCGAAAUUUCCGCCAUCUUUUUCCCCUCCCUUCCCUCUCUUUCCCUUCCUUCCUUCUUUUUCCUCCCCUUUCUUUCCCUUCUCUUUUUCCUUCUCUUUCUUCCUCCUCUCCCUUUUUCCUUUUCUUCUCUCUCUUCUUUUACUUCCCUGCCACCUUCCCACUGGCGCUGCACACCCCCCCACUGCCUGGCACGCGCGUCGGGCCGCGCGCCCGCGCCCGCGCCCGCCGCCGCGUCGCGCCGCCCGUGCCACGCCCGCUCGCGCCUUGGCGUCUAGCGCUUGGCUCGGUGCGUCGCGUCGUGUCGCCGGUCACCGGUCGCCGCCCCUGUGGCCUCGUCGACCACGCCGCCACGCCAUCCACGAGCUCCACCACUCCGGCACGCCACCGGUCAAAAGUCCGGCCACCAUCAUUACCUCGGCCCUCGCCCGCCCGUGCGCCGCCUAUAAAAGGGGGGAGCCGAGCCUUCACCUCCACACCCUCACCACGAGCACCUGGCCUUCCUCCACUCCCACCACCAGAGCGCCGACGACCAUCUUCCUCUCAACCUUCUGUUGCCUCCAGGAAGAAGAAGGGGUAAAUCCCUCUCCUUGCGAUCCAACCCACCAAUUUCCCUGAUUCGCGGACAAGUCCUUCCACCAUUCCAAAAAUAAUUACAGAUAGGCCCCUGCUCUCGCGGUUCAGUCCUAAACCCCGUUUUAAAGCCCAUAAUACUCCUUUAAACCGUCAUUUCAUGCGCCAAAUUUCCUCCAAUCCACCCCAAAUUCGACCACAGCCUCCUCUCAUAUAUUCCCGCCGAGGCUUAUCGAAAUUCCAUGAAAAUACCCUGUCUAUCUAUUUUCCGUUCAUGUUUCCUGUUCGGAGCUCAGCGGGUAAAAUCUUUUUCCUUUGUAUUUAUUGUGUGCUCGUUUGUGUGUGCCGUAGAUUGUGGAGUACCCGAGGAGGAGCGCGAGGAGGAGUUCGACCGCGAGCCCGAGCCCGAGGACCCGUACCGCGAGCAGGAGCUCCCGGAAGGCUUUGAGAACGGCAAGUCCAAUCUCACCCUUUGAUGCAUAUUUAAUACCCAGUUUUUCAGACACAACCUAUUGGCCUGUUUUAUAACAUGCAUAUUGUUUUAUCGCAAGACAUGGUUGGAUAGCCACCCCUUGAUUGUUAUGACUAUUCCUUGAUUGUCCCAUAUUUAUCUCUAAAUAUGAGUUACUCUGUUUAGAUGAUAAAUACUGCUAGAAUGCUUAGGAACUCAUUACCCAAAUUCAAACUUGACUACACCUGUUUACUCGGAAAAUAAUGUGUGAGUAUGUUUAACUGAGGAGUUGGGUUUUCGGGUGUAAAGAGAGGUGGUGGAUGAGAUGGAUGGGUGUUUCUUGUGUGGAACGCCGGGUUGAUAGGCUCGUACCUCAGUGGUUGGGCAGAGUGGGAGAUAUCCAUCUUGUCAUGGCUAAGGACCGAGUUGAUGUGUCAUCCUGCCUAAUUCCAUCAUCGUACAACCACUCGACCGUUGUAUGGGCAACGGCUUAGCAUAAAUCCCACUAGCUAAACUGCUAGGCUUCAGGUGUGCUGGUGAGCAACGGGAGGCCUUGGAAACGGACUAAGCUCUUGGUGACUUAGGUCCCGGUUACGGCCCCGUGGAUGGGUUGCUAACCCCUUGAGCGCUCCUAUGUUGACUAGUCAGUGUUGGCUAAGGUGGGUAAUGGCUUUGAUAGGAUCCGUACCGACACUAAGGUGAUCGCGAUACGGUUCCCUACUUGUGGGAAAAGUGUACAACCUCUGCAGAGUUAAAACCUAUCCGGGUAGCCGUGUCCACGGCAUUGGACGAGUUACGGCUCGGUCACACAACUAGCUUUUGGGGAUGACUGGUAUUUUUUUACCGCGUGUGUGGGUGUGUGGAGUUUUGGAAGUGUCCGGCAGGUGUGCCGUGCGCUACGGCGGACGGGGAGUCCGGUAGCGAUAAAACUUGGAUCCUUUGUGUAGGAUCAACCCCACUUGAUAUGUUGUUUACUAAAAAUGUUUUCCAUUAAACCGCUUUGAAAUGGAACCCCGCAUGUGUCUAAAAAGUCAGCUUUACUGCAAAUAAACCAUAGCUUAUUCCUUGAUUAUUCAUAUGCAUAUUCUUGUUGUAUCCCCCUCCGUGGAUGGGGUUGGACUUGCUGAGUACUUUUGUACUCACCCUUGUGUUGUUACUUCAGAGGAGGAUCCGGACUUCGUCGCCGAGGACUUUGAGUAGGAGGUUGCGUCUGCACCCAACGCUGCCUGUGGUGUUGGCCCUUUUGCAGGAUGCUUCCGCUGACGCUUAGCUCCGAUUGCAGCCCGGAGUCCGACUGGACCGCAACUUGGAUUUGUGUUGUUAUCGCUUUAGUCUUGCUUUGGGUGUGGCUUGCCCGCCCGCUCCUUCGGGAGCUGUACGGUUUCUGAACUAUCUGUUGAAUAAAUGUGUUAUCAGCCUCCUGGGACUGAUAAUUUGGAUCACAUUUAGUCUCUACUUAUGUGGGGACGCUUCACCGUGACAUACUUUGCCAAGUGUGUAGCGAAAACACUCGGCAAAAUAUUAUCUUUACCGAGUGUUUUCACUAGAUACUCGGCAAAGUACACUUAUAUUUCAUGUACACUUUUUCAAUAACGUGUUUUACUAACCUUUUUCUGAUAUACUUGGGAAAAACCUUGUCAAAUUCACUCAACAAUGGAUAUAUGAUUUUUCUAUUGAUAUUAUUCCAUUAUUUCAUUCAGUUAUAGCUCAAAUUGAAUUUAUAUCUAUUAAAAAUCAAUAAUUGCAUUUAAUAAAUAAAAAUACCAAACGGAUCCGAAAAAUUUCCAAAAUUUGACAUGAACCAAUCUAUGUUGUAUGUUGCCUGUACAAAAAGCUUUGAAGUCAAACCCCAAUUCAAGUGUCACUUGGACUCCAAAUCUUAUCGGAUCCUUUCUAACUUCUAUGAAUCCUUUUGGGAGAUGAGUCGGUUUGUAAGCAUCAUAUGUCAGAAAUUGGGCGAAACCUUCUCAAUUUUUUACCACAGCCUCCACAUAUAAUAUCAUGACACCUUGACAAAUCUUAUGAUUUUCAGACUUCGUUUGCUUUUUCUAGAAUUUAACAACCAUUCAACCACAUGUUCGUGAUCGUGUUUUCUAAAAAGAAUGUUCAAAAUUUCUUUUCAUUUCCUGGUUGAGACCUCAAUCCGGAUUGAAUAAUAUGAAUAUGAUUUUUUCACUGAUUUUAAUCCAUUAUUUAAAUCACUUGCAGUUAAAAUUUGACUUAAAUAAACAAAUUCCUAUUAAUGCCAUCAAUUCAUUAAAAAUGGCAAACAGACAAAAAAUAGACCAACUUUUAAGAUGGAUUACCAAAUGUCAUAUAUGGGGAGUAGAAAAAGUGUGGAGAGCAGAGGUGGAAAAAAAAGUUUUGCCUUUGCCAAGUGCCUACACAAACACUCAACAAACUUUGCGGAGUGCCUAUUGAAAACACUCAGCGAACUUCUGAGUUUGCCGAGUGUCUAGAGGGAGCACUCGGCAACCUACUUAUUUGCCGAGUGUCCGCGUCGGACACUCAGCAAAGUACUAACGGCUGGCACACUCCCCUAACGGACGGCGCACGUGCGAGCCAUGUGCUGGAGAUUUAUCGAGUGUCAAAUCGUUGCGAGUGUCGUGUGGAUGUUUGUCGAGUGUCUUAUUUGCGACACUCGGCAAAGCUAUUGUUUGCCGAGUGUAUUAUUUAUGCCGAGUGUCUUCCAGUAUACACUCGGCAAAUGAUGUCUUUGCCGAGUGCCCGACAUAAAGCACUCGGCAAAAAUUUUACACUCGGCAACGUUCCUGUUUCCGGUAGUGAGUGACCCGGGACUAAAGACCCCUCUUGUCUCUAAUUGCUUUAUUCCGGAUGGAUUUUCAGGAGAUUUGCUCCCUACCUAGGCAAGUUUUCUACUUUUCGCAAACCAGUUAGCCCAUUGUUGAUGGGACGCAUCACUAGAAACAGCUCGGGAUCCACUUGUCCAAUAAUCGAGAGGGCCUAUAUGGACCACGUGUGCGGAUCCCUAAUUAGGAAAAAAGAAUAAUGGAGUAGGACAUCUCCAUGCUCACCUAGUAGCCGCUGCUAGCUUGUGCGUGUGGAACACGAGUGCCGGCCCAGUUGGCGCUAAGACAUCGUACGUGCAUUAAGGCUACGAUCUCUUCCUUCUAACUCAUGCUUGUGCUAUUAUACAUUAUUGCAUGAUCAUCAAGAUAAGAUCGUAUAGUGACUGAGUGAGACAUGUGUGUACUAACGUGCAUUUAAGCCUCGAACUGUGUGUUGUUACGUGAGCUGCCUCCUCACCUCGCCUCUGAAUUAUUGAACCGUUUCCAACAGUGUUGGUCUCAAAUAAAUUUGACACCAAACAUAUUUAUGAAGAAGAGAGAAUAAUACUUGGAAUUGGAAAAAGUUUAUCUCUCUUUACAAUGGGGUAGGGCUCCCCUUUUAUAGUGACCCAUGAGCCACUUUACAUUUGGAAAAUAUCCUUCCUCAACCACUACAUUAAUUCCUAGGAUAUGCCGUACAUAAAGGUCAUUUGAGGUAACGUGUACAAAUUGAACUCUUCCACAUGGUCACGUUUCUCAUACCUCCUGUUUUCCAACCUCAGAGACAUCAUCUUCACGCCAAGUUGAUCAUCUAGCCUCAAGGCUCCAUCCACGAUCCGGAAUGAACGUCCAGCCUUGAGGCUCCUUCUUCGUUAAGCUUUGUUGAGAACUCAUAACCUCACAUAGUUCUCCUCACUGGUAGAGAAUUGACCUUUAGUCCCGGUUGGUAGGGUGCAUAUCUCUCGGAUAUCCAUCCGGGAUAAACCAACCGGGACAAAAGGGGGGGUCUUUAGUCCCGGGUCACUCAACCGAGACAAAAGACCCCCUUUUAUCCCGGUUGGUAAUACCAACCGGGAUAAAAGGGGUCACCCACGGCCGGCAGCUGCAAAAAAAAAAAAAUUCCUGAGCUCCCGGGAGGCCCCCCACACGCGCAAGUCACAAGUCACAAGUCACGCAAUUUUUCACGCGAAAUAUGCGCGUGCGCGGUUCGUGGGAUUCGAACCCACAACCUCCAGCCUCGCGCGUAGCUUCCUUGCCAUCCCACCUACACACCACAUCUGACUAUGUAGGGGAUACUAUCCUUUUGUAUUAACUCGUGGGGGACCCUUUUAUCCCGGUUGGAAACACCAACCGGGAUAAAAUGCCUCUCAGAGUCUUUUUUUCCCACUAGCCUUUGCAACCGGGAUAAAAGGUCCCGGUUGGUGAGCCCCCCACCAGUGACCGAGUUUUAGUCCCGGUUGGUGAACCUUUUGUCCCGGGCCAACUUUAAACCGGGACAAAAGGGGGCGGAUGGAAAGUCGUUUCUCUACUAGUGCCUCCGAGUAUUGUUCCCGACUUAGAACACUCGAGGUUUAGCUCAGUUGGAGUUUAGCUAUUACUGUUGCCAGUCACCAGCCUCGAGCCCCUCCAGAAGCAAGGUGAUGCGAGAGUACAAGUUUUACUAUUAAAGGUGUUUCCAUAUAAUGUGCGAGGUUAAAGCACUUGCAGCAAAAGCGUGGAGCUGCUUUCAACCAGAGUGCAAUAAUGCAGCCGUGCCCGUCUUGGUCUUGGUCUCCGCCUGAACUAUAGCAGAUGCUGGCAGCGGUAGCAGGGUGGUCCAUUAUAUCUAUGGAUGGCAAUGGUCAGAUUCGGAUGGAAUCAAAUUCGAAUAGCACUUUUUACCACGUACUAAUUCAAAUCCGAAUUCGGAUUCGGAUGUUCUCGAAUGCGAAUACAAAAUGGAUGGUUCGAAUUCGAAUACUUAGCGGAUUUUUGCAUAAUAUUAAUCGAAUAGAAUUCAUUAAAUUUAGCUAAGAAAUUAAAUUUUCCAAAUUCAAAUACUUUGCGGAUUUUCGAAUACAAAUUUUUUCAUACGAUCUCGGUGAAUACAAACUUUAUAACUAAGUUGCAUAUUUAGAUUGUAUCUAACACUUUGUACUUGACAUCCUUUUCAUUUAAAAUUGUUUAAUAGCUCAAAACAUUAUUCUAAGCUCUCUAAUUUCAAAAUCUUGAAUUUUAAAUUUUUCAAACGACCUCGGAUGCAAACAAACUCUAUAUCAAAGUGGUAGUGCUUAAUGAGAUAUAAAUUUUGUAGUUGAUAAGUUUUUCAGUUGAAAUCAUAUAGUUACCGCAAACAUACAAGUUCUUCAUUUGAUGUUAAGGAUUGGAAGGGUUAAGUUUGAAGAAUAUAUUUUUUUACCACAAACUUUUUCAUAUGAUCUUGGAUGAAUAUGAACUUUAUUUUAAAGUUACAGAUUUAGAUUAGAUCAAAACCAUUAUAGUUUACAAAUUUUUCAUUCAAAAUUAUUAGUAGCUCAAAAUGUUAUUAUAAGCUCUCUAAUUUCAAAAUCUUGAAUUUUAAAAUUUUCAAACGACCUCAGAUGCAAACAAGCUCAAUAUCGAAGUGGUAGUGCUUAACGAGAUAUAAAAUUUUGUAGUUUCAUCUGAGAUCAUUUAGCAGUCACAAACAUACAAGUUUUUCAUUUGAUGCUAAGGAUUAGAGAGAUUAAAUUUGAAGGUUGUAUUUUUUAAUACAAACUUUUGCAUACGAUCUCGGAUAAAUACAAACUUUAUAUCAAAAUUGUAGACCUCCAUGAGAUUUUAAACUUUGCAGUUUACAUAUUUUUCAUUCGAGAAUGUUUAGUGGUCCAAAAAUGUAUUAUAAGUUCAGAGAAGAAACACACGUCUAGGCACAUCAUCAAUCCACAACUUUCAAACCCAGCAUUCCUAUUGACUCACACCCUUCCCUUUCAACUUGUCAAGCUUAUCUCCUCCCACUCCUCCAUGGUUCACUCCACCUACCCCUCCCUCCCUUCGCCCCAGCGGCGGCCUAACUCCCAGGACGGUGGCGUGCGGGGCCCGAGCAUCCCUGGCCUCUAGUGGCGUGGCGGGGCGGCAUCCAGCAGCAGCGGCGGGGCUCGGCCUCCGGUGGCGCGCGGCCAGCCCGACCUACCCGGUCAGAGGUGGCGCAGCGGUGCGCGGGCCUCCCCGACCAGAGCCGGUGGGGAGCGGUGCGCGGGGAGGACCUCCCCAGCCGGAGGUAGCAGGGCGCGACCUCCCCUUCCGGAGGUGGCUCCCUGUGGGGGCGCGGCCGUGACAGCUAGCGAGGCAAUAAUUGCUUCCGUACGCAGCAAUAAUUGCUCGUGCGACACCGUGGUACAGUACUCCCUCCGUUGCAGUACACUGGUCCAGGCGUCAGGACACUGGUCCUGCCCUCGUGGUUCACGCGCAUCAGGCCAGCAGACAAGCUAUGAUGUUGCCCUCGUGGUUCACGUGCAUCAGGCCAGCAGACAAGCUAUGAUGUUGCCAACAGUGGUCAGUACACAGAUCUCGCUAUCAGUCGGAUCCAAGGGCGCAGGCAUUUGCAUUGUGGUUGUGUUUCUUGGAACAUGGAGAUGUCAUUGUGAUUGUCAGGGACCAUGCAUGCCGAUUUCAUAUUAUUAAUAUUUAUUUUUUCAAUGGUUGUUGAAACUAUAUAGUUACUCCAAUAUCACGUUUCCGAUUAUAAAAGUUAACAUAAAGAGAUCGGAAGGGAGAGCCGGCAUAAUGAAGCCGACGCGUAUAAUAAGCACUACAGCCGGCAUUUAUACAAACGGGUACGCAUAGUAAAAACUAGAAUUUAUAAAUAAAUGAAGAUAUUCAAAUAUCUGCCUUACUUUUUUCAUUAAUUUUGCAUGAAUAAGGGAUGAUUCAUUAAUCAUUAUUGAACAAAUUGGCACACAUGCUUCGUGCCCGCGUUGGGAGCAUUAUGCGAUGCCACCGAGCUGCACCACCACGGUAGAGGGCCUGUUUGGGAAGGGGUGUUAAAGUUUAACACCCCCCAUUUAACACAUUUUUAACAAAAUGGCUGCCAAACACUUGUGUUAAAAGAGUAGUGUUAAAAUUUAACACCUCUCUUUUCAUAAACACAUGGAGGGGGUGUUAAAAUUUGCUAAAUGUGUUAAAAGUGGUCCCCUCCCCACUUAUUCCUUGGUUGCCCCCCCCUCUCUCCUCCUCUCUCUCCUACCCGCCGCAUUUAAGAGCAUUAUUGAGGGGUAAUGCAGUCCUUUUCCAACAAAAGUGUUAAACUUUAACAACCCAUCCAAACAUCCCACAUGUGUUAAAGUUUAACACCUCAUUUGAGGGUGUUAAAGUUUAACACCCUGUUAAACUUUAACACCCCUUCCCAACUUAACACCCCUUCCCAAACAGGCCACAAGCAACACCACCGGCUGACUGUGCUAGCGGGGAGCACCCUCACCGCCUGCCCGUGGGGACUUCUUCUGCCGGCCAUCGUGUCUUUGUAGGACCGCCGCGCGAGCCUGUGAGCCACCGGUGGCCGUGCGCCCAAGGGCCAUCACCAUGCCACCUGAGGAUGCUGUCUACCCGGUGCCGCGUGCCUCUGCUAGCUGCCUGCACCUGGGCCGCCGCUGGUCGCCUGCACAGCCACGCGUUAUAGCCGCCCCCCUGUGCUGGGCCACCCCAUUUCGUGUUGGAAGAACUGCCACAGUCUCGCGCACUGGGGUUUUGCUAGUGACGACCAUAGCCUCCAAGAUCAAAUGAAAAAGUUGGCACUCAAAAUAUACAUCCAUUAAUCUAGUCGUGCUAAUCCUUACCACCAAAUAAAAACUAGCAAGUGUUGUGUGUUUGUGACCCUAAACGAUCACAAAUGAAUAACUUAUGGGCGUUGCUAGCCUAUAAGUUAUGGGCGUUUGUGACCCUAGUCGCGCCGGGGUCUUGCUGGUGACGACCAUGGUCUUCGCGAUAAAGUAUUAAGUCUCAUCGAGCUCUACAAUUUUGAUAUAAAAUUUCUAUUCAUCCGAGAUGAAAUGAAAAACAAAUGAAAAAAUCCGAAGUAUUAGGCUUCAUCGAGCUCUACAAUUUUGAUAUAAAAUUUCUAUUCAUCCGAGAUCAAAUGAAAAAAUCCGAGAUCAAAUGAAAAGUUGGAACUCAAAACAUACAUCCAUUAAUCUUGAUAUAAAAUUUCUAUUCAUCCGACAUCAAAUGAAAAAGUUGGCACUCAAAAUAUACAUCCAUUAAUCUAGUCGUGCUAAUCCUUACCACCAAAUAAAAAAACUAGCAUGUGUUGUGUGUUUCUGACCGUAAACGAUCACAAAUGAAUAACUUAUGGGUGUUGCUAGCAUCCCGGACGCUAGCAUCGGACGCAUGAGCAGCCGUCCGAUCGGGUCCGACACCACUUCACGAUCUGUCUUAAAAAAAAGUUCCACCGAAACAUUUUUCCAUGUUGCAUGAAAUACCCCACUAUCCAUCGCCAGGUCUACAGGAAGCACCACCUUCCAAUCUGCUGCUCACCCAAGUAAAUAGGGGCAUUAAAAUUGCAGAAAUAUGUCACAUAUCCUUGUCAAAUUAAACUAAAUCGCAACAUCCAAAAAUUUCUUACACAAAACCAUGAAACAUAUCGAUUAGAUAGGUGUAACAAGAUGGAAUAUGGUAUGCAACAUAUAGAUUCCGAAAAACGGAUGAAACAUUAUGUAACGAUUGUUGAAACAGUCGAGAAAAAUAGAUGUAACGAUUAAAAUUUAGAAAAGAAGCUUUAUGCAAAUUGCAAAAAGCUGAAAUAAGUGGUUGAAACAUUUCGAAUCACCAAAUGCCACAUUUGAAAUGGCUACAUGAAACAUCACGAAAUCAAUUGCAACAGUUGAAGAUGAAAACAUUCAAAUGCCUUGCCUUUCUCCAGAUUUGACCCUCCAAGCAUGAGUCCAGCCAUUUGCACAUUAGAACCUUGGGAGGAGCUCACCAGAGAACAACAAGACCGUGUUCUCCAACAAUUUUCUGAUCAAACUGCAACAUACAAAACAAAGCAUUGCAACAUCUGGCAUCACGAGCUACAACAUCAACAAGUUAGGAUCAGGAGAAAGAGGGAAAACACAAGCCUAACAACCCCAAGACGAAACUGAUGUACUCAUCAUACAUCACGGCUUGCCGUGCACAGAGAUGAAGGCCGCCAAGCUCAAUCGAAACAGAGACGACGUGAUAGUGCUCCAGAUCGACGGUCCCCAUCAAUUGUUGCGUACACUGCCAAAAGCAAUGGAAGAAGAAGGGUCGUCCCUGCUCGACCUCCGUAGAUGAGCGCAGAUUGGGGGAAACUGUAUAGAGUGCCGCUGACAGCACAGGCGAGGGGGCUCAGGCUUGAUUCAGGGUGAGGGUAGCGGGUAGCAUGAGGAGACAGUCAGGUUUCAUAGGAGAGAGGUGGAGGAGAGAGCUCUGGUGACUCGGUGAGGAGGGUGCGGCACGGAGAAAGGUGUGUAGCUGAAGGAGCUACAUGGUUGGGGGGAGGCGAGCGUAGAGACCAGAGAGGGAAAAAAAGCAUGGGGAGGAGACGAUAUGUGGUUGAUGGUGCGGGCACGUGGCGAGCGCACCGUACGAAAAUUUUGCUCGCGUCGGAUGACUGAUGUGAAGCAUUACCCAAUCUUAAUUAUCUCCCAUAAUCCAAAACUCACAAAAACAUCAAAAAUCCGCUGAGAAUAAAUUAAGUAAACCAUGCACACACAGAUAAUAAAAUUGCUAAUAAGGCCAGAGACAAUACAUAAACAUAUUGGACUGUUCAUGACACAUAUCACGGUGGAUAGUGUCUGUGUCCUUAUUACAAGCAAUGAGAGAUGCUUGUCACCACACACGUGCGCACAGAUGCACGACAUACAUAUAGUUGAGACCAACAGAUGGAUCAACUAGAGGUCACCCCAUAUGGUGAACAAUUUAUUGGAGAUAAACAUUAACAUAACUUGGCCAUAGCUUGAAGCAUAGCAACAUAUGCCUAUGAAUGGCGUUCAUGCUAUCGUUUUAGGCUUGUCCAGCUUCUUUCAUCUUAGCAAGCACUUCCAUUUCUACCAUCUUAGCAGCAACUGUCAAAUUGAGAUAUGGAAAUCCCAUUAGCGCACGAGUUAAUUUUGUAGUUGAAAUAGAGUGCAAGAUGUCUUCAUGAUGUAAAUAACAUGCCUGAAGUUGUGAGAUGGGAAGUGAAGUCAACAAAUUACAUUAACGGAAAUGCAUGGAAGGCCACACAUACGUAUUAGUCCAUAAUACGCUACAAAGCUUGUAUGUACAUAUAGCAAAUUAAAUGCAUUAAUUGAAUAGAGUGAGUUUAGUGAAUUUACCAGAAUCGUCCAGAAAACAUGGGAAACAGCAAGUGUGCUUGCAGACUGUGUCGGAGCCACCCACACGAAUACAAAGCUGACAACAUGCUUGUGCCUCGUGGGAUACGCAGCAGCCGCACUGUGCCGCGGUGGCCGAGUUAACAUUGAGGCACAAGAUGACCAGGCACAUGAUCACCAUCAAAGUGGUAGUCCUCUUUCCCUCCAUUGCCUCCUGUCGCUGCUACGUUCCUUGGUUACUAGUAAGUUUAUUGGUUUUGUGUUGAGAGGUGAUUCUUGCAUUGAAUGGACGUUGCCGCGGCUGCAAUUUAUAGGCAGCUGCGCUAUGUGAUGAUAUGGACAAGGUGCAAAUGGGUGGUCCUGAUAUGCAGGGGCGGAUCUAGGGCCCAGGCAGUUUAAAUUAAAGUCUCCGCAUAGGCAGUUUGACUAUGGCCCCGUUUGUAUCCGCUUAUAAGCGGCUUAUCGGUGGAAAUAAGUGAGAAUCCCGCCAAACGCUUUGCUUAUUUCCACCGAUUCUCGCUUAUGUGGUAAGCCGCUUCAACAAUUUGAACUACAAGAAGCGAAAAACGAGAAGCGAGAAAAUCUUCGCUUAGAUUAUAAUCCAAGCGUGGCUAGAAAAAGCGUAUACAAACAGAGCCUAUGAUCAAUUUUACCUGUAUUUCUCAAUAUGUAGAUAAUUCUAUGCCAACAAUUAAAAACUAAUACAUAAUUUGACACGGUGUACCUCGAGAACGUUUUGAAAAUGUACUCUCUCGUUAGGCGUUCACCUCCUUAACAAUAACUGCGACUGUAAAAUAGGUACAUCGACGCUAGCUAAAUAAACCACUAUAAGAUUUAGCAAGAGAUCAUUUUAUACAAUCCUGUAACGAAAGAAUUUGACAAUUGUAGUGUCCAUAUAUUUUGACAAAAAACGUCUAAAUUAUAUAAGGAGGUGGGCCCGAAACAGUUGCAUUAGCAUAUGGUUACCCGUUUGUUGUCUUCCGGCCCUAAAAAAAGGACCAUCUUACUUAAAAAGGUUCUAUUAGGCCAUGCAGCCGGCUCUGUGGCACCAAAAAGAAAUUUUGACACGGUUUACAUCGAGAACGUUUUGAAACUAGACUUUGGUACGCAGUUCAUCACCUGCUUAACAAUAACGGCGUACAUAGACGCUAUCUAAAUUAACCACUAUAAGAUUUAGCGAGAGAUCUAUUUUUAUAAUUGCGUAUACCACUUUACAAGAGAGAUGUCAAGAGCAUGAUGGUACACUUUGUAUAUAUCUUUGAAUUCCAGCUACGGGACUUUCUUGCCUUCGUCGAAAAAAUCUAUCAGUUUUAUCUUAAGGCCGAACAUCUCCCUAUCGUCAGCGAACUUCUUCAUGUACCAUUCAUGGAAUUUGUAUAUCAAAGCUUCCGUACCAACUCAGGCCUUACUGGAGAUUUGCCUAGCUCAAAGGUCCGUUUCAGUUCAACUAGCGGUCCAGCUGGCAGCUCAACUUGCCCAAGACAUUCAGCAAGUCCCAUACCUAUUUCUUCCAUGAAUUUUAUUACUUCUGCUUGUUGAUGCAAGGGCAUUGCUGCUAUCUGUUUAGCGUCGUUUUCUAGUAGAUGCCCGAGGUGGGGGAUAGCACCACUUGAAGACAACUUUCCAUUCCUUUUUUUUCCUCUCAUCAGCCUUAACUAAUGCCCGUUCGUAGUUCAACAGUAGUGGCACCGACUUCUUGGUUGCUUCUUUCAUCUUUUUUUAAAAAAAAUUAAUUCUCUUCGAUCUAUUAGCGGUGGCUCCAUCUCCUUUGCUUUUUUUCUUCGACCCUUUUCUUGAACCACUCCCUGCAUUCUGCUUGGUUUCGGCCCAGCGUUCCGCUUGAGUCAUUGCCUCUUAGCAUUCCUCAGGAGUCACUUUAGGCUCCUUUAUUUUUUUCUUUCUCUAUCUUGGCUUGGGAGGCAAUGGUCGGGACUUCUUAAGUGGUGCUGCAGUUUCCUUGCUCUAGGCUUCUCUUAGUCCCGAUGAUGAUGAUCGGGGAGGGGUGUUGUUGUCCUCGUCGUCGCUCGCACCACCAGGAUGUGGUGGAGAUGGAGACCUUGAUCGAGCAGAAAGCGACGGUCCCUGUGGUGACUAUGGUCCUGGAGCAGGUUGUGCUGGAGAUGAUGGUCCUAGAGCAGGCCGUGGUGGAGAUGACGGUCUUGAGCUUUGAGGAGAGGGUCGCUGCUGGGGAUUUGUGGGGAGCAGUAUUGAGCUUUGAGGAGAUGCCUCAAUGCCGGGGAUGAUGAUGUAGCAUUUGCGCCAUAGAAUGAUCCCGUGAAGCGCAUAUCCUAGUGUCCUUUCCCCAUCACCUCCCGGGAGGUCGAGCUCUAGGCCUUCAUAUUGGCUAUCAACGAGCUGCUCUAGGCCGACACUGGCGUAGCCAGGUGGAAUCUCAAUGCCAUGGCCUGUCUGCCCUGGCAGGAUUGGUAAGGCACUCUCGUAUGCCACCUGUACAUAUAACAGAAAUAAAGAAGUUAUUAAACUCCGAUCCCGAGGUGUGGAUGGAUGAUUGAGAAGAUUGCAAAAAUAUCAUGUAUAAGUAUACCUUAAUGGUGAUGUUGUCGACCGAUUUAUGCAGCUCACAUGAGGUGCAUUGCGUGAUGACAUCCAUAGGGAACCAUUGCUCAACCAUGGGUAAUCCUUGCAUUUGUGGAUUGGGGAGCCCUGUGGAAGCACAGCUGCUCCCGAGGUGUUAAGAAGGGCUGGCGACGUUUGGAUCCGACAGUGCUCUAGAUUGGGCUAACUCCGCAACUGCUAGAGCCACUCGACAAUUGAUUUCCUCUUGCAUUCUUACUUCUUGUGAAUGCACUUUGGAUUCUAGCAUGCACCUCAAGGUCUCCUCAACCUGUUCCUUUCUUCGCUUAUGGCUUUGGUACGAAGCGAUGUCACCUUGAAAAGCGAACUUCCAUGGAAUGACCCGUACCCUCGACAAUGUCCUGGGUGCUCGGGAUUCCCGAGGGCCAAUGUGAGCUCAUGAUUCUCUCGGUCCAUCUUCAACCUCCGAGCCUUAGCAUCUUCAAUGUUCUUCAUAAGCCUUUCGGCCUUCUGACGUAUUGUCUCAUUGAAGAUCAAUGUCACAUCCUCUUUGGCUCAGGUUGCCUCCAUGAGCGUAACACCAAUUUUUCGAUUGAUCGGGCCAUUCAAGAGUUGCUGGUACGAUACUCUGAUCAAUCAGGUUUUGUUCCAUCUUGCGCCAUUUGGGAAUUGUUGUGCCCUAACCACCUCACCCUAGACGAUGAUGGUACUCCUUCUUGCCAGCAUUUGAAACGUUGGUCUUGAUCUUAUUCGCACCGUCUUCGCUCGUCUUGUGUUCGACAAAUGCCUCCCAGUGGUCCCUCAACUUUUGCCACUCAUCGAAAUCCGGAGUUUAGCCAUUCUUGAUGAAUGUGGCAUCCAGCAUCUUCUUGAAUGUCUGGAAUUGUGUGGCCAUCUUCUUCAACGUCCACGGUUUCACAUCAUCUUCAUUACAUCCUUCGGGAAAUGUGAAAUGUCUCUUGACAUCUGCCCACAGCAUAUUCUUUUCUGAAUCCGGGAGUGUGUAUGGAUUAGUACUUUUCUCCUUCCAUUCCCUGAUGCUGAUAGGCAGAAGCUAGAGACUAUUUCUUUUUCUAAAAAUACACGUGAGGGAGAAAAUUGGUAACAGCUAAAUAGUGCAGAUCGCAUUUCAACACACGUUUUUAUAGCUGAGCACACGUCCGAAUCCCAUUUUUAAGUGUUCGGUCCUACACCCACAUUUUCAUCCCUAGUUGUCGAUUUAGUCAUUUUUUACCUUCCAUGACCUAUAGCACACGUUUUUAUGGUAGAACACGCAUUCAGAGGUCAUUUUCACAUCUUCGGUCCAUCCCCACAUUUUCGUCCCCGGUGGCCGGUGUGGCUGUUUUCGAACUAACGUGACUUAUAACACACGUUUUCAUAGCCGAACACGUGUCCGAAGGCCAUUUUCAAGUGUCUAGUUUGACACCCACAUUUUUGGCCCCGGUGGCCGGUAUGGCUAUUUUUGUGCUCCCGUCACCUAUAACACACAUUUUCAUGGUCGAACACACGUCCGGAGGCCAUUUUAAGUUGUUCGGUCCAUCCCCACAUUUUUUACCCCGGUGGUCGGUGUGGCCAAUGUUUUCUUGGCCGAACACGCAUCCGGAGGCCAUUUUCACUUGUUUGGUUCGACACUAACAGUUUCAUCCCGGUGGCCGGUGUGGCUAUUUAUCGUUCUCCCGUGACCUAUAACACACAUUUUCAACACUAACACUUUCGAAGGCCAUUUUCAAUUGUUCGGUCUGACACUAAUGUUUUGGUCCCCAGUGGCCGGUGUGGCCGUUUUCAACCUCCCGUGACCUAUAACACACAUUUUCAUAGCUAAACACGCGCCCGGAGGCCAUUUUCAAGUGUUCGGUCUGACACCCACAUUUUCGUCCCCGGUGACCGGUGUAGCUCUUUUUGGCCUUCCCAAACACGCGUCUGGAGGCCAUUUUUCACUUGUUCGGUGCAUCCCUAGUUUUUGCUCCAGUGCUGAUGUGGUCGUUUUUAGGCUUCGACCUAUAGCACACAUUUGCAUGGUUGAACACGCGUCCAGACGUCAUUUUCACUUGUUCGGUCCAUCCCCCACGAUUUCAUCCCCGGUGGCCGGUGUGGCCGUUUUUGGGCUCCCGUGACCUAUAACCCACGUUUUCAAGGCCAAACUCGCGUCCGGAGGCCAUUUUCACUUGUUCAGUCCAUCCCACAUGUUCUCGUCCCCGGUGGCCGGUGUGGUCGUUUUCAGGUUCCCGUGACCUAUAAUCCUCAUUUUCAUGGCUGAACACACGUCUGAAGGCCAUUUUCGCUUGUUCAGUUCAUCCCCCAUGUUUUCGUCCCAGGUGGCCAGUGUGGCCGUUUUUGAACUAACGUGACCUAUAACAUACGUUUUCAUAGCCGAACACGUGUCCGAUGUCCAUUUUCAAGUGUUCGGUAUGACACCCAAGUUUUCGUCCCUGAUGGCUGGUGUGGCCGUUUUCGGGCUCCCGUGACCUAUAACACAUGUUUUCAUGGCUGAACACGCGUCCAAAGGCCAUUUUCAUUUGUUCAGUCCAUCCCCCACAUUUUCAUCACCGGUGGCCGGUGUGGCCAUUUUUGUGAUCCUGUGACCUAUAAAACACAUUUUGAUAGCCGAAGACGUGUUUGCAGGCCAUUUUCAAGUGUUCGGUUUGACACCCACGUUUUCGUCCCCGGUGGCCGGUGUUGCUGUUUUUUGCCUUCCAUGACCUAUAGCACACGUUUUUGUGGCUGAACACGCGUUCGGAGGCUAGUUUCACGUUUUCGUCCCUGACAGCCAGUGUGGCCAUUUUCGGGCUCCCGUGACCUAUAACACACAUUUUCAUGGCCAAACACAAGUCCGGAUGCCAUUUCCAGUUGUUCAGUCCAUCCCCCACAUUUUCAUCCUCGGUGGCCGGUGUGGUUGUUUUCGGCCUCCCGUGACCAACAACACACGUUUUCGUAGCUGAACACACGUCCGGAGGCUAUUUUCAAGUGUUUAGUCCUACACCCAUGUUUUCAUCCCCGGUGGCUAGUGUAGCCAUUUUUUAUCUUCCGAAACCGAUAGCACACGUUUUCACGAGCAUGGCCUGUGAGGCUUAGCUUCUCGUAAUCGUAGGUCAUGGCAGGGUUUGAUCGGUCGGGAGGCUGAAGAGUAAGUUACUUUGGGUAGUCAGUGGAAUGGGAUGCCCUUUCAUUUGGGCGAAGUGUGUGAUCGCACGAAAGUAAAGAGCGAGUGGUACUGCACCCUCGUGGAGCCCCUGAGCGACCCAAGCCAAGAGUGCUCGGGCUGGGGCGCUGUAGGAGCGAGUAUCGAAUGGAAACAACUGGUAAAACCAAGCUAGGGAAAUAAACAAUGUAAUUGCUCAAUGUUCCAUGUGUUGGUGAGGAUGUUGCCGUCGUCGUCCUUCAGUCAGUAGGCGCAUGGUCGGAUCACCUCGGUGACUGUGUACAGUCCUUCCCAUGGCGGAGAGAGCUUGUUCUUAUUAUUGGUCGACUAGGUCCUUCGAACCACAAGGUCACCAAUCUCGAGGGUCCUCCCUCGGAUUUUCCUCUCGUGGUACCUACGAAGGGUUUGCUUUUAAACGAGCGGAGUGGAUGAUGGCCGUCUCAUGUGGCUCCUCGAGCAGGUCGACUGUGUCCUGCUAAGCUUCUGUAGCUCGGUCUUGGUCGAAGGCCUUUACCCUUGGGGCACCGUAAUCGAGGUCGAACGGUAACACGGCUUUGGCUCCGUACACCAAUAAGAAGGGGGUGAACCCUGUGGAUUGGUUUGGGGUCGUUCUAAGGCUCCAGAUUACCACUGGGAGCUCUGUGACCCAUCACCCGGUGUGCUUUUUUAGCCGGUCGAAAAUGCAAGGCUUGAGCCAUUGGAGGACCAUGCCAUUGGCUUGCUCGACCUGAUCAUUGGUUUGUGGGUGCCCGAUCGAGGCCAAGUCGAUCCUAAUGCCGUAUCCAUCAUAGAAAUCCAGGAACUUCUUGCUAGUGAAGUUUGUUUCGUUGUCUGUGAUGACGCAGUUAGGGACACUAAACCGAUAGAUGAUGUCAAGGAAGAACUCGACUGCGUCUUGUCACCGGAUGUUGGUGAUGGGCUUCGCCUCAAUCCACUUGGUGAAUUUGUCCACCGCCACGAGUAGGUGAAUGAUGCCACUCGGGGCCUUUUUAAGGGACCCAACUAUGUCGAGGCCCCAGACCGCGAAUGACCAGAUGAUGGGGAUGGUCUAGAGCUCUUGCGUCGGCAGGUGAGUUUUCUGAGCAUAGAACUGGCAGCCUUCACACUUGUGGACCACCUCCUCUACGUCUUGAAAUGUUGUGGGCCAGUAAAAACCUUGGCAAAAGGCUUUCCCGACCAGUGAUCUCAGGGACGCAUGGUGUCCGCAGAUUCCGGCAUGGACUUCAAGAGAAGUUGUUUCCCCUAAUUUGUCGGGAUGCACUUCAUGAGUAUUCCCGAUGGACUUCAUUUGUAACGUUCAUCACCGAUGGUGACGAAUGUCUUGACGCGUCAAGUGAUUUGUCGUGCUUCAAUCCUCUCUAGUGGGAGGACCUCUUCGAGGAUGUAGGUGAGUAACGACGCUCUCCAGUUGGCUGGGUCGUGCGCCAUUACGUCAGUGCUUCUAGGUGAGGUCACCAUAGGGGCAUCAGGGUCGGAGCCCCUGAGCAUGCAAUCGGACCGUGACUGGGUUGGGUCCUCUCGGACACGGGCAGAUGGUUCAUGGAGGUCGUUCACGAAGACUCCGUUGGAAGGUGGGCCCCAUCUAGGUGCCAAUUUUGUGAGGAAGUUAGCAACAUCAUUGUCCUUUUGUGGGACAUGAUGUAGCUCGAUCCCUCGUAACUUGUCUUCUAACUUGCACACAUCUUGACAGUACGCUGCCAUGAGAGGGCUCCUGUAGGAGAACUCCUUCAUGACUUGGUCGACCACUAGCUCCGAGUCGCCGCAGCAUAAAGCCGCAUCUCGCCGAGCUCGAUGGUGAUACGUAGCCUAUUGAUGAGGGCUUCGUACUCCGUGACGUUGUUCAAGGUUGCAAAAUGGAGACGGAUCACGUAGCAGAGCCUGUUCCCCUGUGGGGAGAUAAGGACCACUCUAGCCCUCGAGCCAGGUCCCAUGACCGAACCGUCAAAGUACAUCAUCUAGUACUCGUGGGUGACAUCCAGGGUCAGGAUCUGGACUUCCAUCCACUCGGCGAUGAAGUCGGCCAGGUCCUAAGACUUAAUAGCUAUGCAGGGGACGUACUUGAUGUCAUGGCCCAUGAGCUCAAGCGUGCACUUGGAGAUUCGCCCCAUAGCAUCACGGUUGCAAAUGAUCUCUCCCAGCAGGUACGAGGUGACGAUCGUGACCUCAUGGUCGGUGAAGUAGUGUCGGAGCUUCCGGGUCGCCAUCAGCAUGACGUAUAGAAGGUUCUGGGCUUGGGGUAAUGCAUGUUGGCGUCAUGUUGACACCAUGUUUUGACAUACGUCAAAGAUGGCGUCAAAAGAAAAUAGAGAUGCCAGCGCAUAGUGGAAGGACAACAGCUAGUGGAAUCGACUGGUAAGGUUGUAGAGGGUUGAGCCGAUAGAGUAAGGCAGAAGCCUAGGCGAUGGGAUCACAGGGGCGUAGCCCAUAGAGUCAGCCGAUGUGAGCAGGAGGGUUCUAGCCGAUAGGAAAUGUUGGAGGUUCGGCCGAUGAGGAGCUAGUUUUGGUCGGUAGAAGCCAAAUUCGUUUCUGACUCCUGCACGAGUCAUUUUUAUUUAGAAAGUUUGUUUCUUUAGAGAUAGGUCUUAUGAUUUGUUAUAACCGACUAGGAUUAGAAAUCUUGAUGUAUAGGGUAUAAAUAGGGGCCUUGUAAGGUUUGGAAAAGACACACACAUCAUAAUCAAUACAAAUCUACUAUUUUCGCAAUCUACUUUCAAGUCGACGACUUCGCCAUUGUUUUGUUUUCUUCACGAGUUCUUCCAAGCUGGUUGGACUGCAUUGCUUCGAUCUCCAGCUAGACUGUAAGUUCCGCGUUUACUGAAUACCUCCUAGGCUUUAACUUUGGGUGCAUCGUUGUCAUUUCAUCUGGAUUUAUUCACAAGUUAUCGAUAUUUACUGGAUCUGCAUGUUUUAUUUGUUAAAUCUUGUUGCUUUAGUUUUUAUCACGGUUAUCCAGCUUAGAACACAUUCCAAUCAACUUUUUCUUUAUUUCUCAUACUAAUCUACUAUCACCCAGCUGAUUAGAUCUGUUUUAAGUGGUGUUCAUGUAAUGCUAUUUAGGUUGUAUUUUAUGCUUCCUUUACAUCUACUACAUCCACAUCGGCUGAUCUAGCCGAUUGUCUUUUCUCGUGUCGGCAGCUCUACGAUACGUCCUGUGGAGCGAUUUAGAAUGCCAGCUGAUUUGCUAUUGUAUUUGACAUUUUACCUGUCCUUUUCAAUCAAUAGGUCAGAUUGACUGGCACACCAUGGAUCGAUAGGGCUACAACCCAAACAGGAGCGAAGCAGAUUCUCCCGGGUUUUGUGUGUUAGUGCGCGGGAGCCGUCUCUCAAUUUUUGUGUCAACACAUCGGUGAGUACUUCACUGAUGAAGUACACCGGUCGCUGGACCUUCAGCGCAUGUCCCAGCUCCUCUCUAUCGACUACAAGGGCAGUACUAACCACGUGGUCGCUUGCCGCGAUGUAGAGGAGAAGGGGUUCUUCCUGCUCGGUAGCGAUGAGGACUGGGGCCGAAGUCAGCAAUGCUUUGAGGCUUUCCAAAGCCCAUUGUGCCUCCUCCAUCCAGACGAAUGCGUCUGCCUUCUUGAGGAGUGUGUAGAGAGGCAUCCGUCGUUCGCCUAGUCGGGAGAUGAACCGGCUCAGGACGGCCAAACAACUAGUGAGCCUCUGUAUGCCCUUGAUGCUGUGUAUGGGGCCCAUGUUGGUGAUGGUCGUGUUUUUUUGAGGUUGGCUUCAAUGCCGCGCUCGGACAUGAUGUACUUGAGCAGCUUCCCCUUUGGAACCCCGAAAACACAUUUCUCAGGAUUAGUGGGGUUGUGGUGCUGCACUACUCCAGAACAACAACACUGCGGCACGCUUGCUCAAUCAGACGGCAAACCAACCUGCUCUAGCAUACAACCUCCAUCACCAUCGGCUCCGCAGCCAACCGUCCAGCGUUAUCAGCAGCAUCCACUAGAAGUCAGUAGGGAGGAUGGUGUUUUGGAUCCUCACAGGGAUGGGUCACCUAUAGUGGUGUACGAUGAGGCAACCGGUGUGUUGCGGCAUGUUGAUUCUUCCCGCCAGUUGACCUAGCCGCAAUAUCUGCAACAUACAUCGGCUAUCCAACAGCCAAUUGUGGUGCCACAAAUUCAGCAGCAGGUGCCGGUGGGCCAGCCAAUGCUCCAACCUAUGGUCCAGCAGUAGCCGCAACAGGUUGAUUGGGCCGCAAAGAUAGCUGGGGUGAUGCAAGAUCAGUUCGGUCUAAAACCUAAAGUGCAGACCUACACGUACAGAACGCCGUACCCACCGGCCUAUGACAUGUUGCCGUUCCCUCACCGAUUUCACCAAGUUCUCGGGACAAGAUGAGGCAUCUACGGUGGAGCACGUCAAUAGGUUCAUCAUUCAGUGUGGAGAGUCAGCUGUGCAGGAUGCUCUGAGGGUUCGGCUGUUCUCAUCAUCUCUGUCCGGGUCAGCCUUCCAGUGGUUCACGACGCUUCCACCUAACUCCAUUAUCACCUGGGACAAUCUGGAGAAAUAGUUCCACAAAAACUUUUUUGCUAGGGUUCACGAGAUGAAGCUGACAGAUCUAACUAGUCUCAGGUAGAGGAGUGAUCAAUCGGUGGCCAGUUUCAUCCAACGGUUUAGGGAAGUCAGGAACAAGUGCUACAGUUUGGUCUUGAGCGAUAGCCAACUAGCCAACACGGCUUUUCAGGGGCUUCACAGGAGUUCGAGAGUUUGAGCUAGAUUGUACACCGGUUGUCAAACCAAGACGUACGCCCAUUUGAUUAGAGAAAGAAUUUCCAGAAGAAGGUGGCGUACGUGGAGUGUUUGGACUUAGAAGGAGAAGCAGAGGUCAGCUUGGCAGAGUGGGUUAAAGUCCAAAAAGCCGAUCUCUUGCCCGUACGGCAAGGAGCCUGAGAAAUUCGAGUUCAAUAUUUCCAAGGCUGAUAAGAUCUUUGAUUUGUUGCUGCAAGAAGGGAAAAUCAAGCUCUCACCAUACCACACGAUCCCAUCGACUGAAGAACUUAAGAAGAUCAAGUACUGCAAGUGGCACAAUGCCACAUCUCACAACACCAACGAGUACAAAGUCGUUUGCCAGCAGAUCCAAUCAGCUAUUGAGCAAGGGAGGCUCAAGUUUAAAGCUCCUUCAAAACCAGCAAAGCCGAUGAAGAUUGACCAACAUCCAUUCCCAACAAAUAUGGUAGAAGUCAGAGGCAAAAGCGCACCUCCCACAAAGGUGCUGACAUCAGAAUCAGCCAAGAGGAGUGGAGAUGUGGACCCUAGAGUAUAGGUGUCGGCCAACGAUGUCAAGUUGAAGAGUCAGUUGCAAGAAGGUUAAGCUCAGCAAGGCCUCAAUGGCCGAUAUCGUCCCAAGAGUUGCUCAAUAAGUUAUAGAGAUAGCAAGAUCAGGCAAGGCACCGGGAAGAGAUGACACAUCACCAUGAAGAUCACUGGAGAUGCCCAUUCUUCAUAUACUGCUGGGAGGAGGGGAUCAAGAUACCAUCGAUUGACAACUACCCCGAAUGCAAUGGGUCAUACCAAGGCAGCUGAUUGUCCAAAAGACCGUGCUUUGAUGAUAGGAAUCAAAAGCCGAUCAACAGGGAUAGACCUUACCAUGAUGACAGGUGCAUCCCAAUGCGUGAUUGACUGGGGGGCAGGAUCAGUAUACACGAUUGGCUGGAGGGCAGGGUAAAUGUGCCCAACAGACUAGAGGAAAGAGCCAAUGCAAGAGUCCUCGAUGAAGAGCCUUUGUGUCGCGAACCGGAGCGGCGGCGUGCAUCACGAGACAAAGCUAUAGAACAGCCUAGAUGGUGCCCAGCGGGUUUGACUAAGUCCCAGAAGAGACGGGUUCAAUGCCUGCGACAAUGGGAGUAUCAAGAAGAGGAACAAAGGUGUGCUUCAGAAAGGAAAGGGGUCAAAUCCUAGGUGUGGCACAUCAAAGACAAAGCCGAUGACGAAGAUAACAAUCCCGGAUCAGCUGCCGAUGUCAACAUGGUUUUUGUAUUACCGAUGGAAUUCAUGGCUCCAACCAAUCACAAGGCAACAGAAGCAGAAUAGGGGAUGGCACAAUUAACCUUGGUGCUGAUGUCAGCCACCUUUGAAAAACCCAAAGAUGAAAAACGUCGGCACCUGAAAGCCCUCUUCCUCAAGGGGUAAAUCGACGGGAGGCUGAUUACCAAGCUUCUGGUGGACAGUGGUGCAACCGUGAACAUCAUGCCGUAUGCCAUGUUCCGCAAGCUCGGCAAAGGCGAAGAAGACUUGAUCAAAAUAGACAUGAUGCUGAAGGACUUCAAAGGAAACAUCUCUCCGGCCCAGGGGGCACUCUGCGUCGACCUCACCAUCGGCAGUAAGACCCUAGCUACUAGUUUCUUUGUUAUUAAUGGUAAAGGGUCCUACAAUAUGCUUCUGGGUCAAGAUUGUAUUCAUGCCAACUACUACAUCCCGUCUACAAUGCAUCAAUGUCUCAUCCAAUGGGUCGGCGACUCAGUUGAAGUGGUCACCGCUGAUUCUUUUUUCAGCGUCGUUGCAGCCGAUGCACAAUAGUGGAAUUGCAAAUAAGUCAGCAGCAUAUCUGGCAGAGUCUAGGAUACAGAUUUCUUGAAGAUGUCCGAUUUUGGACUACAGCGAUCCAAGUAGUCGGCUCUGAAGAAUUGUCCUGAUGGAUGAGUUCACCCAAGAAGAUGGGAAGCUGGAGCAUGAGUUUAUGUUAGUCGACGAGUUAGAGAUGGUAGAGCUUGAAGAUGGGAGCAAGCCAAAGCAGACAUAUAUUAGUGCUAAGUUAGAUCCUGAGUAUAAGCAUGAACUAAUUAAGUUGUUAAAAGAAUUCAAAGAUUGUUUUGCUUGGGAGUAUCAUGAAAUGCCUGGUUUAGAUCAAUCUAUUGUCGAACAUCAGUUGCUAAUAAAAUCAGGAUAUCGGUCGUAUCAGCAACCUGCGUGACAUUGUAAUCCGAAGAUUUUACUUGAUAUUAAGGCUAGGAUCACAAGAUUAAUUGAAGUGGGGUUUAUUCGGCAAUGUCGGUAUGCUGAGUGGAUUUUUAAUGUGGUUCCCGUAUACAAGAAGAAUGGAAAACUGCACAUUUGUAUUGAUUUCAGGAACCUCAAUCAAGCCACACCAAUGGAUGGUUGUCUGAUGCCGACAGCUGAUGUGUUGAUAGAUGCUACUUUAGGAUACAAAGUCAUUAGUUUCAUGAAUGGCAACGUUGGAUAUAACCAAGUAUUGAUGGACAAAGAAGAUAUUUCCAAGACGGCUUUCGGGUGUCCUGGACACAACGGUUUAUUUGAAUGGGUGGUCAUGACCUUCGGAUUGAAAAAUGUUGGGGCUACAUACCAGCGAGCCAUGAAUUACAUUUUCCAUAAACUUAUCGGCAUCCUAGUGGAAAUUUAUAUCGAUGAUGUCGUAGUCAAAUCGAAAGGGUAUCGAGAACACUUAGCCGAUUUGCGUGAAGUCCUGGAAUGCACAAGGAAAGAUGGGUUGAAAAUGAAUCCGAAUAAAUGUGCUUUUGGCGUGUCGGCUCGAAAGUUCUUGGGGUUCAUGGUUCACGAGUGAGGCAUUGAAAUUAAUCAGAGGAUCAUUGGUGCUAUUAACAAAGUUGUGGCUCCGCAAAAUAAGACUGAGUUGCAGUCAUUAAUCGAUAAAAUUAAUUUCAUUCAAAGAUUCAUAUCGAACCUGUCUGGAAGGAUUCAAUCUUUCAGCCUGUUGCUUAAACCAAAAGCCGAUCAAGAGUUCGUUUGGGGGGCAGAGCAGCAAAAGGCAUUGGAUGAUAUCAAACAAUACCUGGUGUCACCUCCUAUAUUGGUUCCUCCACAAGCUAACAAGUCGUUCAGGUUAUACCUCUCAGCCGAUGAGUGUGCCAUUGGGUCGGCUCUUGUCCAAGAAUUUGAAGGGAAGGAACGUGUAAUUUAUUAUGUGAGCAGAAGACUCUUGGACGCAGAGACCAGGUAUUCCCCAGUUGAGAGGUUGUGUCUAUGCCUAUAUUUCUCCUGCUCUAAGCUUAGACACUAUUUAUUAUCCGCCAAGUGCGUUGUGGUAUGCAAGGAUGAUGUGGUCAAAUACAUGUUGCCAUUGCCAAUUCUAAAUGGAAGGAUUGGGAAGUGGAUUCUGACUCUGUCGGAGUUUGACCUAAAGUACGAAUCAACUAAAGCUGUCAAAGGGCAAGUCAUGGCCGAUUUUGUUACUCAUCAUUGUAGGCCAGAGGUUGCUAUUGUUGAGGUAGCCCAAUGGACUUUAUUCUUUGAUGGAUCUUCAUGUGGGACUGGAUCAGGAAUUGGCAUAAUCCUUAUAUCGCCUUGGGAGGCGAACUACAAGUUCUCACUGCCAGUUGAGGCUUCUGCUACCAACAACCAGGCCGAGUAUCGAGCCAUUUUGAAGGGGAUCCAAUUGCUGAGAGAAAUCAAAGCUGAUGCUGUUGAGAUUUUUGGGGAUUCUAUUCUUAUCAUCAACCAGCUGACUGGAGGAUGUGAAUGCAGAGAUGAUAUUUUAAGAAUUUACUACGAACAGUGCCUUCAGUUACUCAAAGAAUUCAAGAGUGUGGUUAUUGAGCAUAUUCCCAGAGAUUACGAUGAGGAUGCUAACAAGCUCGCCGCAUGCUUCUGGUUAUCGACCGAUCUGUGGUGCUAUGGCCUUAGAGUUAAUGGCCGAUGAUUGAAGGAAAGAAAUAGUAGAUUACUUAAAAGAUCCCUCCAAGAAAGUCGAUAGGUGAGUUCGAUUUCAGGCUUUGAAAUAUGUGUUGCUUGAAGAUGACCUUCAUUAUCUGAUGAUUGAUGGGGUCUUGCUUAAAUACCUCAGGGUUGAAGAAGCCAAGAAUCUGAUGGGCAAAAUUGAUGAAGGGGUUUGCGGAGCUCAUCAAUCGGCUUUCAAGAUGAAGUAGAUGAUUAGAAACAAGGGGUAUUAUUGGCCGACUAUACUUGAAGACUGCUUUAAAUACUAUAAAAGUUGUCAAGAUUGUCAGAAGUUUGGCAAUGUGCAAAGAGCCCCAACAUCAGCUAUGAAUCCUAUAAUAGAGUUGUGGCCGUUUAGGGGGUAUCGAUUUGAUCGGCCAGAUUUAUCCACCUUCAAACAAGGGUCAUAAGUUCUAGUAGCAACGAAUUAUUUCACUAAGUGGGUUGAAGCAAUUCCCUUGAAAAAUGCAACAUCGGCAAGCAUGGUUGAUUUUGUCAAAGAACACAUCAUCUAUCAAUUUGGUAUCCCUCAAACUAUCACUACCGAUCAAGGGACAAUGUUCACUUCGGGAGAGUUUGAGGAAUUCGCUACUGGUAUGGGAAUUAGGUUGUUGAAUUCUUCUUCGUAUUAUGCCCAGGAAAAUGGUCAAGUUGAAUCAUCCAACAAGGGGAUCAUUAAAUUAAUUAAGAGGAAGAUCAAAGAGCAGCCAAGGCGCUGGCACACUACGUUGAGCGAAUCCUUAUGGGCGUAUCAGAUGGCUUGUCACGGAGCCACAAAAGUAUCCCCUUAUCAAUUGGUUUAUGAACAUGAAGCAGUUCUACCUUGGGAGUUAAAGACUGGGUCUAGGCGUGCAUCGUUGCAAGACCAGUUAAUAGCCGAAGAAUACUCUACUUUGAUGAAAGGGGAUUUGGAAGACCUAGCGGGUCAUCGACUAAGGUCUUUGAUCAGCAUCGAAGAAAAUAAGAAGAGGGUGGCUAGAUGGUAUGACAAAAAGGUCAAGGUCAAGGAGUAUUCCCAAGGAGAUUUAGUCUGGAAGCUGAUAUUGCCGAUUGUGUCUAAAGAUCCCAAAUUUGGGAAAUGGUUGCCUACAUGGGAGGGACCGUAUCGGAUAAACCGGUGUGCUCCUGGUAAUGAGUAUAUUUUGGAGACACUUGAAGGAGAGGAGUUCACAAGGGCUCUAAAUGGAAAAUACUUUAAGAAGUACUACCCGAGUAUAUGGGUAGAUGCAUAGCCGAUGGUGUGAUGCCUCGGACUAACAUAGACGAUAUUGAGGGUAUCGCCUUUAGUCUAAAAAGAAAAGAAGGAAAAAGGCAGACACAUGGAUAGCCGAUAAAAUCAGCUGUGAUAUGGCCGAUGUGAUACAAGUCACCCUUAGAACAAAUAAUACUUGCAACACUUCAGACACAAGAGGUUAUUACAUCAAAGUCAUCAUUAUAUCAUGGCCAAGACAUUCCAUUACAGGCAAAUCUGGAUGGCUCCCUAUUGAUAUCGGCAAAUACUUACUCCCUUUGGCGAGAUGUGCCUAGGAGAUGCCCCAGUUGAACCUUAGUAGUGCCGAUUUCCCUGUUGACCCGGCCCAAUUCCAGUAGAAGUUGAAUUUUCCUAGCCUCCAAACUGGCCAACUUGUCUUCGAGCAAUACACGGGGGGGGGGGGGAGGUUGAUGGCUUCGAAGGAUUGGCUACUGCAUUUGGUGGUUUGAGCCUGCAGCUUCGAUUGAGGACAAGAUCGAUUUGAUGUCCAUAGGUAGAUGGUCUCUGAUUUGAUCACGAUGAGCUUGGAUCAAAGCUUUGUCCACCUGGGUGAGCGGCUCAUUGGAAUGAAGGAUCUGGAUGACCUAUUCAAGCUGUUCGUCCACUUGAUUUGGCUGGGAAAGAGAACAAAGAGUCAAGGUUUGGUUCAUGAUAACCAAUUCGGAAUAGAGAAAACAUAGCAAUACCUGGUUGACUGAAGAAGAGGAAGCCAUCUUGGUCGCGUGAAUUCAAUCUGGUUCGAAAACUCGCAGUGUGUGCGGUCUUGAAGGUGACCUCAAGGAAGGAGUAGGGGUCUGUAUUUAUAAGACGAAUAGACGUGUGAAAUGUGAACAAUGGUCGGUCAAAAGGGGCUUUAAAUGGGACUAGCCAUUGGCGAGUCAGAAAGAGCUGUGGAGAAACGGUCAAAUUACAUUCAAGAUGGAUAUUGAGCAUUGACAUCACGAGAGGAAUGUACCAAGUACCAGAAUACAUAAAAGCUAAUAACGUUCGUUACAAUUAUGCUAGAAGAGUUUGAAUGGCAUUUAUCGCACGCAGGCGAAUCUGAUUGGCAGCCUUUAUCUCCCUACGGUCGUCAUCGGCUGAGCCGGGUAUGUCAGUUAUGCUCCGAUGUAGCUGAAUAGCUUGAUGCGCAUGUGCUUGCUUUUCCUGCUCUAAUUGCUUGAGGACUUCUAGAAGUUGGGCGAGCUUGGUUUCUUCGACGAUGAUGGCAUCGCCGAUGCUUUUCAAUUCCUUCAUCAGUUUUUCCCUCCUUGCUUUGAGCCAAUCAAUUUCACCAACAAUAUUGGGGCGAGAAUCCCUAAGAAAGUCGAUCUUGCGAUGGAUUUCAUCGGCCUAAAGCUUAUGGAAUUCCUUGUCCUUAUGCAAUUGUUCCUGUUUGGCGCGAUCGGCUGUGCGGCGUAGAGCCCUUAACAUCGGGACUUGGUGACUCCCUAUGUAGGCUGCGGGGAGGAUGGCUUCUUCUUUGUCUUCUAGGAUCUGGCCUUUGAGGUUGCGGAGGAUGUCGUGCAUCGGUUGUGCAUCUUUGACUAGUUGGCUGAUGUCUUGCUGAAGGAAGUCGAGUAUAUCUUGAAGUUUGGCCUUUAGGACAUCAGGAAUAGAUUCUGGAACCAGUGGGUGUGACAAAACUUCUUCUUCUUCGUGGAUUUCCCCUACCUGAAAUGAGAAGAGGCUGCUGUCUGGAGUGUCCUGAGCCUGCAAGGAUCAAUAAGGUAUAAGCCAAUGAAGCUAGUUGAUUGGAAUCAAUUAAUGUGCAAAAGAGUGUUCAUCAUCUUCCAUUGGGUUUCUCUGGUUUGUGUUGGUGAUUCCACUGGGGACUCUUGUUGAACUGGUUCCGCGGAGGGUGGCAUGUUCUUGGAAGGUACAUUGACUGCUAGUGUUUCAAGAAUAGCGGCCGACACUUCUGGGAUAGUCUGUAUAGAAAACCGGAUGAUUCUUAGCAACGGAGGUUGAGAAGGGCUGGAAUAGAGUAUGCAUUUUACCUCAAGUGUUGGAGUGAUGGCCGAUGCAGUCUCCUGUGUAUCUUUAGCCUGCGGAUCAGCCGAUGAAGGAGGCAGAAGCAUAGCCGAUUCUAGGAUGGGCUCUUCUGGUGCCGAUUGUGCGGAAGGCUAAAAGAAACAAGAGUCAGUACUAGCAAAGUAUCUAGAAAAAUUUAAAUAAGUGAGAUUACCUACAUAGCCUCUAUCAAAAGUGAUGUAGCUACUGACGCUACUUCCGCUAGAACAGCCGUUUGGGGUGCCACCGCUGCCGUCGGAUCAGUCUCCUGGGCUGACGCUGCUGUCGGCAGGACAGACGCCUAUGCUGAUUUGGAGCCUUUUUGAGGGUGCUUCUUACGGGUAGCCUUCUCAAGAAUAGAGGCUUUGCGCUUUUGGCCUGCGGCUAUGUCCAUUAAAGAUGGCGCAUCGUAGCCGAUGAGGGGGUCAGCCAAUGGAGGGACGUAAGCAAUUGGCUUGUUGCUCUAGCUAACUCUUGAAGGUGUAAAGUGAACACCCUGUAAAGGGCAAAAGUGUUAGUGGGAAGAAAAUAUCUGUAAUGAAAGGAGAUUCAGCGGAAUCAAUGGUGAUUACCCCUCCAUCAGGAUCAUUGAAGUCUAGGUCGAACUUCCUACAAUAAAUUCUUGUUGCCACAUAGAAAAGAUGAUUCUUUCAAUCUUUCCACCACGACAUGAAUUGUUUAAUGGUGAAGGCUGCAGCUGUCCAUGUUUCCAAGUUGAUGGUGCUGGUAUCUGGAGCCAAGUUGUUGAGUCUGUUGUAUUCACGGCCGCUGGAAAGUUUCUCACAGGGUCUCACCAGUUUGGCAAAAUAAGGUCUUAUCAGCAAUUGUCCAAAGCCAAGUUGAUGAGCUGCUGCCGACGGGUGAUAAAAUUCAUAUCUCAAAUGCUGACCUUUACCAGCAAAAAUGUUAGCUGGAAGAAUUCCAGGCUUGAUGAUUAUCUUUAGGAUUUCUCCACUGAAGGUGCAUGUGAUGAAGUCGAAGCAAUAUGGCAACUCAAAGAUAGGAACUUCACUGUGGCAAGCAUACCAGAUGGUAGCCCCUUUGGUGAGUCCAUUGUAACAGCACUUGAAGGCCUCGGCUGCUGCGGAGGGGGAGAGUCUACUGCUAGGAAUGACUGAUACUGCUUCACCAUAAGAUGUGCAUCGACAGGUUACAACUGGUUCCUCCUCUGGCUGAUCGCUGGGGAAAGACAUUUUCUUGAGGUCGUACUGGUAGGCACGCUGGAAGUAAAGAUUGAGCCAUAGGUUGAACCACUAAGGGCCGCCCAGAUUGCCAAUUGGUUCUCCGGCCAAUAGUUUGCUAGAUACUUGAUGCAAUAAGUGAUAGGUCGAUCCAAGAAGGUGCUUUCCUAGGGGGAUUGAAGACCCUACUGCCAAUGCUUCGGCCAAAGGUUGCAGAUUACUGGUCAGGCUGGCUGAUCUUCCGCAGAAUACAAAUUUGUCCAGCCACAUAUUUAGGAAGGUCACAUGCUCCAUCUCAUCAACGGUUCCAGUUCCGAUGUGACGAUCAAUAUAGCCUUUCCAUCCGCCGAUGGAUUUUGUCUCCAGCCGGCGAAAAUCUUUAGCUGCGAAAUGAAAUGGCAAAUUAGCAGAAGUGAUAUCCAAGCCUGUCAGCAUCAUGACAUCGGCUAGAGUUGGAGUCAUCGGCCCAUGGCUGAACAAGAAGGCAUUCAAAGUGUCUGACCAGAAAUAUGAUGCAGCUACGAGUAUGGGUUUGUUUCUAGCCAUAGCUAAUAAAGAAAGAGUAAUGCAUUGACUGAUGCAGCAUUCUUGCCAGAAGACAUUUUUGGAAUUGGCCACCCUGAGAUACCAAUUUUUCCAUCCGGGUGUGCGGUUGGUCCAAGAUUUGAAGGCGCUAUCCCAAUCGGCUAGAUCCAUUGAUGCAGAUUUGAAAGGGAUUAUAUUAGUCUCCAAGUUAAUUAGAUCUAUUGGAUCAGGAUCUCCCAUGGGGCCUAAGUUGAUGUAUCCAGAGGUAUCAGCUAUGGGGAUGGUGAUUCUAUCUCUAAGGGCCUAAGAAAUGCGAAAAUGGCUAAAUAAGGAAAGGAAAGUAAAGGCAUGGGGAGGACAAUGAGGGUAGAGAGGUGUACCUCGGGGACUGCAGUAAGGGUGGCCAUGGAAUUGGUUUGGGAUUUGAAGUGAUUAGCAAGCGAAUCACCAAUGGUCGCUGGAGAUCUCCGAUGGUCGCCGGAAGUCGUCGACGGUCGCCCUUCGCCCGAGAAGAAAGAGGAAGUAAGGUAUGGUGGUGUGAGAAGAUGAACCGGUGGGGAUGAAGAAGAUGACGGUUGUAAAUUUAUAAACUCAUCCGAGAGGGUAAAUGCGGUAUCUCAUCCACCGCCUGCGCGAAACUCGAAAAGCUGUUACCUCUAGACACUUUUUUAGGCAAUCACAACUGAGGAGAUUUCGGAACAAAAAAAUAUUUUGUUACUCGGUGAUUAGUAACUAUUGGCGUUUUCCUAGGGAAAGUAAUCAUGGCUGAGAUAAUUUUGGAGAAAAAUAUAAGUUUCACUCCGAAACUGGGGGGCACAUGUUGACACCAUUUUUUGACAUACAUCAAAGAUGGCGUCAAAAGGAGUAGAGAUGCCAACGCAUAGUGGAAGGACAAUGGCUAGUGGAAUCGACAUGUGAGGUUGCAGAAGGUUUAGCUGAUAGAGUAAGACAAAAGCCUAGGCGAUGGGAUCACAGGGGCGUACCCAAUGGAAGAUGAUGGAGGCGUAGCCGAUAGAGUUAGCCGAUGCGAGCAGGAGGGUUCUAGCCGAUUGGAAAUGUUGGAGGUUCGGCCGAUGAGGAGCUGGUUUUGGCCGGUAGAAGCCAAGUUCGUUUCCAACUCCUGCGCGAGUCAUUUUUAUUUACAAAGUUUGUUUCUUUAGAGAUAGGUCUUACGAUUUGUCGUAACCGACUAGGAUUAGAAAUCUUGAUGUAUAGGGUAUAAAUAGGGGCCUUGUAAGGUCUGGAAAAGACACACACAUCAUAAUCAAUACGAAUCUACUAUUUUCGCAAUCUACUUUCAAGUCGGUGACUUCUCCAUUGUUUUCUUUUCUUUACAAGUUCUUCCAAGCUGGUUGGGCUGCAUCGCUUCGAUCACUGGCUAGACUGUAAGUUCCGUGUUUACCGAAUACCUCCUAGGCUUUAACUUCGGGCGCAUCGCUGUCGUUUCGUCUAGAUUUAUUCACAAGUUAUCGAUAUUAACUACAUCUGCAAGUUUUAUUUGUGAAAUCUUAUUGUUUUAGUUCUUAUCAUGAUUAUCCUGCUUAGAACACGUUCCAAUUGGCUUUUGCUUUAUUUCACGUACUAAUCUACUGUCACAUAGUAGAUUAGAUCUAUUUUAAGUGUUGUUCAUGUAGUACUGUUUAGGUUGUAUUUUACGCUUCCUUUACAUCUACUACAUCCACAUCGGCUAAUCUAGCCGAUUGUCUUUUCUCGUGUUGGCAGCUUUGCUGAUACGUCCUGUGGAGUGAUUUGGAACGCCAACCGAUUUGCUCUUGUAUUUGACAUUUUACCUGUCCUUGUCAAUCAAUAGGUCAGAUUGAUUAGCACACCACGGAUCGAUAGGGCUACAACCUGAACAGGAGCGAAGCAGAUUCUCCCGGGUUUCAUGUGUUAGUGCGCGGGAGCCGUCUCUCAAUUUUUGUGUCAACACGUCGGUGAGUACUUCACUGACGAAGUAUACCGGUCGCUGGACCUUCAGUGCGUGUCCCAGCUCCUCUCUGUCGACUAGAAGGGCAGUGCUGACCACGUGGUCACUUGCCGCAAUGUAGAGGAGAAGGGGUUCUUCCCGCUUGGGAGCGACGAGGACUGGGGCCGAAGUCAGCAAUGCUUUGAGGCUGUCCAAAGCCUGUUGUGCCUCCUCCGUCUAGACGAAUGCAUCCGCCUUCUUGAGGAGUUUGUAGAGAGGCAUCCGCCGUUCGCCUAGUCGGGAGAUGAACUGGCUCAGGGCGGCCAAACAACUAGUGAGCCUCUGUAUGCCCUUGAUGUUGCGUAUAGGGCCCAUGUCGGUGAUGGCCGUGAUUUUUUCGGGGUUGGCUUCGAUGUCGCGCUCGGACACGAUGUACUCCAGCAGCUUCCCCUUUGGAACCCCAAAAACACAUUUCUCGGGAUUCAGUUUGGCGCUGAACCUUCAGAGGUUCGCUAAUGUCGCGGCUAAGUUUUUGAUCAUGUUGCUUGCUUGAGUCAUUUUCACCACUAUGUCAUCCACGUAGACAGUGAUAGUGGGUUUUGGCCGCUCAACUUGGUCGGGUUGGUCGGACGGGUCAAUCUGGUCGACGAAGCACCGCUACAUGCACUGUUGAUAGGUGGCACCCGCGUUCAUCAAACCGAAUGCCAUGGUCAGGUACAAGUACGAACCAUACGGGGUGAUGAAGGACGUCGCGACCUGGUCGGUUUCUUUCAUCGCGAUCUGGUGAUAGCCUGUGUAGGCAUGCAGAAAGGAGAGGAUUUUGCAAACUGAGGUGGAGUCGACUAUCUGAUCUAUGCGUGGUAGAGGAAAGUGAUCCUUGGGACACACCUUGCUAAUGUCAGAAUAGUCAAUACACAUUCUCCAUUUCCCAUUCUUCUUUGUUACCAGGAUUAGUGAGCCAGUCAAAGUGGUAUACCUCCUUGAUGAAGCCAGCCGCCAGGAAUUUGGUGAUCUCCUCACCUAUGGCCAUGUGCCUUUCGUCAUCAAAGCGGCACAGGCGUUGCUUGACGGGCUUUGAGCCCAGGGCGAUGCGUAGUGCGUGCUCGGUGACCUCCCUCGGUAUGCCCGACAGUUUAAGCCUGCUAGGAAUCUAGGAUAGGUGGGUUCGUCGCCCCCGACACGCUUGUGGAAGGUGUCGAGGACAUCCUCCAUGUCAUAGGAUGCCUCCCUGACCUGGUGUGCCCAGACCUUGACCUGCUCAUCGAGCUGGUCCCACGGCACUUCCGCCACCUUUGGGAGGAGGGCGUGCACGUGGAUGCUCUCCGGCUCCUGUGAGAGGAACUCCACUUUCUUCCUGACUCCCUUCUGCAGCUUGUAUUCAUCUUGGAGCAGCUUGGGGGCAAGGCAGCCCAUUGCCCCUAUCACCAGAUCCAUGGUCCCAAGCUCACUAUCAAGCUGAUGUGUGUUAUGUAGCUGAUGUGCACAUUCUAUUCUUUCUUGCAGCUUAGAUCUCAAGCAAGAUAUUAGCGAAGGAUGGUCGCGUGGAUGGAAGUGCCUGAAACUAAAAACAAAAACAUCAAUCCAGUCCAAUUCAACUCGUAAAUGAAAAAAAUAGCUAGCACCUAGGACCAACUAAUACAAACCGAAAUUCCAGUGACAUGUUUUUGUUUCAACUCAAAAAAAUUUGCAGUCAGCAAUUUCGAAAUCAAAAUGCUUCAACUUGACCAAUCUUAAUUACCCAAACUAAGACGGGUAAGGCUUGCCAAUCAGACGUUUCAUACUGGUUGUGGGCCACGUGAUAGUGCCUGAUGACUUUUAACUGUGUAUGGCUACGUGAUAGUGCUCACAUUGAAGCCUUUUAAUGUGAAUUUAUAAAAUUUUCAAUUCUAUUCCGAAAUUAACGUGGUGCUCACAUUGAAGCCUCCAAUUGGUGAAUUUAUAAAGUUGUCUCCCCUGCUGGUCUGUCAUAAAAAAUUGUGAAAGUUAUGCUCGACUAAUUCAUAAGGAAACAUAAACAUUUUCAAAACUAACAGAGAAACUAUUAAUUUAGUGACAUAAUGCUCGUCAUCUUAAUUAGAGCGUUGAGUAGCUACUUAAUGGGCUUCGGUUGAGCUUGUAGAUCGACUUGCAGUUGCAGUGAAUGAGCCGAGGACUGGCGGUACCAAUAACGGGAGGCCGCUGCUCUGCUUGCUACCGAGGCCUGUGACGCACGGACCGCAUUGAAAGAGUGCAUAAUUUCCAAGGACUUUAAUCCCAAGGGCUCCACACCACUGAUUGAUCAGCUGUCUGCUGGCUGGGCGCUGUAAGGAGGUAGUGCAUGUUUGACAUAAAGCAGCAGGUGGCCCAGGAUUCACGACAAAAAAGGCAUGCUGCAGGUGGCCCAUGUGGAGUUGUACCCCGGCCUAGAGCCCUAGAGCCAUGGCGUGCUGCUCCCCCCUGCUUACUGGCUACUGCUAGGUCCUCUCGUCCUUUCAUCAGCUAGCGUCCCGCUGCCAAGCUUCAUUUCUCUUCGUGUGUGUCUAUCUCUCUCUCUAUACGUGUGUGUUUUGGGUUUUUUGCUUGAUUAUUCUUACAAGUUUAGGGUAUUUAGUUCCACGGACUAAAGUUUAAUCCCUGUCACAUCGAAUAUUUAGAUACUUUAGUCAGUGGAACUCUCCAUCUCCAUCUGUGCAAUCAGUUCCUCCUAAUUAGUAUCUAAAUAUCGGAUAAUUUCAGCAGUCUUCAAAAGUUUCCUUUGUGUUAAUAUCUUUCUCUCAAGCUGAUACACUUUUCAUGUGAGAAACCUUAUCUCAAGUUUUCAGCAAUCUAUUAUUUUCCUCACUUUGUUUCCUUGAUCAAAGAGCUCCAGCUAUGUAUUACAACAUAUGUGUUUUUAUCAGAAGGACCUACAACCUUGCUAAUGCAAUCGCACCUGCAUGAAUUGUGGAUCUAAGAUAGAAUGAAGAAAGUAGAGUAACAUUGAGCUAUUUACACAGGCUACCAAGAACAUGUUGCUACCGGCUCGGAUUUCAAGCACCAUCGAGAACAAGCAAGAAAAAGAAAAAAUAAUAGGGUGAAAAUCUAGAUCGAGGAUAUUUCAUUCAAAAGAAAGAAAGAAAGCUAGAUGGAGAAAACAUUAAGCAGGUUGACAGAUAGAGUGUUAUGGCAAGUGGGCUGGCCGUACGUCUAGGCCCACGAGUACUGUAGCUCGUGAACAGUACCACGAGGGGAAUAAGAUUGGUUUGUUAGCAGGUCAUUAAGAUAAGGUUAUUAAAGAGAUAAGGUUAUUUAGAUUAGAUUGGGUUUGUUAGGUAUAGCUGGCUAUAUAAGCACAACCACACCAUCCGUUGUAAUCAAGCAAGAAGAACCCUAAAAAGUAGUCAGAGCCUUCUAGGGAAGACGACGAAUAGAUUCUUCGUGCUAUCCCCAAUUCUACCAUAUCAUACAGCCAGGGAGCCAAAGACAAUGUGCUUCAGAUCUAGGUAGAGAGAAUGAAGGAUGGAUGGGCUUUUGUUGAUCAGCUCUAGAUCAAGCGCAGCUAGUUGUGAAGGAGUAGUUGUGAAGGAGACCACUGCUUGGUGGGGGUAACAUCUGUUUGCUACCAAGGUCUGCGACGCCUGGACCCCCGGCGCAUUCUAAGGAUUUUAAUCUCAGGGGACUUAAUCGUAGUUAUAGCUAUAGUAUUCCAGCAUACAAAUUGUAGAAAUUUCACGUGAAUUGUACUCCCUCCCCUGACACUAUGAAAUAUUCUCCCUGAGAGUCCCCUAUUAUCCGGUAGUAAUUUUCAAUUGAGUUCAAAUCCUUCCUCUUCUUAAUUUUGUUCUCUUUGUUGGAUUGUAUGUUCACUCCUAUGCUGUCGUUUUUUUGUUGUUGUAGCCUGUAUGCUGUGUGGUCACGAGAACGUGUGCUCUAUCACUGCCAAUCAAUGACCAAUCUAGCAGGCUAGCAGUGUGUCUCUGUGCUUGCGUGGUCCGAUCCCUCUGUCUUCGGGGUCCCGCGUUCCUAGCUUCCCUGUGCAUAUCAUCUCCCUGUGCAUCACGUGGCACAUGGAGUGUCUUCCCUUGCCAUGUCCCUAGCUUCCCUGUGUAUCUCAUCUCCAUGGCACAGAGAGCGUUCAUCGCAUGGCACAUGGAGUGCCUGAUGACUUUGUGAGUCACCCUUGUACUCCCUCCGUCCCAAAAAAAUGCAACCAUCGCUUCCCGAGGAGUCAAUCAAUUUCAAGUUUGACUAAAUUUAUACAAAAUAGUAUUAACAUUUAUGAUACAAAAUAAAUAUCAAUAAAUUAAUCAUGUAAUAUAUUUUCAUACUAAAUUUAUUUGGAGAUGUGAAUGUUAGUAUAUUUUUAUAUAAAUUUGCUCAAAUUUGAAACUGUUUGACUCCUUCGAAAGUAGGAAUUGGAUUCUUUUUGGGACGGAGGGAGUACGGCCGAGGGGUAGUGUAGGUCAAGUCUUGACGAGGAGGCCCUGCCGUGGGCAUCAUCUGCCCACUGGCCUUCUCGCACUCCUCUGAGCUGAGCCCAGUCAUUUGACCACGCAUAUGAAUGGAAAAGGGAUACCAUGGGAAUGGGAUGGCACGUACUUCGAAAGCUAGGGCAUGUUUGUUUGAGCUGCAACUUUUGAUCUUUUCUGAAAAAAUUGCUGUUAGUUUUUUUUCUGAAAAGUCAACACUAGAUUUUGGAAGAUGUGUUUGGUUUUCUGAGCUCAGAAAGCUAAAAAAAUCACAAAAUUAAGAUUUUUAGCUUUCCAUAUAAACUUAAUAUUUAUGGGAGGCUUCUAGAUUUCUAGAAACUACACGAGAAAUUCACUAUUUGUUUGAGCUUCUAGCUUUUCAUGCACGAGAAGCUGCUUGGAAUCUCAAACAAAUACGCCCAAGCAAAGAAAGACAGUCAAAGCUAUAAAGUUCGUCGGAUGCGAGCAGUAUAUAUUAGCGGCCACAAAACAAACUUUCCGACUUUGUUAUAUCCAUCGGCCAUUGGCAACGGAACACGCCACUAUAGGUGGAUGAGAAAAAAAAAUUUGAGGGCCACUCCAAUUUUUCUAUACAGGAAAACUGAAGUCUUUAUCAAAAUACAUGAAUGAAGAGCCAAUAAUUUUAGUACGUGUUCCAUAUCUCAACUCUGAAUUCCAAUAUAAAAAAGUGAUUGAUGCCUGAUGCCUUAACUCCGCCUACAUAUGCAUUGAUGCGAACAACUGACCGGUGAUGAUCGAAGUGAGUGCUCAGUGAGACUAAGGUGUUUGGAUCCUUGAGCUAAAAUUUAGUUUGUGUCCUCUCAGCCCGCCAGCAAUGCUAGGCCAUGCCACAUGCUUAUCAUGAAAAACACUGCAAGAUUGGAGAUUAGGCUGAUGGAAGACUAGUGUAACAACUUGGUCUAGGAAAACGGCUAAGGCCCAAUCUACAUAUCGAAUGGACCACACCUACUAGUAAUUCGCUUACACUUUGGUCCUCGCUUCAUGAAAAAGGGUUAACCCGAGGUUACUAGUCUUCCUACUGGAUCCUAUUUAACCUAGUUCAGUUCCCUCUCAGUUUCCGGUUUUGACUGUCCUCGUGUCAGUACAGUGUCACUACAGGGUCGGGAGACGAUUCGGACUCUUCGGGGGACCACGACGACGGUGGCACCUCCGAAGGGCAUGGCGGCGAUCGCGCCCGCUUCGCCUCCCGAUCGUGGGCAACGUCCACGCCCGCAACACGCUUCCUCAACUCAGGGGCACCAAAAGGCACCCCCGUACGACGUGUGCCGCCAGAAGACGCGGCUACAGGCUCUCGGUACCCCAUCAAAGACACGGUGGCGCCCCCGUCCACCUCAUCCCCCGAAGAGUCCGAAUCAUCUCACUCAAGCUCCGCCUCUACGUCCGACCAGCUCUCGCCACCGUGGACCCGCCAGUUAAUCUCUCUCUGCUUCACCUACCUCCUCUGGAUCUCUGUGGUCCUCUUCUUCUUGCUCUCAUCUGCGGACAUCUUUAGGGCAGCUUGCCGAGCCAUGCCUUCUAGCCCUUUCAGGAGGUGCGGUCAGGAUCGGUAACGCUCGAGCCCCUAUGAUACGAACAAUUCAGAAUCGGUCAGGAGAUCUAGAUAAAGAAGAAAAAGGCCAUAGGAAGAAGUAUACCAGAUCGGACUGCCUCUGGGCAUGGAGAGGACCAGGCGUCCCACUAAUGGAUGGGUUCUACCCCAACUGCAGCACCUGGUCCAUGCGCGUCGUGACCUCGCUACCCGGCAAGUUCAUCGGCAACACGUGGUCAGGAUCCGACGGGCCAGAAUACUUCCACAUAGGCCGCGCUCUUUCCCCCAACGGGGCAAUCCAUCGGCGGAUAAAGGUGUCGAAGACCCAAAAUCCGUUGAGUCCCACUUGCAUGAGCCACCGCAGAGCUGGCUCGAUGAUCUCCAUAUGGUUCUUGUGGUAGGAAGCGGGGCCCAUGUCUAGCUAUCCUGCUUCGUUGGCCUCCCCUAGUGAACUUCGGGAAUGGCGCCUCCACAGGGUUUCGAAUGUAGAACCACUCGCAAUGCCACCCCCAAUUAGAAUCAUUGGGGUGUAUGGUGGGUAGGCAACCUUGGACUUCCUCUACAGCGCAAAUCCUCCAACCAGGGCUGGUCGGGCUGCCUUCCCAUUUUCCUCCGAUAGAGCUCGCCCGCUAAAGAUUCCCCGGAAGAGAUCUACGUGUGGCUCCUUCCCGAGGAACGCCUCGCAGACGGUAACGAAGCCGACGAUGUGCAGCACCCCAAGUGUGGAGGAGCCCGCGUAGGAACCAAUGCGCGGGGUAUCCGAGCCCGCGCUCGUGGAAGGAGAGGAAGGAGACAACCUCAUCGGGCUUGGGUCACUGUAUGACGAUCCCCAGCUCUGGAGCUCUCCAGCCCGCCACCGCCUUUGACUGAAGUAGCCCCUUCGUAGCAAAGUCCUCCAGUAGUUCCUCCCUCAUGGGGGAUUCCCUCCAACCAGACAUUGCGCGAUGAGAGCAACGGACGGAUCGGUAAGUCUUCUUUCCCUCUCUGUCUUCACCCUCCUCUCUUGCAUAGCUUGCCACAGCGCGCAAGGAAGCUUGGUGAAAAGGCGGAAGAGGAAGCGGCAACGAUCGAGGAAAGGUGAAAAGAUAGGCAAAAACCCUCCGCCUUCCCCCAUUUAAUGGGGAAGGUGGCGCAGAGUCUUAGAGGACGGGACGUAAUAGACAAGAUGUGGCCCGAGUGAAGGAACGUGGCCUAGGUAGGGCCCACCCACUACCGUAGCGAGGGUGCAAAAAAUAGGGCAUGACCGCACAACCCUCCGCCUUCCAAGGCAAGGUUUCGGGAAGGUCCCACCAUCAGAACCUCCACCGAGAAAAGACCAGCAAGCCACUCGGGUCAGUCGGACGACUCGGGCAUCCGAUGGGAGACAGGUAAGAAAUGAUGGAAUGCCACAUGCAGGCUAAGCCGACCCCAUCACAAGUGACGGAUCCGGAUUCCACUCCGGCAUACCCGCUUAGGGUCCCCCAAGCCUGUCGCUCGAACCAUCAAAGGUAAGCUACGUCAGCUUAACCCCUCCGGUUGUGGAAACUGCAAAUGGGGCGAUGCCUAGAAGUCCGACCGAUGUAAUUUUACCGACCCCCAUUUACUUUCUCAGCGUAUGAGCACUCAUUCAUUCAUCCAUCUCACGCAUGCAUACAUUCAUCCAUGCAUUCAUACAUUCAUCUCAUGCAUGCAAUCAUUGCAUUACAAUUGCUUUGCGUCACGUCACAAAGCAAUAGCGGUUCAUUCAAAAUGAACUGCGACUGACCGGGGUUCAAAGACCGGCCCGUGAAAGGCUCGAGGCCGCCUCGCGUCAAACAGAGCUAGGGGAGAAAAUGCGGAUGAGCCCCAGCAGCCCUCGCCCAACCUGCUCCAAAGCGGAUAGGGUCAUCUCGACCUUUUCAUUCAAUCCUAAGCUCGAGCCAUGCCCAUAGAAUCUCCAUCAAGGGGAGGCCAACGGACAACCUGAGUCGAUCUCCAAAAUGUCUUGGGCAUCUGUCGGGAGGCAGGUUAAGGAGCAGUGGAAUGACACAUGAGGGCUAUGCCAACCCCGCUACGAACGACGGACCCAGAUUCCACUCGGACAUGCCCCUGAAAAAAGGGGAUCUGGAAUCGAGGCGACAGUACCGCAACCGCUCGAUAAAGGCACCUGGGAUCAAGGUGACGGUACAUCUACCGUGCAAUGAAGGCACCUGGGAUCAAGGCGAAGGUACCAGGGCACGAGGCAAUGGUAUGGUGCCCGCAUGAACCUUAUCCUUAUCAUCCAGGAUACGGGGCCGGUCUCCACAAUGCAGCCCAUCCAUUUUGCAAACAAGACAAAGAAGAACAGCACCCUCGUGUGUUCCCCCUGAUGAGGCAACGACCUACCGACCAAAAAACAGCAACCACUUCACGGCUCCAACGGAGCCCUAAAGGGGCUUAGGGGCUCCUGACGGGUCCAUAGACCUGGGGUCCCCAAUGAGACUGCCUUCCCGCAGUGUUUGGCCCAACAAAAUGCCUAGCAACAACACGCACCUGGGCCGACCCAGCCGCACAACGCCAGGCCGAGACCGAGAUCUAGCCACCGACUGGCUCCUCCGAUCAAGAGGCCUGGUCAACACCCUGACCAAAGGGGUCCAAUCAGGGGUGGGACCAGAGUCCGACCCUGACCGAAUCCUCCCAACUGAGGAUGCCCCGAACCACAUCGUUCCCCCUGACCAGCACAGUCGGGGGCAACUAGGACAACUGACUGGGGACACCCGCUCGGUGUGGACCUAGGAGUAGGUGGGACGGAUAACGAGGAAGCAUCCAGGUCAACUACCGUACGAGGAACCAUAUCGCGACACGCGCUGCGCACGUCCGCAUUGUGCCACCGCAACCCACCCACUCCAACGGAGUGUUCUGACGAGAUGAACAGGGACCGAGGACGGUAGCCAUACCUUACCUGAUGACGUGGAGCACGACAAGACUAGGCGAUGCCCGCACUCUCCCUCUCCCUCUCUCUCUCUCUGACUUGUAAGGCCGUCCCCUUGUGCUAUAAAAGGGGACGGGCCCUACCCAUCUGAACACACCACCAGUCAACCAGUGCCGGCCUUGCAAGGGUGCAGGAGGUGCGAUGGCCUAGGGCCCAUGGGAGGGAGGGGCCCAACCUAGGACCCGUGUUUAUAGGCAUACAGCAGGUCAAUAGCGCGUCCGCAUACGGCGUACAGAAAGACCCCCGGCCGGCCCUUUAGACGUGUGACAGAGUCACAGAGAACAUAGAGUCAGUCCCCCGGCCAGUCCUUUAGGCCUUUACUUUAGGCCCUUCACACCGUGUGACAGAGAGUUAGAGACCCAGGUAAUAGACUAACAGAGGGUCAGAGGCCCAUUAGGCUUUAGACCUACAGGACAUCAGGACUUUGAUGCGUGCGCUGCCGGCCGAAUACGAAUUGCCGCCGUGCGACUGGAGUCUGGAUAGUUUGGUCCUGUGUCGGCACCUCGGCAAUUCGGCACAUCCACUUUCGAGUUCCGCUUCGUCGAAUCAUCAUCUCGUCUUGUCUCGUCGACUCGACUCGUCGUCUUGGACUCAUGGCACCACGCAUAGCAAGGCAAUGAUCAGGCCCUAGGUAUUUUUUUCCUUGAUCAUUUUUUAAUCUAAAUUAAUUACUUCGGACUUGUAGUACUUGGUACUCAUAUAAUAUAGUUGUGUUUUUCUUCUAAUUUAGGUGUUAGAAUCUUAGAAUGUUACCUAAGAAACAUUUGUCGGGGGCUCAGAAAAGAAAACGGAAAAGAGUAGAAGAUCAAUUUAUUGAAUCUCAAAAAGGUGCUAUACAUAAGUUUUUUUUUUCAGCUACAAGCAGUGUUAUGCCUGAUGAUAAUCUUGUAGAUGCACUUGAUAUUGAAGAACAAGGGCAGCAGCAAGUUAAUGAUAAUUUAAGGGAACAAGUUGAUUACAUUGAUGAUGCUACGGAGAAUAAAAAUUUACAGCCUUCCUUUCAACCUAAAAAUUCAAUUGAUGAUGUGCAAGAAACUUCUAUUCAUGAUGUCUUUGAUCCUAGAACUUGGGGAAAUCUUGAUAAUAAGGGUAGAGAUAUAUUGAUUGAAAAGGGGCCGAUGAGAGAAUUGAAUCUUGAGUUCCCUACAAAUGCUCUUAAUAGACGUUUUUCAUAUGCUUACUACUCCAGAAAGUUAAGCAAUGGUGAGGUGGUUGAUACAAAAUGGUUGGUUUACUCUAAACAUGUGGAUAAAGUAUUUUGUUUUUGCUGCAAAUUGUUCAAAUCAAGUCAGAGCAAAAGUUUGCUAGCACAUGAUGGAUUAAGGGACUGGAAACAUCUUAGUCUUAGACUCAAGCAACGUGAGAAUUGUGUUGAGCAUGUAACAAAUAUGAAUACUUGGAAUAAACUUAGGCUAAGGUUGAGCAAAAAUAAAAUAAUUGAUGAUGAUUUCCAACGGGAAAUUGCAAAGGAGAUAGAGCGUUGCAGACAAGUUUUAGUAAGAAUUGUUUCUGCUGUCAAGUUUCUUGCUAAACAUAAUUUGGCUUUUCGAGGGAAAAAUGAGACACUAUAUCAAGAUAGCAAUGGUAACUUUCUGGGCACAGUUGAAAUGAUGGGUGAAUUUGAUCCCGUGAUGCAAGACCAUAUUAGGCGGAUUCAAAAUAGUGAGAUUCAUCAUCAUUAUCUUGGGCAUAAAAUUCAGAAUGAGAUGAUUUCUCUUCUUGCAAAUUGUGUGAAGCAAACUAUACUAAAGAUCAUCAAGGAUGCCAAGUAUUUUUCUAUGAUUUUAGAUUGUACUCGAGAUGUGAUCCAUGAAGAACAAAUGACUCUAAUUAUUCGAUGUGUUAAUGUGUCGAGGAAUGUUCCAAGGGUAGAGGAGUUCUUCCUAGAGUUCUUGAAGGUAGAUGACACAUCAGGAUUGGGUCUUUUUAAUGAAUUAAAGAAUAUAUUGGCCUCUCUUGAUUUGAAUAUUGAUAAUGUGAGAGGACAAGGCUAUGAUAAUGGUUCAAAUAUGAAGGGUACUCACCAAGGUGUUCAGAAGCGCUUGCUUGAAAUUAAUUAAAGAGCACUAUACAUGCUGUGUGCAUGUAAUAGUCUGAAUCUUACUCUUUGUUAUAUGGGAAAAUCUUGCAGGUAAACUAUUAUUUCUAUUAUACAUUGUUUUCAUAUAAUAUGCCAUGAUUUGGGAAAAGUUGAAACUUACUAUUUGUUAAAUCUUGCAUUCAUAUAAUAUGCCAUGAUUUGGGAAAAGUUGAAACUUACUAUUUGUUAAAUCUUGCAGGCAAGCUAUUUUUUUUGUCUCAUCCAACGUAUAUACACAUUGUUUGCAAAAUCUACCAAAAGGUGGAACAUUUUGGUGGACAAUGUCCCAGGAUUGACAGUUAAGUCAUCGUCUAAUACAUGCUGGGAAAGCCGAAUAAAAAGUGUUCAAGCUAUCAGAUUCCAAACUCCUCAAAUAAGAUCAGCUUUAAUAGCGCUAGAGAAGGCUUCAACUGAUGACCUAAUGGCAGUUAGUGAAUGUCAAUCUUUGGUGAGUGCACUAGAGAAUUUUAAAUUUUUAGUUGGUUUGGUUAUUUGGCACGAUAUUUUAUUCUCUAUAAAUAAGGUGAGCAAAAAGUUGCAAUCUAAAAUUGUGAGUAUAGAUGAUACUCUCAAACAUAUUGAAGGUGUCAUAUCAUAUUUUAAGAAGUAUAGAGAUGAAGGUUUCACUUCUAGUAUGAAUACAACAAAAAAAUAUUGCAUCUGAAAUGGAUAUAGAGCUAAAAUUUCGUACAAAACGUCAAGGAAAGAGAAAGAAACAUUUUGAUGAACAAGAUGAUCAAGAUGAGGAAAUACAACGGUCUGUUGUGGACUCAUUUAAAGUAGAGUACUUCAAUGUUACGAUCGAUGCUGCAAUUACUUCACUGACUAGUAGAUUUGAACAGAUGAAAAAAUUUGAUAACGUUUUUGGGUUCUUGUUCAACUCAAAAAAUUUGAAAUCUUUGGAUGAAGCUGAUCUUUGGCUGCACUGCAAGAAUUUUGUGGAAAUAUUUUCUCAGGAUAACUCAUCCGAUGUUGAGAUCAAUGAUUUUUUUCAGAAUUAAAGGUGCUACAAGUGACUUUGCCAGAUUCUUUGAUGUCGGCGCUUGAGAUUUUGGAGUUUGCUAUAGCUGCAGAUUGCUAUCCAAAUAUUUAAGUUGCCUAUCGAAUCCUCUUAACUGUACCUGUGACUGUAGCUUCGGCUGAAAGAAGUUUCUCAAAAUUGAAGUUGUUGAACAACUAUUUGAGAUCAACUAUGUCACAAGAAAGGUUAAAUGGAUUGGCUAUGUGCACCAUCGAGAGGGAUAUCUUGGACACUAUUGAUCUCAAUACCGUCCUAGAUGAUUUUGCAUCAAGAAACGCCCGAAGAACUAUCUUUUUAUGAGAAGCAAUGGAUUUUAUGGAGUUAUAUUUUUCCUUAAGGUAAUCAUAUUAGUUUUAGUCUACAUUGUUUCUCGAUAAUUAUCAAACAUGUUAAAUUAAAAAUAUAUCACUGGAUUUGUUUUCGUAUUGGAAAAAAAUUAGUGCUUAUAUAUAUUAUAAGAUUUAUAUAUAGUCUAGAGGGUCCGUCGCGACAAGUUCACCAGAGGGCCCUCAAAAUCUUAGGACCGGCACUGCAGUCAACACGCAUUACACUCCAUAGACGUAUACGCUCUCGAACACUUAGCGCACGUCUAAGCCUCGAUUACUCUCUUCCACUCGGACCAGAGCACGACCAGGUCUUGGACACCCCCUCUCAUCCCUCAUUUGGACCCCCACUGCAAACUUUUUGCACCGGGGCUCAGGAAUAUAGUCGACCGACCGACCCCGACUAGAUGUAGGGCUCGCUGCCCGAACCAGUAUAUAUCCUUUGUUAUUGUGUGCUAGGUCAUGGAAAAACUACAAUAUUUACUUGUCGGUCAGAUUUUGCACCGACACUAUUUGACAGAAAACAUAGGCCAAAACCUAUAGUGUUGUUUUUCUAAUUGAUACGUCAGUUUUUUUUAAUGAAUGUAUCGUGGUUAAUGGCCAUUUAAUGAAAUUAUAAAGGAUAAUAACGAUCGUGCUUUCUGCGUUCCAAAAAGCAAUCAAGAAUUCAUGAAGGUUGUGCAGUGUAUGGAAACCUUAUGUUAAUAGUUAGAUGGGAAAUGUCUGAGUGACCCACCUCACCUUGCCAGGACACUGGUACUGCCCUCGUGGUUCACGCACAUCAGGCCAGCAGACAAGCUAUGAUGUUGCCAGCAGUGGUCAGUACACAAAUCUCGCUAUCAGUCGGAUCCAAGGGCAGGCAUUUGCAUUGUGGUUGUGUUUGAACAUGGAGAUGUCGUUGUGAUUGUGAGGCACCAUAGAUCCUCUCUCAGUUUCACUCCGCCUCACACACGGAUAGCACACCAGGGACCCGACACCAUGCAUGCCGAUUUCAUAUUAUUAAUAAUUAUUUUUGGAAUGGUUGUUGAAACUAUAUAGUUAGUCCAAUCUGACGUUUCCGAUUAUAAAAAUUAACAUAAAGAGAUAGUAUAAUAAGCACGCAUAAUGAAGCCGACGCGUACAGUAAGUACUAGAGCCAGCAUUUAUACAAACUGAUACGGAUAGUAAAAACUAGAAUUUAUAAAUAAAAAAAUAAUUUGCACAUCUAUGCAAUAAUUAGUGGUUAGUGGCAGUUCUAGAGAGAUAUCUCAUCAAAUUGGUGAGUUAUAUCCGGUUUAAACGAGGAUAAAAAUGAGUGUAUUUUCCACUCAUGUUGUCUUUUCGCUGCUGUACUGCCUUGAGUGUGUUGUAUUGUUCCUCUAACACCAAAAAGUCUUCAAGGCUCGAAAAAAUAACAAAGUGAUAGCAGCCCAGAAAUCGACAAGUUUCUUUCCCCCUUUGGCUUUCCUACUAGGAUUCGGAAUCCUCUUUAGCACGACAAUCUUAAUUAUCUCCCAUAGUCCAAAACUCACAAAAACAUCAAAAAUCUGCUGAGAAUAAAUUAAGUAAAAAACAUGCACACACAGAUAAUAAUAAUAAUAAUCAUGUUUCAAUAAAAUUGCUAAGGUCAGAGACCAUACAUAAACAUAUUAGACUAUUCAUGACACAUAUCACGGUGGAUAGAGUCUGUGUCCUUAUUACAAGCAGCGAGAGGAAUUAAAUAUGCAUGUCACCACACACAUGCACGCACAGAUGCAUGACAUACCAAUACUAGAGAACUCGGUAUAGUACCAUUUCAUAGGGUGCAUAUCUCUCGAAAAUGCAUCCAGGAUUAAUCCGUCGAGAUAAAAGGGGACGAUCUUUUAUCAUGGGUCCCUAAAUUGGGGUCCCUCUUUUAGUCCCGGUUUGUAAAGCCAACCAAGACUAACGGAGCUGCCACACUAGGCGAUGGACAGACCCCUUUAGUCUCGGUUGGUGUUACAAACUAAGACUAAAGUGCAUGUAUACAGUGCCAUGCAGGCGCCUAUAAUUUUGUGCAUCACAUAACCCUUUAGUUAGUUGAGAGUUUUUUUAAAAAUUAAUAAAAUCAAUCAAACUAUAUAUAGUAUUUAAACGAAUCAAUUUAACUAUUACAUACUUAUAUAUACAAGUCUUAUACAAUUAGCAAGUAUAUGUACAAUUCUUAAUUAGUAUAUAUAUAGUACAAUUAAUUCCUAGCUAGCUAGCUAUAUAGCUCUAGGAUCUUUGUCGAGGUCUUCCCGUCGAGGUGUUGCUCGGUGCUUCUUAAUUUCAUCCACCGUAAUGAUAUUUUCCUUAUGGAUUUAUCACCUUCUCCACCAGGAAUCCUACGAGACUUUCGCAUAUUGUGACUAUUCUUUUCUUCUCCAAGAUCUUGUCUCUAAUAUUAUGCAUCUAUAAUUUGGAAGUGAAUAAUGUUACACGAACAAUUAAAUAUAAGGAGCUAGAAAAUAAUUAACUAUUAAUAGUUUUAUUUUAUAUUACAUACUUUUUAUUUUUCCUGCAGCGUCAACCUGGCCUUGUGUGAUAGAAAAUUGUGCAUGUUCUCACAAAUAUAGUACCCACAUAGAUUAUUCCCUUGUUCCUAUCUUAAGCACUUCAGUGGGAACAAAACAAGUUAUAAAAUAUUCAUCAUAUAGAAUGUACAAAAUAUGCAAACUUCAUACGUACUAGGAAGUCUGUGUAGUGUUAGGCGAAAAUUUAGGAAACACACUUUUGUAUUGAGAUAAAGGUCCAGAAUUAUUAAUUACAAGUAUAGAAUGUCUUGAAUCUCUUGGUACUCCGCUAGUGGUUUCCUCAAGGAAUCGAGGACGGUAACUCGGCUUCUACCAGACUCAAUUACUAUUAGGAUCCAAUGGUAACUAUGUACGUAAAUAUUCAUUAAUCAGAUAAGGAAAAGGAAACUACGAUAGACGGUAUACGUACAUACAAACACUUACUUGAAGUUGUAUGGAAGUAAUAUGUAGCCCUUGCCACCUUGAAGGUCCAGCAUAUUGAAACAGUCCACCAACAUUUUAUCUGUAAAAUCUCGUAGUUGGGUUUGGUUAACUACGGAUGGAUCCGUGAAGCCAACAUGCAAGUAUCCUUCUUGUCGGCACUUCUAAAUUAGCAGCCUACAUGAAAAGGAAGACAAAGUUAGUAGGGUGACGCAUGCAUAAAAAAUAAUGAUAUGGUCCAAAAUUUACAUAUAGAUAAAUGGAUACUUACAGAGCCCAGGCGCUGAUGAGAGAGACGUCUAGGGCAUCUUGAUGGUACACUUCGUAUAUAUCUUUGAAUUCCAGCCAAAGAGAUUUCUCGCCUUCGCCGUAAAAAUCUAUCGGUUUUACCUUAAGGGUGAACAUGGAAGUCUGGUCGGCGGACGUAUUCAUGAACCAUUCAUGGAAUUCGUACAUCUUUGGUGAUAGGCUCCCUACCAACUCAGGCCUUCCCAGAGACUUUCCUAGCUCAAACGUCCAUCUUGGUUGAAAUGGUUGUGAAGCUGCUAGCUCUUGACCACCUAGCUCUAUACAUUGAUCAAGUCCCACUCCAAAUUCUUUCAUGAAUUACAAUACUUGAUCUUGUUGAGACUUGGGCAUUGCUGCUAUCCUGGUAGCAUCUCCUUCUGGUAGAUGAUGAAGGCGACGAUCAACAACACUUGAAAAUGACUUUCCGUUUCUUUUUUUUCCCUAUAUUCAUCGCCUCCUUGGUUGAAUCUGACAUCUUCUGAAAAAAUUGUAAUUUAGUUGGAUCAAUUGUUGGUUGUGGCUCCAUCUCCCUUGCUUUUUUUUUGUUCAGCCCUUUUCCUGAACAACUCCUUGCAUUCUUCUUGGAUUUCGGACCAACAUUCCUCUUGAGUCAUUGCAUCCCAGCGUUCCUCAAGAGUCAUUCAGGCUCCUUAUUUGUUUUCCUCUUUUUUAUGUGCUGGCUUGGGAGCCGUUGGUCGUGACUUCUUAAUUGGGUCUCCAGCAGGUUCCUUUCUCAGGGCUGCAGGUACCUUGCUCGGGACUGCUCUUAGUCCCGAUGUUGUCGGUGAUCGGGGAGGAGUGUUGUUGUCAUCAUUGUUGCCAGCUGGAUGUGGAGAUGGAGACUUUGAUUGAGCAUGCAUCUACAACGGUCCUGGUGCUGAAGGUCCUGGUGGUGAUGGUUCUAGUGGUGAUAGUCAUGGAACUGACCGUGGUGGAGAAGUCGGUCUUGCCAUUUGAGGAGAUAGUUGCGGCUCGGGUUCUUCCGGGAGGGGUGCUGCCUCCAUGCCUGGGAUGAUGAUGUAGCGUUUGUGCCAUAGAAUGAUGCCUCCUUGAACCGUAUCUCCUAGUGUCCUUUCCCCAAUGCCUCCCAGGAGCUGGAGCUCAUAGCCUUCAUAUUGGCUAUCAACAAGCUGCUCUACCGAGACAUUAGCAUAGUCAGGUGGAAUCUCCAUGCCAUGGCUCACCUGCGUUGCCUAGCUUGGUAAGGCACUCGCGUAUGCUACCUGUCCAUAUAACAGAAAUCAAGAUGUUAUUAAACUCCAAUCCUGAGGCAUUGGAUCGAUGGAUUGAGAAGAUUAUGGCAUAAAUAUUAAUUAUGUAUAAGAGUAUACCUUAAUAGUCAUUUUACCGACCGGUACAUGCAGCUCACAUGAGGUGCAUUGCCUGAUGAAAUCAACAGUGAACUAUUGCUGGUCAUGUGGAUCGGGUUGUGCUCCUAAUUGGGAAAGGGCCACUCGACGAUUGACUUCAUCAUGCAUUCUUUGUUCUACAGAUUGCACUUGAGAUUCUAGGUUGCGCCGCCAGCUCUGCUCAGCCAAAUCCUUUCUUCGCUUGCGGCUUCUGUACGAAUCUCUGUCUUCUUUGAAACCGUACUUCCACGGAAUGAUCCCGAACCCGCGGACACGUCCUGGGUGCUUAGGAUUCCCAAGGGCCAAUGUGAGCUCAUCCAUUUCUCGAUCCACCACCAAUCUCCCAGCCUUAACAUCUUCAAUGUUCUUGGCGAGUUGUUCGCCCUUGAGACAUAUUUCCUCAGUUAAGAUCAACGUCCCAUCCUCUUGGCUCAGUUUGCCUCCAUGAGUGAAAAACCAAUUUUUAGCUCGUUGGUUCCAUUCAUGAGUAGCUGGUACGAUACGCCGUUCGAGCAGGUCUUGUUCCAUCUUGCGAAAUUUGGGCACUACUGUGUUUGGCCAUUUAAUCAUGUGACAUGACUCACGGAACGUCGGAAACGGAUUGAAGGGUCACUAGGGACGCAAACGUGAGGGAUGGUCAACGAACACGUAAAAAUAACCAUCGGACACAUGUUCGGCCAAGUAAUAGUGUGCUAUAGCUCACGGGGAGCCAGAAACAGCCUCAAAGUGGACCAAGGGUGGAAACAUGUGGGAUAGCCAGAACACGCAAAAAUGGCCACCGGACAUGUGUUCGACCAUGUAAUGAUGACCUAUAGACCACAGGAGGGAGGAAAUGGACUGGUGGGGCUCCCGAGAUAGAAACGUGGAGGAUGGAAUAACAGUGAAAAUGGCCUUCAGAAACGUGUUCACUAUGUAACCAUGUGCUAUAGCCCUAGGGAGGCCAAAAACAGCCUGGAACAGGUCCGGGGAUAGAAACCAAGGGAAGGAGGAACACAUGAAAAUGGACACCGAACAUGAGUUCGGCCAUGUAAUUGUGUGCUAUAGCUACGGCGACACUAAAAAAGGCUCGAAGGCCACCAGGGACGAAAACAUGACGGACGACCAAAACACGUUAUAAUGACCAUAGAUACGUGUUCGGCCAUGUAACCAGAUGCUAGCCCAAGGAAAGCUGCAAUGGGCUCGAAAGGGCUCUAGGGAUGGAAACUAGGGGGUACAUGUUUGGCCAUAAAACCAUGUGCUAUAGCUCACAGUAGGCUGUUGGAAACUAGGGGGAUGACAGGAACACAUAAAAAUGGGCACCGGAUACAUGUUUGGCCAUGUAACCGUGUGUUAUAGCUCACGGGAGGCCGGAAAUGGCCCAAAAGAACAUGGGGACGGAAACGUGUGGAAUGGUCAUAACACAUGAAAAUGGCCACAAGACACGUGUCCGAUCAUGUAACCAUGUGCUAUAGCCAAUGGGAGGCCUAAAAUGACAUGGAAGGGCUCUAUGGGUAGAAUCCAAGGAGACAGUCGGAACACUGAAAAUAGGCACCUUAGACGUAGACGUAUUCAGCCACGUAAGCGUGUGCUAUAACUUCCGGAACGACGGAAAAAGCUCGAAGAGCCACCGGAACGGAAACGUGGGGACAGACGGAAAAAGUUCGAAGGGCCACCGGUACGGAAACGUAGGGAUAACCGGAACACUUGAAAAUGGGCAUCGAGCACUAGUUCGACCAUGUAAUAGUAUGCUAUAGCCCACGGGAGGUCCAAAAAGGCCCAGCGGGGCUCCAAGGAUGAAAACAUGGGGGAUGGCUGGAACAAAGAAAAUAGCCACCAUUGGCUAGAGCUACCUGGCCCGAAGGUGUGCGUUUGUCCAACUAUAGCACAUUCUAGUUAACCCUUUACAACACAAGGAUGAAAGUUAAGGAUGAAAGUGUAAGUAAAUGCUUGCCCCUCGAAAGGGUAGGGCAGUGUGGCUCGGAGCACGGGAUGUUACAAUCAUACACAAGUCCAAUCAGGAAACAUGUACUAUAGCUCACGUGAGGCAAAAAUUGGUCAGAUUGGAUACUCAGGAGCAACACACGUAGGAACGACCCGAAGGAGUGGAAAAAGACGCCGAAUACAUGAACUAGUAUGCUACAGCUCAUGAGAGGACAAUUUAUCAAAAUUGGCACUGGAGAGACACGUGCAGGAACGACUCGAGCUAAGUGGAAAAGGAUGUCGAAUACGUGGACCGCCAAGAACCAUGUGCUAUAGAAAACAUGUGGUUGCGUCCAUAACACAUGGAAGGGGCCCGCGUCCGAUCGGACGCCCUACGAGAAGCAUUUCCGAUAGUUCAAUUACUGUUUACUUUUUUAUAGUCCAAUUAUUACAGUCCCCCUCCCAAUUAGUCCCUUAUCUACAGUCCACUAUUUACAUCACGAAUUAGUACAAUCAAUGCAACUGAAGCAGGUAGUCUAGCGGGAUCCUUACUAAUCGGGAGCAGAUAGCUGUUCUUGUUCAAUCAACCUGAGGUCCCAUCCUCGAAAGCAUCAUGGAAAAAGAAAAUAAUCAGAUCAGCAUACAAAUGGCAGCAAUUAAGCUGAUCAUAUCAAAUAGUUAUGGAAUAUAUCAAAAAAAAUUGCAAAUGCAGCAAUUAUUAAGAGGUCAAUGUGGCAGUAUCAAGUCACUGACGAAUUCAGGCCAAACAAACAUACGAGAAAUACUAGCUACUAAGCUACCUCAAAUUUCAGUAAACAAAUAUCAUGUUAAGAAAGCGCCAUUUUCAUUUAGUUGCAAGUGAACAUUCAGUUUCAAGAGUAAUGUCCAUUGAAAUAAGAGUAACAAGUGUUAUUUCAUAUUCUGCAUAUGCAAAAUCUGUCGUGUUACUGUAUAAUGUCCUUAUGUCAAGGUCAAAUGAUGGGUUUGGUGACCAAGCACUGCAAAAGGAGAAAUGGACGCACGAAGGAAGAGCAUAUGACCGCUGCCUCUGCACAUCCACCAACCAAUUCCUACCCAAGUAAACCCUUCUCUAUAAUGGGAAACUAUCAGUGCAGUGGACAGAUGGCAGAACUAGAGUGGACAUAUCGCCACCCCAAGUUUAGAAAUACUGCAUACACUUGCACAUUUACUAGUGCAAGCCCAGUCCUUCCUGUCGCUACCCCAUUCAGUCAUGGUUAACAGCUAAAAUCACCUAUGAUGUCAAAGACUAGCUUAAAAUGCAGAAGUAAAAGAAGCCAUGAUGCCUAUUGCUAGUUCAACAGCUAGUGUUUCAAAGGUGACAAGGCGACCUAACCUAAGGCGAGCUGGGUAUGCCUUAUCGCCUAGGCGCCGCCGCCUUUGAAACAGUCAACAGCUUUUUUUUUGCUCAUGGUUGAUUUAAAAUGGACGUAGAGUCAAAAUCAUCACACUGAAUUGCUCCUGCAGCACAAGGUUGAAUGGAUUUAAUGUAAGUUAACACAAAAGGAGCGAACAACUCACGGCAAGAAAUAAUGAUCCGUUCCAGUGUUCCAACAAAGUAAUCAUGAAUAUUCCCUAUGAAAAGCACACAUCCAUCUUAGCUUCAAAUUAAGGAAAUGAACAGCAACAGAGGCCCCACUGUAUAUCCCAACAAUUAUUAUCUGUACAAGAUAGAAUAUAAAAAUAAAUCAUCAUGGGUUAAGCACAAAUGAUGAACCAUCACCAUUAAUUAACAUCAAAUCUAAAGACUUCUCCAGCUCAAAGUAGAAUGCAUGAACUGAAAGCUAAAAUCAUAAUUUGUGUCAUGCAACACUAUCAGUAUACGUAAACAUGCUGUACCAUGUCUCCUUUGCAGAUUACGCAUUCAGAUAAACAAGUUAAUACCAAUCACGCCUGCCUCCUGCUUUUCAUAGAUACAGCUGUUUCUAGACUAGUGUUUCGCAAGGACAGCUGUUCCACAUUUAAUGUAGCCUGAUUAGUUGAUAAACCGACAUUCCCGACAAUAGUCAAAAUAUGGAGCUAAAAAUUAGAAGCACACAACAUCAAUUUAUCAAAUUGUACUAAAAUUUUACUGAGGAAGAUUUUAGCAGAAACUAGAUAUAGCUAUCAUAGUCGGAGUUUCACAUUUUCACUCAAGAAGACUAUUAUCCUUUCGCAUAAAUAAGUAUAAAACUAUGAGCUAUUAUUAGCAUGUAGCAAGCUCAAAUCAAGUGCUAGUAUACACAUUUGCUCGAAUGCAAUAUACAAGGUCACUGAUUAGCAAUUGAAAAUCGGAAUCUUACGCAAUCUAUCCAUCUAUACAAUAUGCAUGCACAGCAGCUCCAAAUCAAACUGUACCUCCAUUGAAAGAAGCAUUACACUUUGCAACAUUAGAGAGGGCAAUAUAUAUCCCAACCUGGAUUUUUUGUCCGAAGGUACUAAUGCUAGGAUGGAAGGCCACUCAAGAGAUGGUAAGCCCAAUGAGUCCUUCAAUGCCAUAAAUACAGAUCACAGACACAUGUCACCAGUGCACAAGGAAUAAAAUUGAGAUUGGACAAGUCAAUCACCCAGAAUUUUUAAGAAAUAAGAAAAGAGAAAAGACCAAUGAAUAUCAUUAGUUGGAAUUGAUUUUUCCACAGAACUUUGCCACCAGCGAACUUCAUGCGUCCCCAAGAAGAAAUUAGGAUAGAACUUUUUUCUACGGAGCAUGGUGCACUAGGGAGGAGCAAGGACAUCUUAUAUGAACCUCAUCAUUCAGUGCGUCUGUCCUAACAGUUUAUAUGGUCAAUCAACACAUGAAGAUUCUCCCACCCUCCUCUGCUCCUAAAUUUUGAAGAAUAUGUUUGUGAACCCAUGAUAUAUUAUCAUGAGCUACAAAAUUUAAAUUGGCAAACUUAUAAAGUUCACAACUUUAUAAUUUUCGAUAUGUAUAUAGCUGCAUAAUUAGGAAUUCCAGUAUCAAGUCCAUCAUCCCCCGCCCGCCCUUAAGGAAGUCCAUCAUGUUGCCCAAGCAUAACUUCCUGUUCUGGUGUAUCAGUUUCAGCCUUUGGGGCUUUCAUCCCUUUUCAGCUUAUUGCCAACAGUACUAACAAUUAGCUAUCAUACUUUGUUCAAAUAGAUCUAAGAGACUAAGACAUCAAGGUAAUGUACAAGUCAGCAGAAGACCUUACUUGCCACAGGCCAAGAUACCAGCACAAGUUAUAUAUAUGAAAAGAAUGUUGGCAUUUUGAAACUUCACUUUGGCAAAAGUUCAUGUCACUUCUGCAAAUUAAAACUAUAUAUUCUUUACUACAUCUUUGGUCAAGAUUAGAUGAUUUGCCUGAACACAUUCUAAGACAUCAAUUUCCUUACUGGGGUACAUUGAGUCAUCGAUAAGUAAGGGAAGCUGGUAAGGACCCUGAAGUUAUGGAACAAAGAACAGAGAGGAAGGCUUCGACUUCAUAAGACAAGUGAAAAUGCUGGAUGGAAACAACAUAUCAACACACAUAAAGCAAGAUAGCUUAUGCAUAAUGGAAUAACCUUUCACCUUUCAAUUUAAUGGGGAGGUUGCCAUUGAUAAGUUGGGAAUCAAGCUUGAAAAGCAUUUAGACAGUCCUGAGAAAAAUAAAUGAUGUGGAUCUGAUCACCUGAACGAGGGCGUACCCAGUGCGAAAGCUCCCACACAAGGUGGGGUCUGGGGAAGGGAAUUUCUAGACAGCCUUACCCUUGCAAAAUUCUUUUAAAAUUCUGCAAAGAUGCUGGAUAUAUUAUCACACCUGAACAAGGAACAAAAAAAAAGACUUCUACAUCAAAUGACCAGCAGGAAAUGCUGGAUAAAAACAAUGUACCAAAAUUAUAAUUUUACAUGAUUCCAAUACUUAAUUGGUGAUAACUAUGUACAAUGGAACGAUCAUGAUAUUUUAAAAGACAUGUUAUCCUCCUUAUCAAAAUAUUUGUCGCUGUUAACUUUUCCUCGUGAAACUUGACCAUUCGUCUUAUUCAAAAAAUUAUUGAAGUAUCAUUCGUUUUGUUUGUGACUUCUUUUAGUAUCAAAUGUAUUAUAAGUUUAUUUAUCUUUUUGUAUAUUUGCAAUAAAUUUUUGAAUAAGCCGAAUGGUCAAACGUCGUGAGGAAACAUCAACAACAACAAAUAUUUUGAUACGAAGGGAGUACUUUUAAAAACAUGCUCUUGAAAAGAAAGAACGAAACAUUAAAUAUGCUCAUGCACCCUGGUCUGGCGUCCUAUGGUAGAAAAUGAAAUUGACAACAUAUGUGUAACCUCAUUAGGUAAAUGGUGCCUUUUUCAAAUUGAGUAUGAACAAACCUGAAUUUUCAAUGUGUUGUCCUCCUUGAUGGAUUUUCCAGCUUUAGGUGACACUAUACUUUGAACAUCAUUGCAAGUCCAAAUAAAUGCUAUCCUUUGCUUUGGGUUUUAUAUCUUGUGGGUGGUUGCAUUUCACAGGCUCAAGAUAGACAGAAUAUAACCUGAGUGGCAAGCGAAAGCUCUGCUGCAUAUAUGUUAAUGGGCAUGAUAUAAGCGUUACGGGUGCAAGAAUGAAAGUAUUGGAAUUUUGUCAAGAGAUAACAUCAAAGAAAGGUGGAAAAAAGAUACAAGCAGUAGACAAAUAUACUAAUUCCACAAAGUGUAAAAGGCACAAAUUGCAGACAGCACAUGCCAGAAGAAAGGAAAGAACUAGGCAUUAAUAUGCCUACCAUUGCACAUAGAUAAGAUAUACUGUAUCAUGAAUGUCUUCUUCCACUCACAUACGGACAGGUAUAAGGCUGAUAAUAUCAAGAGGAAAAAAGUUGAUUACGGCCUAAGCAGACAAUAAUGAUGGAUAAUGGAAAUUAGAGUGCAUGAAUAAUCACAUCCGGACGUGUGCGCCUAAAUAGUAAAUACCAACAAGAAAAGGCAAAUAUACCGUUGCAAAUCAAACAAGAUUCCAUGGCAGACCAUGCCUGAUGUUGUUCCCUGUGCUCCUAUGGAAAAAGGAGACCAACACCACAAGCAACUCAGGGAAAAUUCACAGCCAAGACACAGGAAUCACACAAUUUGCAUCAUGCCACCAUCAAAACAUGCAAGUACAGGGUUGGGAGUUGGGACAUUGGUAUUUAGAAACCCUUUACCUCUUCUUUUUUCUAGAGGCCUAUAGAUUAAUUAACAUUUUGAGAUGACAUAGAUUAACUAACUCGACUCAAAACCAUUUGAGAAUUCAUCAUAAGCAAACCUAACCAUAGUGACAAACUGUUGUGUUGUGGGCACCACCAAACCCGUCCUAGCAUUCCACCCCAUAAGACUUGUACUUAUCGGAACCCUAAAACCAUCAAUAUCCCAAAUCCCCGCGAAGGCAACGAUUAGGGUUAUAGCGGAAGAGACGUACCAGAACACCGUCCACGGACAGACGGCGGAGCGCGCUGCCCCCGUCGGGUCGCCGCGCUGCGGAGCGACCCCCUUCCCCCUAUCACACCGCUAGGGCUCCAGAUCCAGAGGCGGACCCAAUAAUUUCUGCAAGAAAAUCGAAGUCCGUAGGUAAAAUACAUGGUCAGAUCCGAAUCAAAUAGCAUAGAUUAGGGGCUUGGGACUUGGUGUUCGAUUCCGUACAUUAGGAAGGGAAGAUGUGGGCGGGCAUUCCCGAGGUCGCCGGCGAAGCGGCCCUGGCGGCGGCGCUAGUAGAGAGGAAGGCCGAGAACAUGAGUCGAGAGAGAGAAGGCGUGGUGGGGGCGAGAGGUCAAGAGCCGGGUGUGCUUGUUUGCAAAGCACGAGCACAAGGCCCAGUUUGGCCCAGCGAGCCAGAAAGGCCCAGCCUAGCUUUGUUUUCUUGUUCUUCCUCCUCCUCAGUUUCCUCAUUUUAUUCCAUUUUCUUUUAAAUGGUAUUUAUGUUCCCGCCCUACUUUCUACUUUAAAGUGUAAUUUCAGUAUAAAAAAGUGUAAUUAUUGUUUUAUCCUUAUUUUUUAAUUUAUAAUUUUAACAUUUACAAUUCACAAGUCAACACGAUUUUUUCUGGUCAACAAUCAAAACAAGAAAAAUGUGCAAAAGCCAAGGGCAAAACCGCAUCAACUUGUGAAUAGUGAAAGGCAAAAUCAUAAAGUCAAAAGAAAUGAGAGGAAAAAUACAAUUGCAGUAUGAAAUAGGAGAAGAACAUCAAAAUACCUUCUAUUCGGCGCCUUUCUUUUAAUACUCCCAAUAAUUAAUUAUUUUCAUAAAUAUGUGCCUUUCAUUGUUUGAUUCAACAAUUUAUGGAAGCUAGUUCAACAAUUUGAACAUAAGUUCAACAUUUCAUAUCCAUCUUACAAUGAAGGGACAAGACUGAUUGAAACACAUCCAAUCUAACAAUCUAUUAUACAUUUACUUUUACCUGAUGAUCCCUAAUUUAUCUCUCAACCCCUUUGUUAUUUGUUUGCUGAUCAUCACGAUCGCAGACCGCGUCCCUGCCUCCAGGCUUACUAGCCUAUACCUAUAGGGUAUGACUGGUCAUGUCCAUGCCUUGACGGGUUCCUCCCAGGCAAGAUCUUUUAGGACCUUUCUAGUUGGUCAUAAACUAAUCGUUCUGGUUAUCUCUUAUUUGGUUUGUGUCCAUAUAAGAGCAAGUAUAAUAAGAUGACGUAAGCAGGCCAAAUGAAGUGCCACAUCAGAUUUUUGGUACGAACUCCAAUAAAUAUGGUGAGAGAAUGAGAGAGUAAAGAUGAACAACGGAGUCUCCAACCAUUAUAUGAGUGGCUAUUAGAUUGAAUCAAGAUGUUGCCGGCAGCUGGACCUCACCGUGUAAGCGUGUUAACUGGGGUGUUUGGAUCCUGAAGAUAAAAUUUAAGUACGUGUCACAUCGAAUAUUCGGAUGCUAAUUAGGAGGACUAAAUAUGAGUUAAUUAUAAAACAAAUUACACAGAUGGAGGCUAAAUGGCGAGACGAAUCUAUUAAACCUAAUUAAUCAAUCAUUAGCAAAAUAGUUACUGUAGCGGCACAUUGUCAAAUCAUGGACUAAUUAGGCUUAAUAGAUUUGUCUCGCCGUUUAGCCUCCAUCUGUGCAAUGGAUUUUAUAAAUAGUCUAUAUUUACUACUCUUAAGUAGUAUCUAAAUAUUGAAUGGCUAAUUCUCCUCGGCAUAAAUAUUCUCUCUGCAUAUGCACUAGACUGGGGCGUAAAUAAAUAUUCUCUGCGUAUGCAUGCAGCAGGAGUACACGGGGGGAUGGAUCGAUCAGGAAUCUGCUAUUCAUGCACAGCACAGUGUUCUGAAUUAUUCUAUCUGCUAUUCAUGCAGCUACGUUCUUCAAGCAAUCAAGCAUGUGUGCAUGUGCUGUCGUCUAUUAGCCUCUGUACGUCCAGUGGCCUACGUACUAUAUUAUUAUAUCAUUACGAGCAGCUAGCUUGCUUAUAUGUUGGAAAUGGGUUGCCGAAGCGAUUGUUUGCAUGUGGAUGACAUUGCUACAUGGAAUCCAAAAGUGGUGUCAAUUAUCAAUUCAUGUUUGGAUAUGCACGCCGUUAAAUUGACGUCACCGUGUGCAAGAACGCCAUGCCAUCUCCAAUCCCCUCCUCGAGUGGAUUGACUUGUGAUACCCUAAGAGGGAAUGUUGAAUUAGGUGUUCUAUAACUAAGACUGUAAGCACAUAUAAAAAUAUAUUUCAAUUUAUAUCUAGAUGUGAACUAGAUUUUUCUUUGUGUUAUUAUCGUUGCCUCAUAAAAGUUUUGCACCCUACGUUCCAAUCCUACUAAACUGCACAUUCCAAUUAUAGAAAAGGUAAACAUGGAACUAUAAUAAGUAAUGCAGAAGGUAAAUGAAAUAGAGAAUACAAACUCUCGGCGCGAUGAAUUUUUACCGAUGUAUUGGGAAGCUCUCACUUUCGUCUAGUCCUUAUUGGAACCCUCGCAAGGGGAUGCCUCAUACAAGAGCCAAGCUCUUGGUCGGGUAACUACAUGAAUAGGCAGUAGCCCUUCACCACGCGCAAGUAGAUCUAUGUUUUCCCUUUCCCGGAUGCUCUCCAUCAACUUCACUAGGUAGAGCUUUGGAAAAUCAUCAAGGGCCUCUCCUCCCUUGUAUAAGCACCAUCUGCCACUCCACAAAGGUGGUUGUAGGUCUCGAGCCAUGGAUUUACAACUCUUGGUACGCCCAAGCACCGAUACUAAGAGGUUUGCAAACCUCAUGUAACUCUAGGCUAAUCCUAAAGCAAUACAUAAAUAGGCCUAAACUAAUCUAGUAAUAUUAUUCACUGGAUGAAUCAUAUCGGCGAAGCAACUCUGAACAUAGACAUUGCCGACACCCAUAGCACCGACUGAUUCGGUGUUGUUCAUGGUAAUCACCCUAUUGUUCGGUGAUACUAGAGCUGUGCUUCUCCUCAGACAGAGAGGAGGCAAAAACUCAUCAUAGGAUGAUCCAAUGAUCAUUACUGUGACACCGUAUGAUCUGGUGCACACAGUACACGCUUUCUUGGCCCUGCUGCCAAUUUUUCUAUCAUUGACCGAUACGAUGUAUUGGGUGCAUGAACACCGGAUGGUCCGGUGCAUUAUGAUAGUGACUCUUUUCAUCAAGAUUUGCUUCAUGUCAUUACUCCGUCUUUUUUCUAUGAUGUUUUGGGUUGCUUUAAGGUCUUCCAGGACCUUCUACUUCUACAUUUUGAAUUAUCAAAGCAAAAUCUUUAUGUGAGAGUUGAAGCUUCAAAAGGUGAAUUAUGAAUUUACUAGUAGGAGAUGAGAUAGUCUUUUCCCUUGAAAUGGAAAUUGAUAAAACUAAGUGGACGAAUUUAAUUUCUGCAAGUUUAAAAAAAAAGAAAUUUGGAUGACCCUUCAUUGUCUCCUCCUCCACCACUAAUUUUCCCUAUACAAGAUGUAAGUCGCCUGGCCUCCUCCAACCCUCGCCCACUAGCAACUCUCCACAGUGACUACUGUGGCCAACGCCAUACGGUGCCUUCGUCUUAUUGUUGUCUCAUUCACCUCUGACAUGGUGUUGUCAGCUUGGCUGUGGCUCAUGGUCCACGGCCAUGUCUUUAAUUUAGAGCACGCUGAUAUGCAAAACCUCCACCCCAAAAUCUUAAUCCAAAUGAUGGCAGCCAACAACGAUGCUAUAUACACUACUGGAGAAACAUCCAUUCGUAUCGGCUCAUCUAUACUGGGCAUAAUGAGCCGGUAUGAAUAAGUCGUUCGUACCAGGUCGACGAGAUGGCACAAACAAUGAACUACCCAUGCCGGCUCUCUUAUUUGUGCCAAUGCAAUUUUAAGCCGGCGUCAAUAAUGAUUAUCCUUUUCUGCUCCAAAUUUGCAACAACACGAAUACUCAAUUAUUCAUGCUAGCUCAAAAUAGAGCUGGCACGAAUACUCUUAGGAUUAUUCGUGUUGGUUCAAAAUUGGACCGGCAAGGAUAAUCCAUUGUUCACACCGGCUCAAAAUUGCGAUGGAACAAAUAAGAUUCCCGGAUAUGCAAUUCGAAUUUUAGCAUGUAUUCGGAAAUUCAUAACUUUUGCAUAUGGGCUCAGAUAGAGACAAACAUUGUAUGAAAUUGUACCGCUUGAUGAGAUCUAUAACUUUGUAGUUGAAUACUUUUUAAUUUGAGAUCAUUACAUGCCUAAAUAAUGGAUCAAAAUGUUAAACAAUAAGAGUUAAAAGGAAUAAAAGUUCCCUUUGUGUGCAGAUAAGUGGUGUAGGUGAGAUGGUAAAGAGGUAUCGUGGGAGGAGGGAGGCCGUGAGUUCGAAGGUGGAUAGAGCAUGCGCGACCGCGAGGGGUAGCUCAGGGGUGGUCUCCAGCCUAAAAAAUACUUUUGCGUGUUUCAUUUAUGAAUUCAUAUUUAUAGAUGGCUUUUGAGCCAGCACGGAUGAGUUGCUCUUCAAUAGUGAUAGAUGGCUACAAGCUCGCACAGGGGAAGUAGCUAACAGCCAGUGGUUAACACACCGUUUGGAGCUUCACAAAGUUGUUGCUAGUGUGUAAGCUCUACGGGUUAUUAUUCACAACUAGACUUAUAACAUUUCCCAAUAGAUUUUCUACAAGUGACCAAACGAUUUUUAGUAUACUUAGAUAAACAUCUACAAUAACUCACUAUAAGGGAUCUUCCUAUCUAUAACAAAUCGAAAUGCGUCAUAAACACAUUUUUUGCGUCAUAAAUCGUGAUUUAUGAUGCUCGUAUGAUGAAUAUCGUUCAUCACUAAUCGAGUAUUGUAAACUGUGACUUUCCUUAAUUAUUUCCGUGUGUCACUAAGAUUAUGAUAAUUACAGAACAUCAAUGAAAACGUCAAAAACUAGCUCCUGCGUAGCCAGCCACGUGCUAGACCACAGUCCGAUGUGGCGUAACAAUUGUGACAAAAUAUUUCGUUAUAACUUAAUCUAGAUCCAAUUCUUGUUGAAUCGAGCCUAAUAUUUGUUGUCGUCAUAACUUGAUUUAGGCCCAAUUGUCGUAGACUGGAAGAUUUCUUGUGGUGACCGUGGAGAAUGGGUUUAUUAAGAGUUAUGUUGUUGGUGAACUAUUGGGGAAGAUGCAAAUUAUUCUAGAAAAUUUUUCGGCCACCUGAGGAAAAAUAAUUAAAAACACUAAAACUGUUCGCUACUCAUACAAAUUAAAACAAUCAGGAAAGUUUGUGAUUGAGUGAUUUAUAUAUUAGGAAUAUAAUAUUGUGAUUUUUUGUUUGACGAGGAGCUCAUAAUUUUCUUUUUGUAAACCAGACCAUCAUGGCAGCAUCCCAUCAACAAGCUCACUGAUAUAUCUCUAUAUAACGUUAUUCAUAAAGGUUUAUUUGCUACUCCCUCCGUCGCAAGAUACAUAUGUCUAGAUCCAUACUAAAAGCUAUGCCUCUAGAAAAGUUAAAACGAAUAGUAAUUUGAACAGGAGGGAGUAAGACUUAAGGGGAUGGGGAACCUGGAAACUUAUAAAUAUCAAACGUGUUGCUAUGGUAGAAAGAAAUUGGCAAAGAAAGGAAGCAAGUGUAGCUUGCAUUUCUUUUUCUAAUAAGAGACCAUGAAAUGUGGUAAGGAAUUGCAAUAAUAUACGUAUGUAAAGGGGCUGGUAAGUGUUGAGAAGCACAUAAAUAAUUGUUUAAUUUAGUACGGAAGUACUCUAUUUGCAAAUGAAAUUAAUUUUGAUAUGAUAUAAUAAAUUUAUAUGGGAGUGAGCAGCAUAUUGCCCCCACAUGAUGAGUAUUGGAAGUAUGUAGGAAAACAACAGAUGACCACUCCGUCGGUUCGUCCUCACUACUGUCUGCUUGUGAUCUUGAUGAUUAGCUCAAGCAAUGCAAGCAAACCUAACUUGCUAAUCAGGAUUGUAUUCGUACAACAAUUAUAUAUGAAGGUAUAUAAAACAAACUUUUUUUUAAUCUGGACUCCGAUGAAAUAUGGCUAACCGCAUCAAAUUCCACAUGCAUGCAUUAACCAAAACUGAUCGAUUUUAGGGAUGAAAUGCUAGAACAGAAGUUUGUGGCUAACAAACCAAAAUAAAAUGAAAAUAAACAAACAAGCUAGCGAGGAAAAUGUUUGAGUCAGUACAAAGUUCUCCAUGCUGAAGGUAUAUGCAUGUAUGCUAGAGGCAAAAUCAGGAAGCAUAAGUUGAUCAAGGAUCUAAAUGAACACAACAACAGCAAUAGAGGAAGACUGUAUGAGCUAUGUAGUAUUAUUGAUUAUCAUUUUGACAAGACAAAGAAGAAACCUCCCACAUGUUGCUAAAACAAGAACAACAGUUGAAAUUGAAAGAGAGAAAUUUAUAUCUAAAGUAGCUCUUUGGCCAAAAAAUGUAUGAUCCGGUAGCACAAGAAAGGAAAUGAGAAAAAAAGGGAGAGAAACAAGCAAUCAACAAUCCAGCAGGAGUAGCUAGCGAUACAUUCAAAAGACCAAACAAAUUGAUCUCCUUUAGUUUGCAUGCACAAGUAUGUACUGGCUCUGUGUAUCAUGUAACUUUUGGAGUGGUCCCAAGCCUUAACUCUAGAUCUACUUCAUGUUGAUCCACAAGCAGAAGGGAACUAGAGCUAGGGCUUGGGAUUGUUGCUUGUGGUACCUUUGCAUCAUGAUCAACUCCUCCUUGUAGCCCCUGUGAUGAUUCACAUGCUGUAACCUCCGCCACUGGCUGCACAAAGAUCAGAAGCGCCGCCGCGGAGGGAUGAUCCAAACGCCUCCUCUUUGUCCUCGCUGACUCCUCGCCGUUGUUAUCAGCAAGAUCGCAGUGAUCUUCUCUCAUCUCCACGGGGGCUGCUGGCAUCGACAUGAGGAGCUUGUUCUUGCUCUCCUUGAUAAUGGUUGAUAAGUAGGAAGUAGCAGGAGGAGUCGUGGUGUUCUUCGCACCCCCCUUGUUGGCUGCUGAGCCGGCGGCAGUACCUGCUGCGUUAGUCGCCGCCGUUGUAGUGCUAGGGCUAGAGGCGGCCCUGUACAGGAGAGCCCCUUCCUGUGGCUGAUCAUUGGGGGCGUCGGGGGAUGAGCCCCCCUGCCGGAGAAGAGCUCGGUCACGGCGAUGGACGUUCAUGUGGCCACCGAGCGCCUGCGCCGACCGGAACUCGCGCUGGCAGAAGGUGCACGAGUAGGAGCGCGGCGGCCACACGCAGCCGCCGAGGUGCGCCGCCGCAUCGCGCUCGAAAGCCUGUUCCUCCCACGACGGCUCGCCGCCGGCGGCCGCAGCUGCCGCCCAAGCAGUGAUGGGGCUCGCUGUGCUGCUGCUGCUGGUGCUUCUCCUUGCUCCCCACAUGCCCCAGUAACUGCCUAUUCGAUCCAUGGCGGUGGAGGAGUUCAUGGGCGCGCUAGCUGGUGAUUGAGCUAUCUGUUUGUAAGUUUGUUGUUGCAAACUUGCAAUCAAGGCAUGCAACUAGUAGAUCACAGACCAAGAAGAUAGGAUGUGUGUACCUAUUUGCUAUAUAUGUGCAAGAAUCAAGAAAGCAAAUUGGAGCUGGAAUAGUGAACAAGAAAAGGAAGAGGGGGAAGAGAAGAGCUCAGGGUGAUGCUGGGGAUGAAUUGGAGAUGAGUAAUUUGUAUGAUUAGAUAGAUGACUAGUCCUCUCACGCCCUGCUGUUUAGGAAUUGGUGGGUGGGUGUGCCUUUUUGUUUUCUUCUAUCUCUGAUUUUUAUUUAAUUCAGAUGUAAAGCAAUGGAUAGUAUAAUCUUUCGGGGGCACACACAUAGUGCUGCUGCGUCUGUGCUAGUGUACGUUUGUGUAUCUUUUGUCAUCGUUGUUAAUUAAUAAGCUAGGCAUCUUGUUAAUCAAGAGGUAAUUUAUUUGUUCUGUGUACCUAGCAGUGAAGACAAGACAUACAUGCACGGAAUGAGCUCAAUUUGUCGCUCCUUCUAAACAAAGCUUUAAUUUCUGGAAUGCAUGUACACAUUACCACUUGGUCUUGAAUUGAUCAGAUGCUGCCCUGCACAGUUCGCCGAUCCUAUCCGCAUGCUAGUCCUCUGUGUUAGUUCAAUAAUGGUGCUUCCACAUAUUUUAUCAUUCAAUUCGGACGCAUAUUGCAAGAAUAUGGAGAAGAAUAGUGACAUUCUAAUUCUAGGGGGGUGGGCUAGACAAUCAAACAGGGUUCUCCGUCCGUGGUAGGUGCCCCUAUUUUUUUUGCCUCUAAUAAAGGAAGUAAUCGAAUGUUAGGGCAUGUUUUGUUUUCGCUUAACAUUUUCAUGUAUAUAUAUUAGCUAGCUUAUGAGCGCCUCCAUUUCAAGUUAAGUUGCAUAACGAUGAUCUAUCCUUUCGUAGCCACCGGAAGAGUCGUACACUGCGGAAUCUUAGGGGGUGUUUGGGUAGCUCCCGCUAAACUUUACAACCUAUCACAUCAGAUGUUUCAUACUAAUUCGGAGUGUUAAACAUUGUCUAAUUACAAAACUAAUUGCAAAGAUGGAGUCUAAUUUGCGAGAUGAAUAUAUUAAGCCUAAUUAGUCCAUGAUUUGACAAUAUGGUGCUACAGUAACCAUUUGCUAAUGAUGGAUUAAUUAGUCUUAAUAGAUUCGUCUCGCGAAUUAGACUCAUCUAUGCAAUUAGUUUUGUAAUUAGCUCAUGUUUAGUCCUCAUAAUUAGCAUUCGAAUAUCCGAUGUGACCCUGCUAAAGUUUGCCACCUCGUAUCCAAACACCCCCUUAAUUGAUCCGAUGUAUCAAUUAAUUGAAUGAACCAGCACUACUAGGAAAAUGACCUUUCAUCCAACGCGUUAGUACCAACGUGUUAGUACCAGUCAAAUUUGGAUCUGGUAAUAAUGUUGGUAUCCCCCGGAUGCCCUUUAGAACUGAUUGUGUUACCACCCGGUACAGCUAAAGCCUCGAUGAGCAUUAGUACCUGGUAGUGUUACGAUCCUAUAUUAAAAAAUCCUCCAUGGGUUACUUUCAAAGGAAAAAAUUUCUAACCAAAUCACAUGUGUUGUGUUGGUGAGAUGGUAAAGAAACCUCGUCCAAGGCUUGAGGUCCCGUAUUUGAAUCCCUUGCACUACGCACGCGUGAAAAUCAUGUGACUUUUUGCCUUGUGACUUUGCGCAUGUGUGCGAGCCUCUCGGCAGUUCAAAAUAUUUUUUCUUUAUUUUUUUGAAACCAUACUGGUUUCUCGACUGGUACUAAAUAUCAAUACUCAAGUAGUGCAGUAGCUCCCUCCGUUUGAAAUUGUAGGUCGUUUUAGUUUUUCUAAGUUCAUAUAUUUUACUAUGAAUCUAAACAUAGGGUAUCUAAAUGCAUAGCAAACAUUAUGAAUCUAGAAAUACCAAAACAAUCUAUAAUUUGGAAUGGAAAGAGUACUUCCCAAAUUAACUUGAAUCUGAACACUAGUAGAGAACUCAUCUUCCAUGCACCUCCUUUUGUCCCGGUUUAAAGUUGGUCCGGGAUAAAAGGUUCACCAACCAGGACUAAAGCUCGGUCCCUAGCGGGGGGCUCACCAACCUGAACCUUUUAUCCCGGUUGCAAAGGCUAGUGGAAAAAAAAGAUCCUGAAAGGCCUUUUAUCCCCUUUAAUUUUGUCUCGAUUGGUUUAUCCCGGAUGAAUUUUUGGAAAAUUUGCACCCUACCAACCGGGACUAAUACUGAGGUCUCUACCAGUGGAAUGUCAAAGACCGAGGAUGGUUAACUAAAAGUUUCAAUCUUUUCCUUCGUAUUAAAGUCUAGAACCACCGUCCGCAUCCACCCAAAUUAUUGUCAGUGCAGUGGUUUAUUUUCAGCAUGAAGAUGGGCCUAAGGAGUUGAAAGCUUCAGAUUGUACGAUCGAUGUCAAAGCUCCGGUCCUUGGCGAUUGAUCAGCAGGCAAAAGUAUCCAAUAUUCUCUGACGCGAUUAUAAGAGCAUGAACUUCUAAACAUAUUAUUAACUGAUGAUUUGCUAGCGAUAUGGAGUGGACCUAUCAAUAAUUUUUUUCUAAAAUAUAGUAGAGACACACACGCUCGCAAACAUAUGCCCAUGCUCAUCCCGCACACUUACACAACUUACCAUAUAUAUGAACAUCUUUAGAAGAUAGAGCCGCGGCAUAUAUUACCAUCGAAGAAGUCACCCAGGCAUCUCGCUAAAACCAGGUGGUGGGCAGGCUUCACGACACACACAGGUUGAUGGGCUUCGAGUAUUCCCGUGUAUACAUUUGAUUUGUCUUUGACUAGAGUUGAAGCCUUUGGUGAAUUUUUCCAGUGUAUCACAGAUAUUCUCCAUUAUUUGCUAAUCGAUCAAUCACAAACAUAAACAAUUAUCACUUGUGAAGGAGCUAAUAAUAUAACCAAGAUGCACAUCACUGAUGUAACAUGUGGAAUGAUUGUGUCAAUUAGUCAUCUCAUGCUUUGCCGUGUCUCCAUAUAUCUCUGACAGAAACUUCGAUAGUUUCAGUACAUACAAUACAAAAUCCAAUCAUGCCCCCAGCCUAAUUUCAAGAAGGAAUAAUAUCUGGAUAACUUCAUCACAUAUCAGAGGCCAUGCAUAUUACCAAUUAAAUUUAGCAUAUUUUUGUAUAUGGAUGGGAUUCCAGUGCGAGUCGGUUUCAUCCGUGUUGGUUAUUGGGCUGGCACAAUGGAGCCGACGCGGAUGAGAGGUGGAUAUCCGUGCCGGCAUCAACACCAACAUGGACGAAGAUUAUUUCUGCCGGCUUCAAUUGUGAGCUGACAUGGAUAACUGAGUAAUCCUACCGGCUUCAAUUGUGAGCUGACAUGGAUAACUAAGUAAUCCUACUGACUCUAAUUGUGGCUCGCCAUGGUUGUUAGUGUAUUACUACUGGUGCUCGUUUUGGGCUAGCAUGUCGGUGUUUAGACCCGGCAACUUACCGAGGGGUGCCCGUGAUAGUGUUUUGCCCACUGGGGCUCGUCAAGAUCAGGAAACUCGAAUGUAAACGAAGACACACAAUUUAGAGAGGUUCGGGCUGUUAGAUUGCGUAAUACCCUAAGUCCUGUGUGUUGGUUGGAUUGAAUCGCUUUGGAGGGAGUCCCUGCCUUGCCUUAUAUUGUCGGAGGUAGGAUUACAGGUCGGUUGGUUAUAAGAAUACUAGUCGAAUACGACUAGAGAAGUUCUACUCUUAUUAUAGCGAGUACUUUUUUUAAUCCUCGACUAGUUCCUAUCUUUCUAUGUAGGCUACGCCGUCCUGUGUCAUGGUCUCCAUAUCAGAUACGUCUUGGUGUCCAAUCUCAUAUUUAGGACUAUCCAAACCUUUUGGUGGGCUCAUAGAUGUGUGUACGACAAGCUCCCGAGUACUUUUUAGUCAAAUGCAGCAGUUUCGGGUACUCUUGUAGACUUCACCGACUAGUUUUUGGUGCUCUUCAAGUACUUCAUCUGGUUGAAUCUUCAAAGGUACCUAAAAACUACCAUGCGGUUAAAAUAUGCUCAAGCCUCAUUUAAUUAACUCAGUCUGAUAUCCUUCAAUGUUGAAUUUUAUAUGGAAGUGCGAUGAAAGUUGCACUCCAUAUGGAGUAGUCCCCAAGCCUUAGGUUGAAUUGAAGAAUCAGGCUAAGGGUUAAUCUGUAAUUCGCGUCACUUUCCCCUUAAAACCCGAAGAAAAAACUUUUUAUCGAUGGACACGUGGCACAUAGCCCCCGAGCCUUUAGCCAACUAGUUUAGUGGGUAUAAGGGUCAACCUUUGGUCAACAUGACCAUCUCUGGAAGGAGAUCUUAUCUCCUCCUGAAAUAAAGGUAAUUGCAAAUCAGAUGUCCGAAAUUCUAGGGAUCCUUUAAAUCAAAAUCCCUUUAUUUGCGCAGUUUUCACCGUUCCACUAUUAUAAAGAAUGGCGGAAGUUAUCCCAUCCGUUUUACCCUUUUACCAUCUUCCUUUCCAACUUCCACACCUUAGCCCUAGCGCCGCCGCUAGCGCCGCUGUCCCCCCACCGAGCAGCCCCUGAGCGUAUGCGACAGAAGAAGCUCGUGACAUCAAGGAUGGGUAGGAAAGCUGUUGCGUCUAAAUCAAGCGAAGGCGAGAAGAAGAAGACAUCUGAUAAGAAGAAAAAGUCGCAAUUGCCGGCACCCAAAUACGAGAAAACUGAUCAGACUGCGUCGCCAAAUCUCGUAUGUGCCUGAAAACAGUCAACUAUAAAGGAGGAGGAUACCAAGGCGCUUGUAGCCACCAAUAAGUCCAACUGGACAAAAGGGCAAUUCUUUCAUAUAAUUGUGCCGACACUUAUAUCGCCAGAGAAUGUAAACAACACUUACAUUACAUAACCAUGGUUGCACCUCCUCCAUCACCUCCAUGGCGACCGUGGCUGUGCUCGAAGGGGAGGUAAUGGCAGAAUGCUAGGAGGUCCCACUCUAAGGCAGCAUGAGCUCAAGCCCUUGCCGCUGCAUUGCCCACCACUAGUGCGAUUGCAUUGCCCUAUUGGCCGCGGAGAUGGUGGCCGCGGGACAAGCGGUGGCUUCCACUGCCUUCCACGCCGAUGUGCUAGGUAGGAUCCGAGGUCUUGACGACGUGAGAUGUGGCCCCCUGCCAUGAUCAGCAGGACUACUUCCCUAGCCACUGAUGCCACGACGCGGUUCUGCAGCCACGACCGUCUCAUCCAUGGGGUUAUCCAUGUGGAUCCUAGGGAGGGAGGGGGUGGCAACGCAGGGAGGGAGAGGGAGGGUAAGGGCUAGUGUCAGGGGAGUGAAGUGUAGGAGUCCUUAUAUAGAAUUUUUUGUACCGGUGAGAUCGGCACAUAUAUAAAAUUUUUAAGGGCUAGUGUUAGGGGAGUGAAGUGUAGGAGUCCUUAUAUUAAAUUUUUCGUAUGAAACAUCGGCACAUAUUUAAAAAAUUUUAUGCUGGUAUGGUCAAACAUAGGCACGUAUAUACAACCAUCCAUGCUAGCUGGUGCUGGACCUCACUAGCACAUAUACGCUAAUACAAAUAAAAAAAUAAAAAAGUUAGAGAAUCUAGGCAGGACAAUCCCUGUUGAGUUCGAGUUGCACUUGGAUGCUCUAUGCCGUUGUCUCGAACUCCUUUCUCUCUCCACUCUUGCGCUCCGAGGGAUUUGGCAAGUGUUGUUGUAGAUCGAAGCCUGGUUUGGACCGGCGAAACCCGUCGAACCAGCCCGUACUAAACCGUUUCGGCGUGCUCCUACGGGUUAGGUUUAAACUGGGUUCUACCCACCUAACCCGGCGCCCCGCUCGCUGAGGGAGUCAGCAACAGGCCCACCAAAUAAAUAGAAUAAAAAUGAAAAGUUAUUUAACUGUUCUUCUUCCUGCCGCAUCUUCACCCUCCCGGCUCUCGUCAAUGGAGCGCCGCCGCCUUUAGAUCCGCUGCCGGCAAUUGCAGAUGUCGUCGCCUGCCACGAAAAAUCCCCAUUCUAUUAAUCUUCCUCAUCAGUGUCUUCACGGAGCCUGCGGUGUACCCACCUCUCUGCAAUUCUGGAAGGAGGCCGUUACGCCGCCGCCGCUGCCGACAAGCCGCGUCGACGGCGGGGACCUCGGCCGCAAGAGCACGUCCAACAUCAAAGCGCGUCGACGGCCGGGACCUCGCCCGCAGGUGCCGCAAGCCGUGCAGUGCCGGAGAGCACCUUGGACCGACACGGAUCAUACCUUCUGUAGUAGAUAACAUAUAUAAUUUACACACACACACACUGAUCAUGUUCUCCAAGCUCUCAGAGAUGUAGACCAGGAAUCUUUUUAAAAAAUUAGGAACUUGAGAAUUGGCUUGGCUAGUUUAAUUGGAUCGGAGGACAAACAAGAUCGAAAUUAGAGAUGCAUGAGACUUGCACUGCUCAACCACCGGUAGUACGCACACGUUUGCUGGCUUAAUUUGUUGCAGCCUUAUUAUUGCGUUAAGUUGGUGCCCGCCGGCCUUCCUUACUUGUAUUGUAUGCCAAGAGAAACAAAACCUUAGCUUAAUUCUCUCCCCUGUUGGCUGAUCAGAUCAGUCACGAGUCACCGCUUAAUAAUGAUCUUAUUGCUUGUCAAUAAUUUCUCCCUCCAUCCCAAAUUACUAUUCGUUUGGACUUACUCUUCCAGAUGCAUAACUUUUUGCUAUGCAUCUGCACAUGAUAUGUAUUUUUAUAGGUGCAUGUUAAAGGCCACGUAUCUAAUAAGCCAAAAUGAAUAGUAAUUUAGGACGGAGGGAGUAGAUGCUUGAAGGACUGCUAAGCUAGCAGCUAGUCGCUGGGGUCAUGCAUAAUAAAGUUGACGCUUGUGCGAUGUGUGUUUGUCAAUUUGUCCAGGCCGGAUGCAUCCACAUGCAUGUGACUAAGCAAUUUGGUCUCUUUUGACUCACCACUUUUGCGCGAUCGUCGAUCGAUCUGGCGUUCAGAUUCGUACAUGCUUCCUCCCACUGCUCGUAUAAUACUCCCUUGUUGGUAGUUUUAACAUUUCUAAAUUUAUAGUUUUUUUAUAUACUCCCUCCAUCCUAAAUUACUAUUUAUUUUAGCGUUUCCAGAUACAUAUAUUUUACUAUGUAUCUAGAUAUAGUAUACAUCUAUGUGCAUAUCAAAAGUUAUGCACCUAGAAAAUCUAAAACGAAUAAUAAUUUGGGAGAGAGUAUCUAGACAUAGUGUAUAUAUAUCUAAAUGAAUAACAAAAUAUAUGAACCAAAAAAUAUUGAAACAAUCUACAAUUUGGGACCGAGGGAUCCUAAAUUACUAUUAAUUCGUUUUGACUAUUUUUAGAUACAUACGUAGCUUUUGAUAUGCAUAUAGAUAUAUACUAGAUAUAUAGCAAAAGUUAUGUAUCUAAACGAAUAGUAAUUUGGAAUGGAGGGAUUAGUUAAGUAUAACAUCUAAUAUGUCUUCAGUUAAUUUUGUCACCAUGCCUGCAAAUGACGUCUUCAGCACGUACUCAUUAUAUAUAUUCGCUGUCAGCUGCCGUUCAUGUACGGGAACGCUGUUCGAUUCUUGUCUUAUUGAUUAUGCAAUGAUACGUGCUGGUGGAUCAUAUUAUAUAUGUAAUGUAUGUGUCGAGCUGCAUGUGUAUGUUUGUCGCAUAUAACUGCAGUGAUUAGCAGCAUGCGAGUGUACUGUGCUGUGCAUGCAUGUUGGCGAAGCGUGUUAACAACACAGUGCCGUAAACACUGUAAUCAAAUUAGUUUAAUUUGUUCUAUGAAUGCAUGCUCUGUUUGCUUGCUAGCUGCAGCAUCUGCUGAUCGGCAGGCUGCAUGCUGCCGAUGAUACUGAAGAAAAACAAAAGACACAAGAGACUGCAUGCGAAUGCUUUGAUCCACAAAUUAAAUUUGCAGGCCCAUAUAGUACAGCAUCGAUGCAUGCAUGGUAUAUCCAUCCUUUUCUGCACCCUACCAUUACUGUUUAUUUGAACUGGGAUAUUAUUUGUUUGGAUCUGUUACAUGCAUGUUCAUCUGAGAUUGACAGAUUGUUUCUGAUCAAUCGAUCAGAGUGCUGCUGGCUGGCAGGCAUGCAAAGAUUCUUGCUUGCUUGUCUCAUCCUCUAUCACACACGCAACCCACCACCACCCUAGCUAGGUACUCUGAAAAUGAAAGCUGCUUCACACUGAAAUUACGUACUGAUUGUUCAUGUGCACUGCUCAGCGCAGGUGCAGAUGUGUACAUGUACAUGUACGUGUCUACAGUCGUAUAUGCCUCUCUGCAGCAGCUAGCAGUGCCGCCCUAUGUAUGUACAGUACCUGCCUCGCUCCAUGAUAAUAAAGGGAAGCUAGCGACCCAAAACCAGAAGAAUAUUGUAUUAUUAUUAAGGAAUUUUUCAUCUCUUAAGUAUUGCAAAAGUGUGAUAUUCAUCCCUCAUGUUUCAUUGAUGCAAAUAAACCUCUUAAUUAAUUACAUCGGUGCAUUUAUCAUCCCCACUUUAGUUUAAUAAUGAUUUAGUGUCAUAUAACUUCAGUUAAGGUCAUGUAAUUAUCUUACUAAUUACGACUUAGCCACGUCUAAUGUUGAGACAAUUUUGGUGCGAAUAAGUUCCGUUAAUUUUUUGAAUAAAUUUUAUAUGUUUACUAAUUCUUUUAUGAGCUUCAUAUCUUGGACUCAGCAUAUUAAAUCACUAAGCAGCGAUUAGUCAGGUGAUUAUGUGGUUUAAACUGCCAUUUGAUGUCCUAAACCAUUAUUAAAUUAAAGUGGGAUGAUAAAUGCACCUUUUUAGUUAGGUAAGGGGGUGAUUUGCACUAAAUGAAACAUAAUGAAUGAAUACAGCCUUUUACAAUGCUCGAGGGACGAAAAAUAUAUCUUUUUCUAUUAUUAAUUAUAUACCUGUGCAUGAAUAUAUAGGUACUUGCACGUAUACAUACAUAUACAGGAUCAUAUAUAUGCAACUAAUUAAUAAUUAUACUAUUCGUCCAAGCAUAAAGUAGUUUGUUAAUUGUCAUAUAUCAAGAUAGGAUUUGUGUCUACCCGACUUUGACAGUAUAACUGCCUGGCCAGCACCAUCAUCAUCAGUUGUUUUCCAUUAUAUAUUAUUUUCGUUCCCCCUUUCCCGGCCCUCCCUCCUCGGUUAGCAUCUAUUCUAAAUCUCUACAACUAAUAAAAUAAAAAUGGUGACAAAAACUUUGUGAAGCCUCAGUCCGCCGAUAGAAACGCCAGCCUCCGUCCUGCAGAAAAGAAAAACGUGUGCAUCCUCCGAGCCCCUCAUGCAGUCAUGCACCCUCAAAGCCCCUCACGCCGUUGAAAACACGCGCUGCACUUCCUCCCUCUCCGCCCCAGCUCGGCAAUCUAGCAGAUGGAAGGUGGCGUCGGGCUAGCCAACGCAUCCCGUCUCCAAUGCGACAAAUAUCCAGCAUCGAGUGCGGCGAUCUGGCCGACGGUAGAGAAUUCUGAGGGCGGACGGCUGUUAAAAGCAGAUGGCGCGUCAAUUUAUGAACCGUAACAGAUCAUCAUAAUUUUUCCUUUAUAACUUUUUCUUUAUAGUAUUCUAUCUAAGAUUUAUUAAUUCGUAGAUCGGCAAUAAAUUGACUAGGGUUUUCUAUCUAACUAAUCGGAUCUAAUCCUAUCAUGAAGGUAUCGAUUGCAUGUGAGGGUAAACAUGAGUAUGAGAUGAAUAUCAUGAAUAGAUCACAUUCGGUAACAUGACCAAAGGUAGUAUGAGCCUAACGUCUUCUAGUUGCAGUUCUAGCCAAAGUGGUAACCAACUUAUCUCGUACCUUGAUAAAGAGUUAUCCAUUACACGGUCGUUUGGCUUUUUUCCCUUCCGCAUGCUGUCACCACACAAGGAUAAUCAUACCGACUUCUUGCACACUAAUAUGAUCUAUCCGCAAGACAUAGACUAAUCACCACGAUUACAUCUAUUCCUACUAAAGGCAUACGGUAGCUACACAUAUGAAUAAGCAUGAAUCAUAGUAGAUCAAAGUAGAGACAAGAACAGAUCAAAGUCCACCAAGGAAACCAUAGACGCCUACUGCACCGAAGUCUGCAAACUCGAGGCUCACUUCUAUGGUCUCGAGUUCCAUCACAUCACUAGGGAUCACAACGUCACCACCGACAUCCUAUCCAAGCUCGGCUCGAAACGCGCCCAAGUUCCAGUUGGCGUGUUCGUCCAGAACUUGAAAAAACCUUCUAUCAAGAUAUUGGACCCAGACCAAGCUGACGGCAACACCUAGGCUUAGGUUGACCCAGCGCCCACCAAUGUCCUGAUGAUUGAGGCGCAGGAUGACUGGCACGCACCUUUCAUCGCAUUCAUCACCAACAACAUGUCCCCAAAGGACAAAGCCGAGCACAAAAAGCUCGCACGAUGCAGCACCAACUACGUUGUGAUUGAUAAGAAGUUGUACAGGAAGGCUGCAUCUAUCGGCAUUCUGAUGAAGUGCAUCCUCUGCAACGAAGGCCUUAAACUCCAUAAAAUCCACUCAGGUUCAUGUGGGAACCAUGCUGCCUCGGGCAAUUUAGUCGAGAAAGCGUUCCGCUCUAGCUUCUACUAGCCAACUGCUAUCGCUGACACAAAAGAGCUCGUCCAGAGGUAUAAAGGGUGCCAAUUUUUCUCCAAUCAGCAGCACCUCCCAGUGCACCAUCCCACAAUCCUGGCCCUUCGCAUGCUGGGGGCUGGAUAUGGUCAGCCAUUUCAAGACCGCUCCGAGCGGAUACACCCAUAUCUUCGUGGCAAUUGACAAAUUCACCAAGUGGAUUGAAGUCAAGGCUGUCACUAGCAUAGAGUCAGCCAAAGCCUCUCAAUUGAUUGAAGAGCUCACACACCACUUCAUUGUCCCUAAUAGGAUCAUCACCGACCUAGGCAAACAAUUCACAGGAUCCGAGUUCUGAGAUUUUUGCCAAGACAGCCUCAUUGAUGUAUACUACUCCUCAGUAGCUCACCCAUGAUGCAAUGUCCAGGUCGAAUGUGCAAAUGGGAUGGUCCUCCAAUCCCUCAAUUCUUGAAUCUUUUGACAGCGCAUCAGCAGACCUAAGCGGCCUGCAUCUGGUGCUACGAGACAAGGUGCGCGAGCAGGUGGUAGUACCCGCCAGCUGGGGCCUUGGUGGCGGGCGGAGCCAUUGGCGAUGGCUUCCUCGCUGGCGGCACAAAGCCACCAUAGCGGUUGAAGCCAUAGGUGUUGGUUAGCACUGGGAUGCUAUUUCACCACCUCAUGCAUACGGGUAACCUACCCGGUAGACUCGUAGAGGAGCUCCCACGGGUCUACCGGCCACUGCUCUGCGCUGUCCUCCUCCUGUCCGGCCACGUCCUAUGCGUCGUCCCCCUCCCAGAUCCGGAGCCAGAGCAGUAGGGGGAUCGAGGCUGCAUGCUCCAUGGAGGAGGAAGAUAAUAAGGGACAGAGGAGAUUAAUUAGAGGUGAGAGGGAGUGGUAGUAUAGAUAAAUGACUCUUCAACUAGUAUUUAGAUAAUGGAUCCAAAAACUCUCAUCUAAACUUUAGCUAGCCAACGUUUAGCUGGCUAAAAAAGCCUCUAAACUUGAGGGGUGGAUUCAAACAGAGCUUUAAUUCUUCGGCUGAUUUUCCCCAAUGGAACAGUACAACAUCUUUGAGGGAUAUGCUUUCAAAUUGUAUCCUUCCAUCUUGAAUGAGUUAAUACUGUUAACAGAUAUGGUUGUAUUUGUGUUUGGUUCGGUUGUGAUCUAGGGGGUGCGGCUCAAGUUUACUUAGAGCUUAAGUUUGCUUAGAGAUAGAUUGAGUCUGGAAUACAAGUCCUAGUUGAUCACAAUUGUAUCGAUGUAAAUCUCUUUGGUGUUUUCACCACAUAUAAACAUGUAACCGUGGAGAGCCAAGAUAGGCAACCAUGUUUCCUCCUUUCCUUUAUGGUAAUCAGAGCAUCCUCUUCCUAAACAUCCCACAUCCUAACCUCCUGCAACAGAAGCUUUUUUUGCGCCAGGAAGUUGCGAAGCUUUUCCUGCGAGCAACAGAAGCUUACGACAGAAGUUUUUUUUUCCACGACAGAAGCUUUUUGCACCAGAAAUUUUCUCCCAUGGUGUCGACAUCAACUUCUGCUAUGCUGGUGCUAGGAAUAGUCUCAGAGAAAUUAACCCGAGAUAAUUAUCUUCUAUGGAAGGCUCAAUUCCUUCCUACCAUGGAUCUACCCCGGAGCCGCCCAAGACCUUGGAGGUGGUCAAGGAAGACGGCAAGAAGGAAAUCAUCCAAAAUGUGUACGACUCCUGGAUCGUGAGAGAUCAAUAAGUGUUGAGCUACCUGCUAAAUUCUCUUACCAAGGAUGCUUUGGCGCUAGUAGCGAUAGCGACUACGGUAGCAGAAGCUUGGGAGGCGCUAGAAAGGAUGUUUUCGGCGCACUCCAAGGUGCGGAUAACAAAUCUACGCAUCUUGCUCUCCACAACAAAGAAGGAUAACAUGUCCACUUCAGCUUACUUCACCAAGAUGUGUUCUUUCGAAGAUGAGUUAGCCAUGGUUGGAAAAGUUAUAGAUGACGAUGAGAUGGUUCACUUUAUUCUCAAUGGCCUUGAUUUUGAUUACAAUCCUUUUGUUUUGUCAAUGCUUGGCCGUGUUGGUUUUCUCUCCUUGAGCAAGUUGUAUUCUCAGCUACUCACAUAUGAUCAAUGCAUGGAGGUGUACCAAGCUGGGAAUUAGUUUCAGUCGUCAGCUAACAUGAUUAGUAGAGGACGCGACUAUGGUGGUCGUGGUCGUGGUGGCCGUGGGCGUGGCCGUGGUGGAGCUGGCCGCGGUCAAAGGGGCGGCCAAUAGUACCAAGGCGGUCAACAAGACUGCGGGUCUGGUUCUGGAUCUACCAAUCCCAAUGCAGCUAAGCAAGGCACACAACAGUAAAAUAAUAUGUCAGAUUUGCAAGAAAAUUGGACAUGAAGCGAAUCGCUGUUGGUAUAGAUAUCACAACGAUGAAGAUUAUCAAAGUCAAAAGAUGGUAGGGGCGGCUACAACCAAUUAUGGUUAUGACACAAAUUGGUAUUUAGAUAGUGGAGCUUCUGAUCAUGUCACUAGUGCGCUUGAGAAGAUGACAAUUCGUGAAAAGUACACUGGACGAGAUCAAGUACAUGCAGCUAAUGGCACAGGUAUGAAAAUUAGUAACAUUGGUCAUACAACUUUACAUACCCCUAGCAAAACCAUUGUUCUGAAAAAUAUUCUUCAUGUUCCUAGUGCUAAAUCUAGUUUUAGUUCAUAAAUUUGCUCAAGAUAAUGAUGCCUUUAUAGAAUUUCAUCCAAAUUUCUUUUGUAUAAAGGAUCAGGAAACGAAGAAAAUCAUCCAUCAAAGUAGAUCUCGAGGUGGCCUCUAUCCUCUAAGGUCGCAUCUAUCCCAAGAGGUGUCCAGGAAACAAGCUUUUGCAGUCAAUAAGCCUUCUAUCACUCGAUGGCAUAGUAGACUUGGUCAUCCAGCUUUUCCUAUAAUAGAAAGAGUUCUUAGUUCGAAUAAACUUCCUUAUGUUAGUGAGAAUAAUUCUAAGUCUAUUUGUAAUUCAUGUUACAUGGCCAAGAGUCAUCAACUUCCAUAUCCUAUAUCAAAUAGUGCAUCCACAGCUCCACUUGAUCUUGUCUUUUUGAAUGUAUGGGGGCGGGCACCUCCUUCCAUUGGGCGCCACAGCUACUAUGUUAGCUUUAUCGAUGAUUUUACUAAAUACACUUGGAUCUACCUGCUUAAGAAAAAAUCUGAUGUGUUUCAAGUCUUUCAAGAGUUUCAGCAGCUUGUAGAAAGAAAAUUUGGCUGCAAGAUCAAAUCUAUUCAGUCUGAUUGGGGAAGUAUGAGAAAUUAAACUCCUUCUUCCAACGAGUAGGAAUUACUCACCGAGUGUCCUGUCCCCAUGCACAUCAACAAAACAGUGCAGCCGAAAGGAAGCAUCACCAAAUAGUUGAGCUAGGCCUGGCUCUCCUCGCUAAUGCAUCCAUGCCUUUGAAAUAUUGGGAUCAUGCCUUUCUUACAACCACUUAUCUCAUCAAUGUCCUUCCUAGUAAAGUCAUACAUUAUGAUGUCCGUCAUGCGCCUCAUGCAACAAACUCCAAAUUAUUCAUCUCUUCAAGUCUUUGGUUGUGCUUGUUGGCCUAAUUUUCGACCAUAUAAUUCUUGCAAGCUUGCCUUCCGCUCUAUUCGCUGCGCCUUCCUUGGUUAUAGCGUCGUGCAUAAAGGUUUCAAGUGUCUUGAUAUUUCUACUAGUUGCAUAUAUAUUUCUAGAGAAGUUGUCUUUAAUGAAGGAGUUUUUCCCUUUGCACACCUCCAUCCCAAUGCAUCAAUGCAUUGACACGUGGGGGGCAGCGCUGUCUCUCGCCCAGGAGCACGUGCACGCGCCGCACACACCGCACGGCUCAUCCGAUAGCUCACCCGCGCAGGCGCACAUGCCGCAGGGCUCGUCCGACAGCUCGCUGCACGUGCCGCAUGGCUCGUCCAAUGGAUCGCCCAGCCAGUUGCCGCCGCAUGGCUCGCCUAAUGGCUCGCCUAGCUCUACGCCCGGCUCGCCCAGCUUUGCGCUGACUGUUCCAUCUGCACAUGCUGUUUUGCCUGGAUUUUCUGCUCCGCCAGCUGGAUCAGCUACGCCAGUUUUAGCUACACCUCCGAUUAAGCGACGUACGCAUCUUCAGCACGGUAUUGUCAAGCCUAAGAAAUUUACGGAUGGAACCAUUCGGUACGGGAAUUUUUGUGCUACUGGUGAGCCGGAGAAUUUACAAGAAGCUCUUGGUGAUUUGUGAUGGAAACAGGCCAUGCAAGAAGAGUAUACGGUGUUGCUCAGAAAUAAUACUUGGCAGUUGGUGAAGCCCAAGGAUGGCUGUAACUUGAGUGAUUGCAAAUGGGUGUUUAAAGUCAAGAAGAAGGCUGAUGGGACUAUUGAUCAGUAUAAAGCGCGACUAGUAGCUAAGGAAUUUUGACAAAUAUAUGGGAUUGAUUAUGAGGACACAUUUAAUCCGGUUGUCAAGAUUGCUACUGUGAGGCUUGUUUUGUCUUUACCUAUCUCUAGAGGUUGGUGCUUAAGAUAGUUGGAUGUCCAGAAUGCAUUUCUGUAUGGUGUUCUAGAAGAGGAGGUUUAUAUGAAAUAGCCUCCAGGUUUUGAGAAAGAAAAUGCUCCACAUCUGGUGUGCAGACUUGAUAAAGCAAUUUAUGGUCUUAAGCAAGCUCCACGUGUUUGGUAUGCGAGAUUGAGCUCCAAGUUGAUUGAUUUCGGUUUUAUUGCUUCAAAGUCAGAUACCUCUUUGUUUAUCUAUAAAAAAUCAGGGGUUAGCAUCUAUAUGCUUAUAUAUGUUGAUGAUAUCAUUAUCACUAGCUCUUCUAGUGAAGCAAUUUCGGCUCUAUUGUUGAAUUUGCGCAAGGAGUUUGCUCUAAAGGAUCUUGGUGACUUAAACUAUUUUUUGGGUAUUGAAGUUUAAAGAAGCAAGAAUGGAUUGUUACUGUCUCAAGAAAAGUAUGCGCAAGAGAUUCUAAUGCGUGUUGGAAUGGUCAAGUGCAAAGGGUCGCCUACUCCAUUGUCUAGCUCGGAAAAUUAUCAAGCUUGGAAGGUGAUCCGCUUGGUCCAGAAGAUAGCACUCAUUAUAGAAGUAUCAUUGGGGCAUUGCAAUACCUAACUCUCACUCGGCCAGAUUUAGCCUUUUCUGUGAACAAGGUGUGUCACUUUUUGCAUGCACCAACGUCAGUUCAUUGGACUGCAGUUAAAAGAAUUCUUCGUUAUGUUCAAUCUAUAUUGAAUGUUGGGUUACAUAUUAAAAGGCCGAGUUCUACAACUUUGAGUGCUUUCUCUGAUGUUGAUUGGGCUGGAAGUGUUGAUGAUAGAAAAUCUACUGGAGGAUUUGCAAUUUUCCUUGGUUCUAAUCUUAUAUCUUGGAGUGCUAGAAAGCAGGCUACUAUCUCCGGUGUAGUACUAAAGCACAAUAUAAAUCUAUGGCUAAUGCUACUGCCGAAUUGAUUUGGUUGGAAUCAUUAUUGCUGGAAUUGGGAGUUCGGUUGGCACAACCUCCUGUUUUAUGGUGUGAUAAUUUGGGAGCUACAUAUCAGCAAAUCCAGUUUUCCAUGCACAGGCUAAACAUAUUGAAAUUGAUUUUCAUUUUGUUCGAGAGAGCGUAACUAAGAAAACAGUUGCAAAUUCGGUUGAUAUCUACCCAUGAUCAAAUUGCAGAUGGGUUCACUAAAGUUUUGCCGGUUUGGUAAGCAAGAAGAGUUCAAGAACAAUCUAAAUCUCAAGAGGAAGAGAAGUUUAGAUUGAGGGAGGAUAUUAAUAGAUAUGGUUGUAUUUGUGUUUGGUUCGGUUGUGAUCUAGGGGUGCGGCUCAAGUUUACUUAGAGCUUAAGUUUGCUUAGAGAUAGAUUGAGUCCGGAAUACGAGUCCUAGUUGAUCACAAUUGUAUCGAUGUAAAUCUCUUUGGUGUUUUCACUACAUAUAAAUAUGGAAACGUGGCAAGGUAAAAUAGACAACCAUGUUUCUUCCUUUCCUUUAAAUACAAUACAUGCAACCAACACACAGGGAUUCUUCUCUAUCCAGGAUCAUUCCAUCCAUGAACGGAUAAAUACAUCCAACCAAAACAAAUACCAGAUAACAAUGAGGCUAAGCUGCAGAUGACGCAAUCCACGACGUUAAAACCAUCGUGGAAACCAAGGAUCCCGCGGAUAGAAUCACAAGAGACGGUCGUAGUGCCCGAAGACAAUUAUUAUCAAGAAAAAAAGGACAAGAACGGGAGGGCGCUAAGAAUAUGAUGAUGGUUCAUGUCGUCUACGCUGGGCAAGCAGACAAGCAGUCCAUCUGUCUCCUCUCAAGUCACUCAUGGCGGCGCCAAAGGAAUCACGGUGGAGCCUGGCCGGCAAGACGGCGCUUGUCACCGGAGGAACCAGAGGGAUCGGGUAUGUGGCAGCUAGCCUAUAUAAAAUCUAAAUAUUAUUAUGCAUAAUACACCGAUCUCAUAGUACGACAGGCUUGCGAUCGUGGAGGAGCUGGCCGGCCUUGGCGCCAGGGUGCACACCUGCUCCCGCACCGCCGGCGACCUGAACACAUGCCGGCGCCGCUGGGUCGGCAAGGGCUUUCCCGCCGACGCGAUCACCAGCUCCGUCUGCGACGUGUCCUCGCAGCGCGACAGGGAGGGCCUCGUCGGCACGGUGCGCGACCUCUUCCAGGGCCAGCUCCACAUCCUCGUCAACAACGCCGGCCAAUCCAUCUACAAGCCUGCCGCGGAGACCACGCCCGGCGACUACGCCCGCCUCAUGUCCACCAACCUGGACUCGUGCUUCCACCUGACCCGCCUCGCCCACCCGCUCCUCCAGCGAGCAGACGGCGGCGCCGUGGUGGUGCACAUGUCCUCCGUCGCCGCCUUCAUCGCGUACCCGGCGCUGUCCGCCUACUCGGUCAGCAAGGGCGCCCUGCACCCGCUCACCAGGAGCCUCGCCGCCGAGUGGGCGCCGCACGGCGUGCGCGUCAACUGCGUCGCGCCGGGAGCCAUCGACACCGGCAUGUUCAGCGCCACGCUGAGCGACCCCGGCAGGGCGCGGAGGCUCGCCGAGAUGGAGGUGUCGCGGGUGCCCAUGCGCCGCUUCGGCACGCCGCAGGAGGUGGCCUCCCUCGUCGCCUUCCUCUGCAUGCCCGCUGCCUCCUACAUAACUGGCCAAGUCAUCUGCAUCGACGGCGGCCGCACCCUCGCCGCCAAACUCUGACGACUAUCGACUUGUCGAGUCGUCGAGCUUUGCACAUGGACUGCAAAUAACCAAUAAUGCAAGCCUGCCUGUUUGUUACUUUGAUGCAGUGACUGCAAAUAAACAUCCCAACCGGUGGAUGCUGGAUGUAAACUGAGAGGGAUGAUUCACUUGUUUCAUUCAUUCACAAUACACCUAAGUUGCAGCACAGCCACUUCCUCCUCCUCAAGUGUACAGGUAGUUUGCAGCCAUCAUCAGGUCCAGGGUUAUCUCGGGCUCAAUCUGAAACUCCGCCAUCUCCUUCCCACUGCACACCCAAAACAAAUCUCGAAGGGCAUGCACGAAUGGCUGCAAAAAGCAGAGCUCAUAUACCAACUUCACAUACAUUUGAUUUCAAUAGUGUAAGCAGCAAGAGUCCUGAGAUGAGCGUGUGCUGGUCCCGUCAAAGUUUCUUUCUACUAAACAGACUAUCAUAGCACAACCUAAGUGGUCAACACAAUAAUUGAGGACAGGGAAACUUGGCGAUGGGAGAGCUCAGGCAUUUACUCUGCCAAAUCAGCCUCAAAGCAUUCUUUUACGGAUCAACAGAGUCUCCUGCAGCUAAACCUGUCUGGCGCGCCUGGGCACCUCUCAAGGUCAAAUUCUUCAUGUGGCUAGCACUCCGAGAGAGGUUGUGGACUGCUGAGAGGAGGCAGCGUCACGGUUUGCAAGAUCAGGCGGUUUGCGCGCUCUGUUAUCAGGAGAUAGAGACUUCAGAACAUCUCUUUGCAUGGUGUUCCUACACUCAGCAGGUUUGGCAUUUGGUCAGCGCAAUGAUCAGCAUUCAGAACAUGGCACCGGCGCAGGGAAACGGUCUGAUGGACUGGUGGUUGCAAAAGAGGGCAGCGCUCAAUGCUAUCAAGAGAAAAGGACUAGACUCCACAUUCAUGCUAGUUUCCUGAAGAAUUUGGAAGGAGAGAAACGAUCGAGUCUUCAACAGAUCGACGCUGAAGAAUCCGACAGAGUUGGCUCGGUUGCUCACUUAUGGUAUGCAGCCGGCGCGAAGUUUAUGUCCAUUCUGGGCUGGCCGGCGUCGGCAACCACCUUAGGACAGUACUAGUUCCUUUGGCUUGCGUUGUUUUGGUUGUUUUCAGUUUCCAUGUAAUUGUUUUUAAGUUGUAUUACCGCCUGCGUUCGGUAGACCCGUGUUGUACUAAAAUCGGUAUUUUCUUCUUAUUAAUACAAUGAUACGCAGCUCUCCUACGUAUUCUAGAAAAAAUAAGGAUGCCAAGUUUUGACAGACGAUGUUUAUAAGGCAGAAAACAGGAAGCCUAUAUUCUCAGAGUUAUGCAGGACAACAACAUCACCUUUCCAUUGAGAAGGCAGCGCAGCUUCAAUUGAUACUCUCCUAAUAAAUGGGUUAAAUUAUGUGCUGCAGCUAGGGGAUAAAAUUUCCAAAAUCACAUGCUUCAUGUGUCGUUGACCAGUGAACAAUAACACAAAAGAAAUUGGGGGCCCCGGCCCACUCAAUCGAAGAAAUUAUGUCUUAGGUUGGUUGGGUUGGGCCCAAUCGAAAUCGAACCCCUCCCUCUGUUUGUCCGUCGGUGGAUUUACGGUGGGGCCCUACGCGUGUCACGCGCCGCUGCCAACGGCGUGCGCUGCCGGAGACGAAGAACGCAAAAUUAUCUCUUGGAAAUGUUGUUUUUUAUUUGUAAAAAUGUUGAAUCCAAUUUUUCAAAUGUUGAAAUAUACUACUAAAAAUGUUGAAUGUUGUAUCUAUUUUAGAAAAUAUUAAAUCUACUAUUUUUGAAUGUUGAUAUAACUUCUAAAAAUUGCUGAAUAAAAUAUGUUGAAAUGUCCAUUUAGAAUACUAUUUGGGCCUAAUGGGCUUUAAAGCCACCAAGUUUAACUGGCUUCUAGUAGCCAUAUAGGAGCCUCCCUCCUAUAAUAGUCUUAUACUAUAGAAGAUUAUUAGAAGAUGGGCUGAAUGAGUAAUUAAUUUGCAGGAUUCGUUAGUAGCGACUUUCUCAAAAUAAAAGAUAGUUAGUAGUGAUGGGCGCAGUGGGCUGACUAAUGCUCCAUAUCAUAAUGUAGUUGAGAACGAGCAAGCUGCUAAUCUAGCUAGGUUCUCACGGAUACUAUUCUCUUAUGUUUUUUUAAGGUCCCGUUUGGCGGGGCUCCAGGAGCGGCUCCUCGAGCGGAGCCCUACCAAAGGAUGCACUCCGAGCGAAAAGGUUCCGGCUCCAGCUCUGGAACCCUGCGAAUCCCGCUCUCAGGAGUUGUUUUGGGGAGGCGGAGCCAAAAAAUCUGCUCCUGCGGCUCCUCCUCGACCGUUUCCUACCCUUGCCCUCGGGUGAGGGCCUACAGGUAGCGGAGGCGGCAGCAGGUAGGCUGGGAGCGGCGACCGGCAGGAGGCGGCCGGCGGCGGGGAGGUGGGGGUGAGCGGAGACGGUGACGGGCGGGAGGCGGCUGGCGGCGGGGAGGUGGGGGUGGGCGGAGACAGCGACAUCUAGGAGCCGGUGGGAGGCGGGGACGGAGGCCGGCCGUGGGCGAUGGGGGCGGGCAGGCGGCGGGAGACGGGAGCUGAGUGUCGGGGGUCGGGAGCGGAUAGGGAGGAGAGAGAAUGGAGUGGAUAGGGAGCUAGCGGUGGGAGGUGAAAGAAAUAAAAAGAGAAAAUAGGAAGAGAAAAGAAGGAAAAUAAAUAGGGAAAAAAGAAAAAAAGAGAGAGGGGAAAGGGUAUUGUGGGUAUUUCAUCUAUCUAACCAUUUUAAACUACACGAAAGAACCGUUUUGCCAAACGGUUUUUCAAAAUGGCUUUAGGUCCACCAGAGAAGACACUCCACCAGAGGAGCCAGAGCUGGAACCAUUUUUGAGAGGAGUGAUCCUUAAUAAUAAUAUACUCAUGUAUACAAUAAUAAAUUAAGGGAAGGAAACACGGCCCGGGAAUCAAGAGGGAGCAGGAGCAGCCGUGCACUCCAUCACCACGCCAUCCUAGGCUUUAGCCUUUCUUUUUUUUCCCCUCCCCGAAGCAAAUGCUCAUCCGACCUGUUCAUCACUCAUGCUCAUUAUCUCUGUGAUCAUCUGAUAUGGAUGAUCUGAUAUGCAAGCAGAGUCUGAACCAACUAAGGCCUUAUUUAGUUGCUCUGAAUUUGGAUGUCCAAAAUUAAUGUUGUAGCACUGUAGCACACUGUAGCGUUUCGUUUGUAUUUGUAAAUUAUUGUCAAAUAUUGACUAAUUAGGCUCAAAAGAUUCGUCUCGCAAAGUACAACAAAACUGUACAAUUAGUUUUUGAUUUCGUCUAUAUUUAGUACUCCAUGCAUGUACCGCAAGUUUGAUACGACUUGGAAUCUUCUUUUUGCAUAGUGUCAAAAUUGGGAGUUUGGGUGGAACUAAACAAGACCUAAACCCAGUGGAAUUAUGGAAUUGGAUUGAUGGGCAGGCAAUCUGAGCCGUUGGUUUCCUCUGACAAGUUGCUGCCUCCUCUGCGUCCCUGAGAAGAUCCCCCCCUGCCUGCGCCGCUUUCCUCUCGCCUCGGUCUCCUUCCUCUUCUUCUUCGCUUUGCUUGCUGCUGCUGCUGCAGCUUCGCCCUCGCCCCACCCAGCAGCCAUGCCAGGGGACCAUGGCUCCAAGGUCGACAUCUCCUUCGCCGGCCGCUUCACCGCCAGCGCCAUAGCAGCAUGCUUCGCCGAGGUACCGUAUCGAUCCGUCUCUUCCCUGAUCCCCACUGCUGGCGAUUCAACUUCAUCUGCUUCCUUCUUAGGAGGAGGACCACCCACAGAUUCGAUUCAGCUUCUUCCUCCUUCCCUCGGAUCACCCACCGAUUCGAUUCGGCUUCUUCCGAGUGGGUAGGAAAAGGAUAGGAGGAAGGUGAUUGAUUCCAUAGAUUUCCCCUCUCUCCUCGCUCGCAGGUAUGCACCAUCCCCCUCGACACGGCCAAGGUCAGGCUCCAGCUGCAGAAGAACGUCGACGCAGCGGCGCUCCCCAAGUACCGCGGGCUGCUCGGCACCGCCGCCACCAUCGCCAGGGAGGAAGGGGCCGCCGCGCUCUGGAAGGGAAUCGUCCCGGGGCUACACCGACAGUGCAUCUACGGAGGACUCCGCAUUGGACUCUACGAGCCUGUAUGUAUCAACUAGUACUACUACUCUGCUUAUUAUUAUUGCCGCAUUUCGUCGAAUACCUUUUCUCUUUGGCCCCGUUUGGAUCCCUUCAUUUGAAGGAAUUGGAAUCUACUUAAUGAAGUAGGCUAAUUUAUCUUGGAAUGUAGCAUUCCACAACUUUCCAAAGUUUAGAUAUAAGCCUAACUUAAAUUCAUGGGGUGGGAGAUGGAAAUUGAUUCUAUAGAUUAUAAUUAUUAGAAUGGAAUUCAAUUCUUAUAGCACGCUCUUGAACUCGCUUCCCUAUAGUAGAAGUGCAGCACAUAAGUAUCUCUCCCAUAUCGCCAACAAUAAUAUACAAAUAUAUUCCACAUACAAUUAUAUUAGCUUAAUUAAUUUGUGUCUAAAUUAUGAUUAUUAGAAUGGAAUUCAAUUCCAAUGAUCCAAACGGGACCUUUGAGUAAUCUCGUCGAAUACCUUGCCCCCCCCUGCAGGUCAAAUCCUUGUACGUCGGCCAAGACCAUGUUGGGGAUGUGCCCCUCUCCAAGAAGAUUGCCGCUGGCUUCACCACUGGUAGGUUAGCAGUAGCACAGCUCAUCCACACCUCUGUUUCACCCUGUAAUAUAUUACAACCUCUCUCUGCCAUAGUCCUACAUACUUUCACAACUCACCACUACUUAUCAUCAUCAGGCGCCAUCGCUAUUACCAUCGCCAACCCCACUGACCUUGUCAAGGUCAGGCUCCAGGCCGAGGGCAAGCUUGCGCCUGGCAUGCCACGCCGCUACGCUGGCGCCAUGGACGCUUACGCAAAGAUUGCUAGGCAGGUCUGCUCUUCUCCCGACUAGCACUUCGCUUGCUAUGUUUGCCCCCAGUGAACUGUGAACUGCCUCACACUUGUACAUAUGUAUGUUUCGGUCAUCAUCCAUAGGAGGGGGUUGCCGCUCUGUGGACCGGCCUGGGACCAAACGUAGCACGCAAUGGUAUCAUCAACGCUGCUGAGUUGGCCAGCUAUGAUCAAGUCAAGCAGGUGCUGCAUGCUUAUAUGCUCCAUUCUAGUCUCUGAUUACUCCAUUGGCUCCUUCACUCACUUUGCCCGUACAAACUGUCUUUGACGCAGACGAUUUUGAAACUCCCUGGAUUCAAAGAUGAUGUGGUCACCCACCUCUUUGCUGGUCUCGGUGCGGGCUUCUUUGCUGUCUGUGUUGGUUCUCCGGUUGACGUGGUGAGAUGUCCUCCUCGGGUGCCAUAUGCCACAAUUAGAUUUAGAAACUCAACCUAGACUGUCACUAUAUGUCACAAUUUCAGAAUUCGAGAAUGAUCACAGUACUUCUACCUAGCUGCUAUUAUUUCCCUUUAUUUGGGAGGUUCAUACUUCUAGGAUUUAUAACUAAUUUUUUUCAUGCGCGCAUUUUAAUUUCUGGCCAUGAAUGCUGGUUGUGUUUCCAGAAGUUUCCCACUUAUUGUGGUCAUUAUCCUUAAGUAUUUGCUGACUAUUGAAAAUUGAUUAGUAGCUGAAUUCUUGGCUUCAAGUUCUCUCCCUCCCUCCCCUGCCGCUCUAGUGUCACCGAGACUGAUAAGAAUCAUAUUCUUGCAGGUUAAGUCAAGAAUGAUGGGUGACUCAGCCUAUAAAAGCACUCUUGACUGUUUUGUGAAGACACUAAAGAAUGAUGUAUGUUCCACCCUGCUACUCAUGUCAUGUUUAUGGAUUCGUUUUUUUUUGAAAUAAGGGAUUCAAAUUUAGAUGAGAAGAAAAAAUACACACAUGAUAAUCCACCAAACACAUCUCAUUCUUCACUAAUACAUGCAUCCUCUCUUGGUAACAACCAUGUGACGGUCCCCCAGUUUAACAUAACUCUUUAGCAGCAGUUAGUUUUGCUUCCCAGGCUUUCUUAGGCAGGUUUUAUAAUCAAUUGUAUUUUUUGGGACUAAACAAGAAUUUUUCUUCGUACAUGUGCCAUCCGUUUUGUUUCAUUGACAGCCCAUAACAGGAAUAUGGGAUUCUUCUUUUAUGUCCUAAAGUAAUCUCUGGUCAGGGAAUUGUAAACUUUAAAAGUAUGUUGAAAGUUUGGUUCCUUUCAUACCAAUUCUAUACCUCUUAGAGCUGCUAAAAUUACUUUCAGCAGUGAAUUAGUUGCAAAGACUGCAGGCUGGAAUCAGUUUAUGUUUACGCAACUAACCUGUAUGGUACCUGGUUAAUGUAAAUGUAACUCCAAUGAGGUAGGCGCUAGCUAAUAGCUGUUUACUCUACAGGGGCCUCUGGCAUUUUACAAAGGGUUCCUCCCAAACUUUGCUAGACUGGGAUCAUGGAAUGUGAUUAUGUUCUUGACAUUGGAGCAGGUGCAAACUGAAACUUUUUGUUUUCACUAGACUUUUCAGUACAUUCCGCUGAAACAAGACUUUUCAUUUUGGUAAAAGUACAUAAGCAUGCUCCAUUGAAUAUAAGCACUUUGUUUGUUGCCCUGGACAGGUUCAGAAGAUGUUUGUGAGGAAACCGGCAAGCUGAAGAUAAGGCUUUUGCAGUCGGGUGGCAAACAAAGGUGCACACCUAUGGCGCACACAUUUUUUCUUCUACAGACAAGAAAAAAAUGACUCUAUCCCCCUGAAGAUUGAUUGGGGAACAAGGAGAAAUCUGACACCUAAAUUGUGAGAAUAAAUAGCAUGGGGGUAUUUGCAUGAUCCCCGGAUGAAUAAAAUUCAGAAAUAGCAAACAGCUGUUAUCAAUGUUUUAUUGUCAUCUCUGUGGCUGUGCUUUUACUUUUAUCGGAAUUGCUGGGAAUGGUGAUCAAAUUGCUUGGUACUGUUGGGGAUGAAACUUGGUGUGCUCUCUGUAGUGGUUGAUUGUUAUGUGAUGGAUUGAUCAUGUGUAAGUAGAUGCUGCUAGUCUUUGCCUGUUACAAAUUUACUGAAGUAGUAGUAACAAAGUUGGAUUGGAGCAAAAGCAUACGGAGGAGAGGACUCUGACCAUCAUAGAACAGAAUAUUAUGGUGGACCAUUCAGAUGUUGCUCCUGAUCUUCAUCUUUCCGAAGAGCGAGUGCCUCCCCUCGGCGACGACCUGGCCCGUGGCGGCGUUGGCGACGAGGACGUGCGUGCCGGAGUAGGCGCCCCUGUGGCCCAGCGCCCUGGCGGCGAUGCGGAGGGUGUCGCCGGGCGCGGCGGCGGCGAGGUCGACGAAGGAGACGGACAUGUCGACGGAGACCUUGAGGUGGUGGCCGUCGGCAACGGCGGCGGCGGAGCCGAUUUCGUCGACCAGGGAAACCACGGCGCCCGGGGCGAGGUGGUCGCCGGCGGCGGUGAGGCGCGGGGGCACGGUGAAGGAGCAGAGUAUGCGACCCGGGUGGAUGCUGUCGACGCGGAUCCCCUGCAGCGCGAACCCCUCGAAGAAGCUGGGGCUGGGCUCCGCCCCCGCUCGGGGCGCCCGCCGCGCGGCUCGUCGGUCCAGCGCGUCCACCCGCGCGCCAUCCUCGUCGCUCACCCGCAGCAAAUCAGAGGCUCCCUUCUUCCCCGCCAUGGCGGUGUUGCCUGUGGUGGGUGGACUUCUUGGACACCGUGAGCAGCUAGAGCCAACCGCAGGAUGACGAAGAAGAGGGGAGGGCACGCAAUGACGCUUUUGCCCCCGCCAGCCGUUACGGGAGUCGCUGUUGGCUUGUUGGGAGGGAUCGAUCCGGCAACCUACAAGCUCCUCAAGCAAGUGGCGCCCCUUCACCCCCGAUCAAGGUCAAGCUCUUCUUUUGGGUCAUGCGCCGUGAGAACACCGGAGUUUCCUUCACUUGCUUGAGGCUCUUCCAAUCCCCACUGGACCUGUGCUUGAGGCGCUUCGGAUCAUUUCGAAAUAUACACAACCGGAUGGUGUUCGACAAGUUGAUUAGGGUGUAGCUAGGGUGACGGCCAGGGGCGAACCUACGCUAUGAUUAGUGGGUGCUAAUACACUCCCUAAAUUUUGCAAAAACAGUGAUUAUGCUUAAAUUUUUACCAUAUAUGUACCCUCCUUCUCAAUCUAAAAAAUAUGCACCCUCCUUAGAUCAACACUAUGCACCCACAAGGCAAAUGCACCCCCACUAAUUUACUCUAGCUUCACCACCGGUGACGGCCCAUGCACGCAUGUGGAUCCAUUGGGAACAACGUCGCGUCAACACACCCCUUCUCGAAACACGGUGCCUCCGUAACUUGGAUAUGUUCGAUCGGGACUCUAUCUAGUCUUGUACACCAGUAUAGGUUGUGUUGUAAACCUAGCUUCUAGAGGAGUCCUGACCGAACUUCCCUGCUAUAUAAAUGUAACUUCCUUACGCUUACCGUUACGCUAUCGAUCAACACGCAAACACCAUAGUAAAAUCAUGACGUCUUUUGUGCACAGGUUCUCACUACCAUGUAACACAUCUUGAGGGGUUCAUCACUAGUAAGAAACUUACUCUAAUGGUUGACAUCGGCGGUCAGCAAGUAGGUAGGCAAGCCGGUGGUUAAGAUCCUAAACCCAGCCUAUGAGGACUCGGUUGCCUCGGACCAACAGGUCCUGGGCUUCCUCCUUUUGACAUUGUCAAAGGAUGUGCUAUUACAAGUAGCCACGACUUUGAAAUCAGCUAAAGCAUGGAAGGUGAUUGAAGAAAAUUUCGCCUCUCACACCCCGCGCACGGUCCAUCAAUGUCUGUUUGGUGCUAGCAACAAUAAAGGAGGCCAUUACAGUCCCCCAAGUACCUUUGCAUGAUGAAAGCAUAUGGAGUUGAGAUGGUUGCGGCUGGAAAAAGCCUCUUGAAGAUGAAGAGUUGGUUACGUAUAUCCUUAACUGUCUUGAUCCUGAGUUCGGUACAUUAGCUUCUGCACUUGUAACUAGGGUAGAACCCCUUACGAUCUCUUAUUGUAUUCCCAGUCACUGAGUUUUCAGAAUAGGCUUAAGCUAAAACAGGGCGGUUCAUCGUCACCUACCAACACCACAAACUGAAGAUGUUGCGGAGGUGCAUGGCUUGGUUCUUCACGUGAUCGUAGGGGUUGUGGUUGCCCUUAGUGAUGCCUAUCAUAGUGCUAGGCAUGGCCAAUCAGGCUGUGGCCUAAACUUCUCCAACCAAUUGAGUCACAAGCAAUGCAACAAAAGAACUAUGUCCACAUUCCCAGCACUACCGUGAGAUCCGUGGGUGUCCCUAAGAGGGUUGAUGCACCCCAAAAAAAAGGAUGUGCUAGUCCAAUUACUCCAAGAGGUGAUUAUGGUGCAAGACAACGUGGUAGACCGAUACAAAAUAAGAACUGGUCAGGUAAUAGGAAAAGUCUAGUUUAUAAUUACAUUAGAUCACUUCAUGUCCUAACCGAUUAGUAUUCAUGUAAACCAAUGCAACUUGUAACCUUGCCCCGAAAAUACAAGGCGAGGCAAGGAUCUCUCCAAACACAUGAACACCCAAAACACAUGAAGGUUUUAUGCUUUUUUUCCAGUGGCUCGAACCUAUCUAAAUCUUGUCUCAUGUUCACCUUCGAGUUCCUGAUGUCAAUGAAACCUCACCAAUCAACCUACUAUAUUGAGGUAUUCCUCGGUAGGUUGCCGUUCUAAACACUACGAUGAGGUCAAUUGAUGCCCAAACAGUCAGGUCUUCUUUAAGAGCGACACAUGGCACUUGAGUGGUUUGAUGAGACCUAUGCGUACGAUGAACGUCACAUUGCUGCAGCCUUGAACUCAUAUGGUGUGGACACAAAUUGGGACACCAAAAUGGUUUGAUGAGACCUAUGCGUCGGACGAACGUCACAUUGCUGCAGCCAUAAACUCAUACGGUGUGGACACAAAUUGGUACCCCAAAAUGGGAGCCACUGGUCACAUUACCAACAAGCUGGUGAAGCUCAUUGUCCAUGACAAGUAUCAUGGCACGGAUCAUAUUCACACGGUGAGUGGUGUAGGUAUGGAAAUUAAGCAUAUUGGUCAUUCUAUUGUCCAUACCCCCAUUUGUAAAUUAAAUCUAAAUAAUGUCCUCCACGUCCCAAAGGUUGCUAAAAACCUUAUUUCUAUCCACUGUUUAGCUAAAGAUAAUUCAGCUUUCCUUGAGUUCCACCCAAUUUUUUUUAUCACGGAACAUGCCACGAAGAACACUCCCCUUGGAAGGUGUUGCCAUAAAGGACUCUAUUCUCUCCCUUUAGCAACUCCAAUAAAUUAAAGUAGACUUUUGGUAUGGUCAAGACAUCCAUUGAGAGGUAGCAGAGUCUAUUGGGGCAUCCCACUACUUCCAUUGUUGCAAAGGUAAUUAGAAGUAAUAGUUUGCCUUAUCAUGAUGAGUCGAAUAAGGAGUUUGUCCGUGAUGCCUAUCAAAAGCCAAAGGUUUUUAAGUGUCUCUAUUCAACUUUUGCAAUUUAUUUUUUUCUGGUGUUUGGGGUCCUGCACCUAGUUUUAUUGAUGAUUACAACAAAUUUACUUGAUUGCCUUAUGAAGUUCAAGCCAAAAGGUUUUCAAAAGUUUCAUGUGUCCCAAUAUCUUGUUGAGAGAUUGUUUCCUUGCGAAAUCACUGCCAUGCGGACUGAUUAAGGAGGCGAAUACCAAAGACUUCAUUCUUUUCCUUUUUUUGAUAAAAUUGGCAUCUCACACUAUGUUUCCUACCCUCAUGAACAUCAAUAGAAUGAUGCAGCAAGAAUAAAGCACAACACAUUGUAGAAGUUGACCUUGCUCUCCUUGUAUAUGCCUCUGAUCCAUUAAAAUUUUGUUAUGAAUAUUUCCUUGCUACCACAUAUAUCAUAAACCGUAUUCCUAGAAAGGUUAUGCAUAUACAAGGAGUUUUUGCGGCUUACAGUUGGUAUGAUGUGGAUAUGAUGCAAGGUAGAUCAUGGCAGUAGUAGGACAGAUUAGUGAUGCGCGUGUGGCCAUUAUGGAUCAUCGCUAGUGUACACAGGCCAGCGCAAAGAUGUUGCGGGCAUCAUGGCCUGCACAGAUAUGUAUAAGAGCGGCGGCAGUGGCUAGGAUCUCUACCUUGAUGUCAUCGUUGCAGGCGGCAUGGAUGUCAGUUUGGAGAUAGUGUGAACCAGUGGGGUUUCAUGCAGUAAGAUUGAACAACGAUGGGGUAUAGACAAUCCGCAAAAAGAGUGGAUAGUCCGCUGAUCGACGAGCCACGUUGAUUGGAUCAGUAUACACUAUACAACUAUAAGGUAUGUCAUGCAAGUGUGUGGUAGGGCUAGGUGUACAACGGAGCUAUAAGGUUCAACAGGACAUCACAUAAGCUAAUGGAAAUUGUAACUGGUGAACAAGAACAGGUAGAGUUUGGAAGACCAGAUCUCAGGAUGGUGUUGCGGCUCAUUGGCAAGGACAUGAGGCUAUCAACAAUGUUUGGUUAUGGCAUGCAAGGCGACUGAUAAGAGUUAGAUGGUGGUUCAGUGAGUGCUUAGGAGUGACAGAGUCAUAUGGACAGGUUGGCAUGGUCGAGGUGUUGAGCAGCGCAUGGUGGAUCUACUUGUGAUGGAUAGAUUGGAUCGAAUAGUUCUUGGGGUACAUGGGUGAUGGAUAGUUCACUUGGAGGGUGAGCAUUCUGUAGUGUAUGGUGGAGAGACUAGUGGUGACAGGCUGGUCAGACUAUGGGUCAAAGGCGACGACAGGAUCAAUGAUGAUGACGUAGGAGCAUGGUGGCUGAUGGGGUUUUGUUCUCUCUAUGGUGUGGCAACACGCGACAUGAGCUCUGGAUGUAGAUUUGCAUGGGUGGAGUUUGCGAGCUUCCAAAUUAGCAAGGGUUGAGCUGGAAGGAUGUAUAGGCUAUGAUGUAUGUUCUUGAAACUGGAGUAAUUUGGUUGGUCAAUGUUGAAGGAGAUUACGGUGUAAGACGUCAGACGUAGUAUGGCAGCGGUAAUGGAAGAGCCAUUCUAAUAUCACGAUUUCUAUAUGUUACUCAUAUGCGAUAGCUAGAUUCUUAGCAUCAUGUUUACAAUCGACGGAGAUUGUGGUGAUAGAAGAGAAGGGUUCACAGUUGAAGGUGGAGUCACGGAGUUGGAAAUUAUAGGGAUAGCAGUGUUUCUUCAGGCAGCUCAUAAAGUGGCAAAAUGUGACAACUCAAGUUCGGUGUAUAUGGAGGUUCACACAUGAUGACUUCAAGAUGGUGGAAUAUUUGGCAAGGUGAAGUUUGUUAGGUAUUGUGUCAAAUAUUUGUACGAGUCUGGUUACGAUGGGACUUAAGUUGUAUUUAUGAAAGGAUCUUGUGAUGCCUAGGGGGGGUUGAAUAGGCUCACUUCGAAUUUUCCUAAAAAACUCGCAACAGUAUUAGAUCUGUUGGAACUUCCAACGCAGUGCCGGAACUUCUGAUGGAUCGAAACUUCCGGUACUAGAUCGGAACUUCCGAUAAGAUAAAGUGAGCUGAACGAAAUUCAAAACACAACCUGAUUCUGCCAAAAAUAUUUAAAUCAAAAGAUAGUAAAUGAAGCGUAGAUGCUACUCCAGGUGAUAUAUAUGCAAGGAACAACUCAAAUGUAUAGAUCGGCUAAAAACGAGCUUCUAGGCAAGACUUAGAACAAAGAACACAAUAAGCACGUGAGACAAGGAUUUGUUACCAGAGUUCACUCUCACUAAGAGAGCUACGUCUCCGUUGAGGAUCUCACAAAGAGCCGGGUCCUCACUAACCCUUUUACCUCCCUCAAUCAACCACAAAGGAAGAUUGAGUCACUUACUAUGAAUCCACGAAGGAUGGGUGAUACAAAUGUUCCCAGACGCAUCACACAAAGAGGGCGCUCAAACGGGCGACACCUAGCCAUCUAGAAGCGAGCUUCAAGAGUAACAAACGUGAAUCAACGCCAAGGAUGCUUGAGGUGCUCUUGAGAUGAACUCCUUGAACUUCCCACUCAACCCUCAAGUCCCUCACACUCUCAAUCUCACUCUCACCCAAACCCUAGCUGAAGAACUCAAGGAUUAGGCUCAAAGGGGUGAGGAGAGGGAGUAUUCAAUGCUAUGGGAGUGUUUUGGCUCGAGUUAGGUCAGCAGCACUGAAUGGGGGGGCUGAGGAGGUAUUUAUACCCAGCCCCCCAAAAACUAGCCAUUUUAGACAGGUUAUGUACCUGUCGUAACUUCCGACACAGGGUCGGAACUUCUGACAGAGUUAGCUCAGGCGAGCAAAUGAUCCUGUCGGGAGUUUCUAGAAACACCCGACACUUAUCGGAACUUUCGAUGGAGUAUCAGAACUUUCGACACUUUUGAGUUAGACACACAAAGGACCUCUAUCGAGACUAUCUGGAUACUUCUGAUACCCGUCGGAACUUCCGACACACCGUCGGAACUUUCGACAGGCAUAGAAAUGCUGAGGUAAAGGUUGUGUACGUGGGAGAUUUGUGUCUCUCAAAAGGUUAGUUAGCAUCUCAAUAGAGCACCUUAGCAUCUUCAAGCUAUCCAUUCACAUCCUACUUUAUAGUACGGCAUUCCUAAACUCAAAUUCAAAAUUAGAAAUAACAAAAAGAGACUUCUUUUGAGCUUAACGCCGUCUCAGCCUUGCAAUAGGGGCUCUUUGAGAGUCUUUUCAUGCAGCUUUGCAUUCUUUUCAACUUAGUACCUGUUAAUCACUUAAUAAUUGUGUUAGUCCCCUAACUAUGCUAGUCAUCAACACCACAACCCACUUAGGGGGCCAAAUGCACUUACAAUUUAGCAGUACACAGUAAAGUCUGUAUCAAAUUUUGUAACCUGGGUCACCUCAUAAAUAUGAGAGGGGUGAUGCUAUUGUAACCAUAACGAUAGGCUCACUAGAGGGAGGCGGCAUGAUGCUGGGAUCCUAAAGUGGCCGGUGUUGUGAUAAUGGGGAAGAGCGCCCGUAGUCAUGCCCCGGGAUGUACGUUUCGGCCGAACCUCGUCAAUAAAGAUUGUGUGUGCAGUGUCGUAUGUGAUCUUGCAUGUUGGUCUCAGUAAAUCCAAUCAUCACUUCUACAGGUGGAGCGACUCAUCACCGUGAGGGUUUAUUUUCUAAUAGGUACGAUGUAUUCAUCUAAAAGCUAUUUUUUUCUAUAGUUAAUUGUGAGCACUUGAGGCAUCCUAUCCUGAUUCCUCUCUUUCUAUUAUAAUGUGAUACAAAGAAGAAAAUAAAGAAUGAAUAUACAUAUCAUUGUGUUUUAUUACAACAUUGGUUUUCUUUAGGCCAUGCUUAUUACCCCAUCUGUUCUAUGCACCUUAAAUCAUACUCCCUCCAUUCCAAAAUAAGUGUCCGUUUAGAAAAUUUCAGACACAUUAGUAAGGGUGAGAAGUGACCAUAUCACCCCUAGUUAUUCAUAUGAGUUGUGAUUGGAAGCUAUGUUAUCUACUUGAUUUUAUGGAUCAUAAAUAAAUGCACGUGUAUUGGAAUAAGAGAAAUAACAUCAAUUGAUCAUUUGAUUAGCUUUGUGCAGUUUUCCAUACACAUUUUUUUAUUGGUGUGAGUGUUGAUGAACCUUACUAGGAGCUAAAAUAACACUCUUUGUAGGAUUAAUUUUGAAGGCUAAAAGAAGACUUAUUUUGGGGCGGAGGGUGUACAAUGUAACAAAGAAAAUCUGAGCCUCAAAUUUGCGAUCACAAAUUAAAUGUAGCCUAUAGGCUAUAGCAAGGGAUAACUAGAGUGAGUGACAGAAUUUUCAAACAAAUUGCAUCAGAACUCUGCAACAUGCCAUACUUGAAUCCCCUGGAACCCCCAAAUUUUGACUUCAUUUCCAGAAACCAGAAUUAACCACAAUAACCUGGCAUCAGUGUCUCUGCAUCCUCGCCUUCGCUCGAGGCCGUGCUUGAAUUCAAAUGGGGAAGAACAAAGCAUGGAAAUCUUGAAGAACAAAAGGUUGUGAAUAUACAAUAAGUAGUAAGGCCCUGCUAUGUAGAUGUAGAGUACUGGAUUGUGUGUGUAUAUGUAAUGUAACACCUGCUAGACUAUAAACCAAAACACAAUGACCACCACUUCACCGCUAGCUAAAUGGCCCGCCUUGUCAGCCAGAAGAAACUAUGCCUAUGAGGACGGAAUAAUCGAUCAGCAGCCAGCAGACUCACUAGAGUCCAAUCGUACUCCUCCUGUGCAUCGAGCUCAAGUCAUG
rnacentral:lncRNA from 1 species